rnacentral:lncRNA from 1 species
UCCCAAUGAGGAUGUGAAGGAGGGGGCUUUCUGAUACGAGUUGCUUGUUCAAAGCCAUAUGCAAUCUCAAUGAGUGUUGGCUCAGAUCCCUUUAGUCCUCCGAAGGAAGUUCCGAAUGGAACUCCACUUUUAUCAUAACCAGCAGGUACAUUGAUCCCUGGAUAACCUCCUAUCGCGAGAAGAUGAGCAAUGUCAGCACCAGGUGACAUCAAUGCGUCUAACGCCUUUUCCUUCAUCAUCUUCUCGAACCCGUAUUUACAUGCUUUUGUUAUGUUGCUCAGUGCCUCCCUUUCCAAUUUCCCUAUUCCAUUCGUCUUCUCAGCUGCCUCCAUUAUGUCUUGACCAUAUUCUUCGACUUUUUCCUACAAUGAUAUAUAAAAGGAAAGAAGAAAAAUCAACUUAGAUGGCCGCACAUCCAACCUCUUAAACUAAAUAUUGUUUGCGGAUGUAUAAUAUGUGUAUAAUCCACAUAUAACAUGUGUAUAACCGUGUAUAAUCUGUAUAUCGGCGAGGAACGAUAAGCAGUGAAUCCAGCCAACUAUUUAUGUAAAGUUCCCUAAAAAGAAUGAAAAACAGAUAUACUUCGAUUCUACUUCUACAGACAUGUAGUUCAGCUAAUUUCAAUUAACAAGUGAAAGCUUUUAAUUCCUGCAAUAAUGUACUGCAAACCAAUAUGAACAUAUUGUUAAAAAUUAUUUAUGAACAAAGUAGUACUGGAAUGACUUCAGCCCAAAUAUGACAGGAAUGGUUACAACAUUGUAUAACUGAUCUCAACUUAAUUUUCUAAUAUCGAGGUGCAGUUAAUUGAUUGACUAAUACUUACCGAAGCUGAAACCUUGUUGAAGGCAAUAACAUCUGCCAAGGAUCGGACUCGAGUGUAGACUAACUUUUUAAGAUAUGCAUUUAGGUUCAUCUUGGAUUCAGCAGAAAGUGCUAUGCGUUGAGCAACAACAAGAGCAUCUUGGACCAAGUCGAUGUUAGGUAUUUCCAGGUUGUCAACUAAUACUGCUCCUUUUUGCCUUCAAAUAUUUCCAAGAAAAAAAGAUGCAUCUCUUAUAGGAUUAACAUAAUAAAUCAAAAUCAAACAUGAUAUUUGGACACAAAAUAAUUACCAUUGACAACAAUCACGCACCAGAGGUUAUGAGAUAACUCUGACAAUGUGCUUGUAUAAGGCAUAAUACAUAAGCAUACACUCAAACUUGGUCUCAACUGGCAAGUAGGCACUCAAGCUUUGAGAGUGCACAUCUAGACACCGGAACUUGGUCUCAACUGGGAACUAAACACUCCAACUUGUCCCCACUGUGUUUCGUGGACACUAGACACUGACGUGACACAUAAAUUUUGGAGUUGUCUAUCAUUUUGUAAGUUAAAGUGUUCAGAAGUGACACAUAAAUUUUGGAGGUGUCUAUCAUUUUGAAAGUUAGAGUGUUUAAUUGACGCAAUGAAGAAACUAGUUGAGGUGUCUGGAUGUGCAUAUUAAAAGUUGGAGUGUUUAGUUGCCACUUGAGGUCAAGUUAAAGUGUCGAUCUAUGUACUAUGCCUUUAUAUAAGGUCUAGAGAGAGAACCUAGCUGAAACUAGUGAAAUCGUGAGGGCCCUCCCAUACGCCUAUCAAGUUGAGCCUACACUCACCGCCGGCUAUACAGGACCGGCCAAGCACAUAAAGUGCACGGUCUAAUAAUGAGUAAAACUAAACUAUAGAAAUAUAAGUACAAGUGAAAAGGAUUACCUAAAGGUGUUAAAAUGCUGUUGGUACGUCUUGAUAUCAUUGGAACCAAAAAGGUCCUUUGAAAUACCUAGUCUUUUAUCUUUGAGCCCAUCAGCCUUAAGAAAUUGCCGGUAUCCACCAUGUGGAAUGUAAGUGGAAGCCUUUUUAGUUGCUGGAAAAUCAUCUCGAUCGAAGCCAACAAUGGCAUCAAGAACCUCAACAGCAUCAGAUACUGUCCUGCAGAUUGGCCUGUUCUACGACAAAAAAGCAUUGUAUGAAAACAUUUUCGAUGUCUUCCAUGAUCAUGUUUGUUACCAAGUACUUGCAUUUUUGCUACUCUAAUGCAGCCUACAACGUCUAAAUUGUGGAUCUAAUACUAAAAACAAGUAGUCCUAUUUUGCAUCAUCAAAUUUUUCGCAGCUGUUCAAAACUCUGGCAUUAUAUAGUUCCACAAAGAGAAAAAAGAAUACUCCAUCCAUCCAAAAAGAAUGACACGUUUCCAUAUCUGAAAUUUUACUCUAAAUUUCUCGUUUAACCCUUAAUAAAAUGUUUCUAUAGCCACAUCAAUUCUAUAACAACCACAAUUUUCAACUUUCAAAAGCCAACACAAAAAAUGAGUCUUUUAGCGAAGUUAGCAUAUUUUGUCAAGAGGAAGAAACUUAUUACAUUGUAGCCGCUCAUGGUUAUUUUUGCUGAUUGGUCUUCCAAUGUGCUAGUUUCAAUGACUCUCUUUCGUUACAUUUCUUCCUUGCUGCUUGGCAUAUAGUGUCAAAUUUGUGCCGAAUGUCUCUCAAUGUUGAGAGUCUUGCCAUUAAAUAGAAAGUAUUCAAAGAUUACAUCCCAAAAAAUCCGCCUUUCCUGUCGCUACUAUCCCUUUGAAUCCGCUAUUGUAUCCCUUAUAAUCUGCUAUUCUAUAUCUUUGAUUACUACAUCAUAUCUCUAUAAUUACGAAUAUACUACAAUAUAUAAUUACAUUAAUAUAUACAAUAUUCACUAUUAAUUCAUGAUCUUUGAGUUGUCCAUCAUGCUAACAUAUAGUAGGUAUCUGGUUUACCGCCAGUGGCGGAGCCACAGCCAACGAAGGAUGGUCAGAUGAACACCCUUCGUCGAAAUUUUUUCUGACCAUCCUUCGUCGGAAUUUUUUUUCGAGUAUAUAGGUUAAAUAUAAUAUAGAAAUGUUGUUGCACGCCCUUGACAAGCUAGAGAAGCAUAGUCUAUGUGAAGAAAUGGACCUUGGGCCUAACUCAAUCUCAAAAGCUAGCUCAAGAGGUGAGGAUUACCCAAGUCCAUAUAAGCAAACCACUAGUCCAUUCCCCAACCAAUGUGGGACUUUUACCCACUCUAACAUUCUAGUGGUUAAGAGUGUGCAUUUCCGCAUCAACAACCCGGGUUUAAAUCUUGACAGGUGCAGCAGUGCUUUAUUUUCUUUGUUUUUUAAACAGUUCUUUGCCCAAGGAAAAAUAUAAACACCCUUAACCAAAAGUCUGGCUCCGCCACUGUUUACGGCUUUCGAUAUCAACACUAUGGUUUUCAAUCUAAAUAGUUUUAAUUUCAACCAAUCUACAGUUGAUAAUCAAGGGCUUUCCUUUCUUUCUUAAAAUACAUGCCAAAUCAAACUUUCUUAAAAUACAUGCCAAAUCAAACUAUGUCACAUAAAUUGUGACGAUUAAUUUUUACUUACCCAACAGUGUCUUGCCUAUGUGAAAUUGGGAUAACACCUGCCCUGCUAGUGAGGCCAACAGUUGGUUUGAUUCCAACAACUGAAUUAGCAUUGGCUGGAUAUAGAAUGGAUCCUGCUGUUUCUGUCCCCAAUGCUAGUGCUGCAAGGUUUGCUGCUACUGAUGUUGCAGAACCAGUGCUUGACCCUGAUGGAUCAGCACUUGCUACAUAAGGAUUCUGUAAUAACAUGAGUAAAAACACCAAAUACAUUUUUAGUCAAAUUGUUCUUAAAAAAAAAGGCAAUCUGGUGCACGAAACAUUCUGCAUUCAGGCAAAAUCCGUCAAUGCCAGCAACAUCCCAAGAGGGUACAAUGUAGGUAAUCUACCCCGACACAAGCAACGGCUCGCAAAUGUGAGGUCACACGAAGGUAGCUUUACCUUUGCUCCAACUUAAAGUAGUAUAUACACUAAAUUUGUUUGUGGCACGGUGUUUAAGAAAGUAAAGAAGAUUCUCCAAUCUUGUGAUCUCAAAUAAGGGGAAAGGACAUAAAUGUCACCUCGCCUAAAAUAUUUCCACUGAUAUAGGCAUUGAUUUGGCAAUUCCAAUAGAUAGCCAUUUAGGCUUUUCUGUCGCUGCGACUAUCCUUCUUUUUUUUUUUUUUUUCCUUAUUUAUUGUUUAAUUUUUAAUGUCAAUUAUUUUAUAGGUUACAUUCUCUUCCUUCCUAUUUUUUUUGUUUGUUUUUCACUAUUUUUUUUCUUCUCUCUUUUAAUGUUGUUAAUUUUUUUUUUUGAGAAAAGUCCACUCUGUCCACCUAUUUAUUUUUGUAGAUGCGAUCACGAAAAUAAAAAUAUGAAAUACAAGUCCACCCAUAAUGUUCUAUCUCUUUUCAUACGAGUUAACACUAUAGCGGCACUUUGAUUUUUUUUCUUUCUGCUCUCUCUCUUUUUAAUUAAAAAAAUUAUGGAAUGUUUGGAUAGUAAGGGUACAAGGUUUAAUAAAUUUUGUAUAUGCUUGCACAAAUUUUCACAAAAUUUUAGGUGAAGUUAAAAAAUUCACGAAUAACGAAUUACUAUAGAUGCUUGCACAAAUUUUCUCUGUAAAAGGUGUAUUUAUGUAGUAUAUAUACUGUAUCAACGUGGUAUAAAAGUGUAUCAAUCUAGUAUAAAAGUAUAUCAAUGCGGUAUCAAAGUGUAUCAAUAUGUAUAAAAGAGUAUCAAUUGGUAUAUGGACUGCAUGUACUUGCAUAAAUUUUUUUUUUUUAAAAGUGUCUCAACAUAAUAUAAAAGUGUAUCAAUGUGGUAUAAAAGUGUAUCAAUUGAGUAUAGAGACUGCAUGUUCCCAAUUGGGCCAAAUGGCUAAAAAGAGGAAUUAAAUUGGGCCGACUGGCUAAGGUUGUCCACCUUUUCAAUUAUGGGCCAUUUUUUUUUAAAAAAGUCAGCUCAUGUCCUUUUCCCCUCAAAUAAUAUACCAAAAUGUCCUUUAAUCUCAUGAUCAUAAACAUGUCAUGAAAAAGUUGAAAUUAAAGAUUUAUAAAAAAAGGAGAUCUUAUUGAAACAGACCAAAAAGAAAAGUAAUACAAACAAACUAAAACAGAGGGAGUAGUUUUUUUCCAGAUCAUAUACUACUUUAAAUCUUUGUUUCUCUUUCAUCCCUGUCUUUUGCAUCUUAACUAAUCACAAAGGUUGCAAAAUAAAUCUAUUUUUACUAACUAAACGACUUAAGUUAUGACUAUUUUUUGACUUGACCCAACCCGCACAUUUAUCACCCAUGGCGAAUCAAACUAUAUAUAUUAUUAAAUAUGACUCACCAGAGCUUGGCCAAGUCUUCCAUUCCAACCAUUAGGCAUCGUUGAAGAUCUAGAAGCAGCCCACUCAGUCAUAGUUACCUUGCCAAGUAUGAUAGCACCAGCAUUCCUCAACUUCUUGACCACACCAGCAUCUAGUGGCACAAUGGAUCCAACAAGUGCUAAUGAUCCUGCUGUUGUGUUAAGCUUAUCUUUUGUUGCAAUGUUGUCUUUGACAAGAACUGGUAUACCAUGUAGCCUGCUGGACAGUAGCGCCCCCGAUUUUCGUUCUUGAUCAGCUUUAUCUGCAAGAAAGAAUGCAUCUGGGUUCACUUCUAAGAUCCCUUUAAGAAUUGGAUUAGCUUUCUGGAUUUCACUUAGAUAGAACUCAACAAGUUGUCUUGAGGUAAGUUUGUUUUGCUUGAAAGCUAUUUGAAUAUCAUCUAUAGUUGUUUCCUUAAAUGAGAAUGUUUUUGCCUCACUGAUGUUACUGAAGUUGGAUAAUAUCAUGCACAGAGAAAUGAAGAGAAUGGAAAGAAGAGACAUUUUUUGUUUUGAUUGAAGAUAUUUGCUUCAAUAUUAGUCACAUAAAAGUGGAUAAGGAAUAAAGAGUCUUGGAGAAAUGAUAGAGUUGACUUUGUAUGACCAAUAGGUCACUGUGUUCGAGCCGUGGAAUCAGUCAGUAAUGCUUGUGUGAGCAUAGGCUACCGACAUUACAGAUUGAUUUGGGGCGCGACCCUUCUCUAAAUUUUGUUGAUAUGUAGGUCAUGUGUUAGAGCGGUUGGAAUCAAUCACUAAUGCUUGUGUGAGAGUAGACUAACUACAUACCCCAAAUUACACCCUUUGGGUACGACCCUUCUGUGAAAACACUUGCUAAGACUCCACUGAUGGAGCUAAGAAGAGGAGAAAGAUAAAAAAUUAUAACUGCUUCAAAACUUAUGUGUUACAAUCAGAUUGUUGUGCCUUAUAUAGGCAACAAAAUAUCUAAUAACUACCUUUCUUCUAGAACACUCUAUUUGAUAGCUCAUUGCCACUCACUAAUCAUUUUCUAACACCCUCUAACAACUUAUAUAGCUGACCCAGCAGUAUGCUACUAACUAGUUGAAUGCCUACUCCUAUCAAUAUUACACAUAAGUGGAACAGGUAGUCGUGUAUGUUCCAAAACACUCCCCCUCAAGCUGUAGGGUGCAGAACAUUUAGCACACCAAGCUUGCUAAGUAAGUGGGCAUGUUGAGCAAGACUUAGUCCCUUGGUAAGCAAAUCAGCAAGUUGAUCAGUAGACUGAACAUGUAGAGCCUUAAUCAAUCCAUCUUUGAUUUUGUCCCUAAUGAAAUGACAGUUAAUCUCAAUAUGUUUGGUUCUCUCAUGGAACACAAGGUUGUUGGCCAGUUGAAUGGCUGAAUUACUGUCACUAUAAACUGAAAUGGGGAGGUUGAUAGGGACCUUAAGUUCCUAAAACAAUCCAACCAGCCAAGUGAGUUCUGCAACUGCUGUAGCCAUGCUUCUGUACUCAGCUUCAGUAGAACUCCUGGAAAUAGUGUGCUGCUUCUUGGACUUCCAUGAUAUAAGUGAUUAACUAAAGUGAAUAGCAUAACCAGUAACUGAUCUUCUGGUGUUUAGACAAGCAGCCCAAUCAGAGUCACACCAGGAAGUCAAAGUAUUAGCAGGUUCAGCCUUUAACCAGACACAUUAGCCAACAAAAUUUCUUAGGUACUUGACUACCCUGGUAGCUGCUUCUCAGUGAGACUUCUUGGGAUGCUGGAUGAAUUAGCUGAGAGUUUGGAAAGCAAAGUUAAUGUCUGGCCUUGUAAUAGUGGCAUAAAUAAGCUUCCCAACAAGUCUUUAGUAAGAGGAAAUGUUAGACAACAGUUCAUCACCUUGUGCACCUAUUGCUUGGUCAUACUCAAUAGAGGUGGGAAUGGCAUUAGAAUCUAAGGGAGUAGUAACAGGCUUAGCACCACUAAGACCUGUUUCAGCAAUCAACUCUAGAAUAUACUUUCUUUGGUUCAGAAUAAUCCCUGAUGUUGAUCUUAAAACUUCAAUACCCAAAAAAUACUUGAGAUCCCCCAAGUCUUUCAUCUUAAACUACUGAUGCAACUUGAUUUUGGUAGAAUUGAUCAAGGAGGCACUACUUCCAGUGAUUAGUAAAUCAUCAACAUAAACAAGAACUAUAACAGUAUCAUUAGCUUGAUGCAGGGUGAAUAGGGAAUAAUCAUGUGCACUUUGAGUAAAACUAGCAUCAAGUAAGGCAUGCGUAAGCUUAACAUUCCACUGCCUGGAGGCUUUCUUAAGACCAUACAAGGAUUUGAUCAACUUACACACCUUGUGCUCUCCCUGUCUUAUAAAUUCUUCAGGCAUUUCCAUGUAAAAUUCCUCCUCAAGAUCCCCCUGGAGGAAUGCAUUAUGCACAUCCAUUUGAUGAAGAUUCCAACCUUUAGAUGCAGCUUGUGCAAUCACACAUCUGACUGUAACCAUCUUAGCCACUGGUGAGAAGGUUUCAUGAUAGUCCAACCCUUUUUGUUGGCUAUAUCCUUUGGCCACUAACCUUGCUUUGAACCUCUCCAUUUCACCAUUGGCAAGAUAUUUGAUUUUGUAUAUCCACUUGGAACCAACAGUAUUCUUCCCUUUAGGUAGAUCAAUAAUGACCCAUGUGUUGUUAGCUUCCAAGGCUUGAACCUCUGAUUUCAUAGCUUCCACCCACCUUUCAUCUUUUACAACCUAUUUAUAAUGCUGAGGCUCAGUUAAAGUGGAGAAUUUAGAUAAAUAGCACUGAUAAGUAGGACUCAGAUUUUUAUAAGACAAGCUGUUGGCUAAUGGAUAUUUGCAUCUCUAAUUUCUAGAAGUAUCAACAUAAUCAUGCAUCCACACUGGUGGUUUGCUUGUUCUUGCAGGUCUACUGGAAGAGGGUUGAGGCAGGGAACAGUUAUCUUGACAUGUUUCUUCAUGAGUGGUGCCAGGUGAAGCUGCACCAGGAACUUCAGCAUCAGAAAUGUCAUCCUCCUCAAUUGGAGCUCCUUCAGUAACACUCUCAGUAUUUGUUUCAUGAAAUGUUUCUUCAUUUGUGGGAAUCAAAAAGUCAGUAAUAUUUUCUCCAGAUGUGGAAGCUUGUAUGUUUUGUGCUGGUGAGGAAGCAAAAGGAAAUGUAUCUUUAUAAAACACAACAUCUCUACUGACUAAUAGUUUCUUUGAGGUGAUAUCCAGCAGUAAAUACCCCUUCUGAGAUUUUGAAUAUCCCACCAAGACUGCAGGUUUGGCCCGUUCUGUGAACUUAUCACCUCUUGGAAGGAUAGUGACAUAACACAAGCAUCCAAAUACCCUGAGAUGUGACAACUUGGGAUCCUUGAAAAACAUUAACUGAAAUGGGCUCUUACCACUUAGAAUAAAAGAUGGUAACCUGUUCAUUAGAUACAUUAGAUAUACUGCAACCUUUACAUAUAGUCCCCAAUACUUAAUGGGCAAGUUAGACUGAAACUUGAGGGCUCUAGCUAUUUUUAAUAUGUGUCUAUGCUUCCUCUCCACAACUUCAUUCUAUUAAGGAGUGUGAGGAUAGCUGGUCUGAUGUAGUAUGCCCAGGGACUGGAACAAUGUCUUACAUUGAGAGUAGAUAAAUUUAGUGCCAUUAUCAGAUCUAAUGGUUUUUACCAUUAUGUCAAACUGAGUUUUAAUCAUGGAAACAAAUGUCUUAAUAGCCAUUAUGGCAUCAGACUUUAACUGCAACAGGUGCACCUAAGUGUAUCUAUUAUGGUCAUCUACAAUAGUCAAGAAGUAAUACUUAUUGUCAAAAGUAGAAGUUUUAUAUGGACCCCACAAAUUCAUGUGUACAAGCUCAAAACAUGUAGAGCAUCUAGUAGUACUUAAAGGAAAUAACAAUCUUGUCUGUUUAGCUAAUGGACACACAGAACAUUUAUUCAACAUGUUUGCAUCACUAGGAUUCUUCAUAAUGUCUAAACACUUUAGAACCUGAGCAACAGGGUGUCCAAGUCUUUGAUGCCAUAAGAUGCAACUGGAAGUGGAGACUUCUGCAAUAAAUCUGCUGGCUUCUGAUCUUAACUGACUAGCACCUUUAAGAACAUAUAGUCCACCAUCUUGUCUACCAAUCCCGUUUACCUUACCAUUGAAGAGGUCAUGAAAGAUACAAAAAUCAGGAUAAAAGAAUACAAAACAUAAAAGUUCCUUCGUUAUCUUGGCAACAGACAAUAAAUUGAGUUUGAAGUCUGGAACAUGUAGAACAUCUUUGAUCACAUCAUCUGCAAAGAUGUGAGCUUCUCCUGUGUGUGAGAUUGUAACUUCAUCACCUGUUGAAAGGUGCAACUUAUCCACAUGCUUGGAGUCUAAUCUGGUACCUCCUUUGAACAAGUGUCUAUGUGCAAACACAUGAUGUGUAGCACCUGAGUCUACAAUCUAACUGUCAGAACAUGCUUUAGACAAGAAAUGAGUAGUAAUACCUAUCGUAUUGACUUGUUUCAUAUCUGUUGUGUCUUUGUUCAACAUAGUUAUAAUCUGAGUGUACUCUUCCUCAGUGAAUGUGUAAGGCUUGGCCUUUGGUGUGGGAGUUACUUCAUGACUAGAACUAUCAGCAUCAACUUAACCAACUACCAUAGUUGAAGCCUGAGAAAUAGACCUUUGAUCAGUGUUUACAAAGUUGUUACUGCCAGUAUACUGUGAUCUGAAAUUAGAGUUCUAGCUUUGUUUCUUCCUGUUCUUCCAGUCAUUUCGAUACCCUACCAACUUAUAGCAAGUUUCCUUGGUAUGACCCAAUAGAUGGCAAUAAUCACACUUUCUGCCUCUAUAGUUAGAGUUGCUUUGUCCAAAAACAUAAUUUCGAUUCACUUGCAUAGCACGUGGUUUUGAUCUAUCAUUCACAGUCAUUAUACAUGCUGAAUGUUAGAUUUCAUCCUCUAUGAGCAUAGCAUAAACUUGAUUGAGAGUAGGAGUCAUUCCUUGGAGCAAUAUCUGUCUUCUAGCUUGGUCAUAGGACUCAUUCAGGCUGCUUAAAAACUAUAAAAGUCUAAGUUGACACAUAUGAUCUGAGUACUCUCUAGAUGUAGGACAAGCACAACUAGGAUUUGGCACUAGUACAUCAUACUCACUCCAUAAACUCUUCAAUUUGGUAAAAUAGGCUGAGAUUGAAUCUGUACCUUGAGAGUGCAUAUUAAUUUCGCGAUGCAACUGGUAUGUACGCAUACGAUUCACCUUGUCAUACCUCUCCUUCAAAUCCUCCCAAACUGCACAAGCAUUCGUGGCAUAAACAAUGCCAAAUAACAGACUCUCACUCACAGUGUUCAUAAUCCAGGAAAGCACAAUUGUAUUACAUGUUUCCCACUGCUCAUGAAGCUCCUCUCUAUAUGAUUCCUUGUUGCAGGCACCAGUGACAAAUCCAAACUUCCUCUUUCCUAAGAGAGCAAUACGCAUCGAUCGACUCCAUAAACUAUAAUUUUUUGAACCAGUUAACUUGAUUGAAACAAGUACAACACUGGAGCUCUCAGAUGUACCAAUGAAAAGUGGAUCACUUUGAUCGAUUUUAGGUGCCAUGAUUGAUAAAAUGCAACUGUAAUAUAGGUCGAAAUUGCGAAAAAGAGCUGAAGACAGAGAUCCAAAAUGCGCAGAAAACUAGUGAAAUGUGAUCGAAAACACACACUUAGUGUAGAACUCGUGGCUUUGAUACCAUGUGAAAACACUUGCUAAGACUCCAUUGAUGGAUCUAAGAAGAGGAGAAACAUAAAAAAUUAUAAUUGCUUCAAAACUUAUGUGUUACAAUCAGAUUGUUGUGCCUUAUAUAGGCAACAAAAUAUCUAAUAGCUAUUUUUCUUCUAGAACACUCUAUUUGACAGCUCAUUGUCACUCACUAAUCAUUGUCUAACAGUCUUUAACAACUUAUAUAGCUGACUCAGCAGUAUGCUACUAACUAGUUGAAUGUAUACUCCUAUUAGUAUUACACAUCAGUGGAACAGAUAGUCGUGUAUGUUCCAAAACACCUUCUCUAAAUCUUGUUGAUAUAGAGUUGCUUCAUCCACCAAGCUGUAUUUAUUUUAAUAGUGGAUGCAUGAUUAUAGCUGACCAUAAACUCCUUUCGGUCCCAAAUAUUAGUUGUUUUGACAAAGUAAAUUUGCUCCAAGAAAAUAAGAAGUCAUUUACUUUCGAUUAUCUUCCAAGUUUAUGAUCAACAUUUCAAUUUAAUUAUUGGAGUAUUAAUCAAGUGAGACGUUUAAGAGAGAUAAAGGUUAGUCUAACAACUAGUUUUAUGAGUAAGGUUAUUAUAGUAUUUAUUUUUAAAGAGACUGCCAAAAUUGUCAAAGGCAGAUAAUAUAAAUCAAAUAUAAAUGAAGAGCAUGGCCUGUUGUAAGAUAAGAUUCUUUUUAUGUGAUUUGACAUAUUCUCUUCCAAAAGAUCCAAAGUAUUUAAUUUUUAAAGAGCCUGCCAAAAUUGUCAAAGGCAGAUAAUAUGAAUCAAAUAUAAAUGAAGAGCAUGGCCUGUUGUAAGAUAAGAUUCUUUUUAUGUGAUUUGACAUAUUCUCUUCCAAAAGAUCCAAAUGCCUGUGUGGCCCACUAAUCACUAUCAAACUUUUUUCUAUAAUCCUCUUUUAGAAAGCAUUUGUUGCACAUGACAAAUAAUUCAAAAAUUAUAGUUGUCAUAUAUAAUUGGUAAAUUCAUUCUCCUAGUUAUUUGAUCAUAUUACAUGCUAAUUGCUUAUAUAAGAAAUUGAAUAUUCAACAAUCAAAUUUCCACUUUAAUGCAACAGAUGUUGGUUCUUACUUUUACCACCACAAAUCGUGGAUUCAGUCAAAAAUAAUAGUAGAAAAUUUUCAUAAAUACUUAUACUUUGGACCAUAAUUACCAUCACUAUAAAGAGUAUAUUAAAUGCCUGAAGUUUACUUUUCAACUAAUUAUUGCAUUUAAUUUCAUGUGACGUGCGAUGAGAUUCCUUCACUUUUAAUUAUCAUCAAACCUCUUCCACACAACCACAUAAUUCAUCUUACAAUUACCAUCAUCGAUCAUCACUUUGUUAACUACUGUUGCUAGUUGUUGUUGAGGAUUAUGUUUCAUUAUGCUAUUUUACUGCUCCAUUCAUUCAUUUUUUGUUUUAUUAAUUCACUGCAGCACUACUGAACUGACUAGCCAGAUAAGUUUGUCGCUUAGUUAGUUAGAUGAGUUGGCUGAUUGAUAAUUAGUAGGUUAUUAGUGAAGUUUGAGUGUGUAGUGAGCUGGCACACAAGAAUGUUCUAGAACAAGUUAGCUAUUCCUACAACUCAAUCUAUAAAAGGCUGAAUAUGCUCCUCAUUGUAAAGACUAGAAGCAGUUAUAAAAUUCUCUAUUGUUCUUCCUCUUCUUUCUUCUAAGCUCCAUUGAUAGAGUCCUAGCUGAUUGAGAUAGUUUUCACAUGGUAUCAGAGCUAUCGAUACUGGUUGCUUCUAGGCUGCAUUUUAAGUUGCAUAGAAGGUCUCUAGCUAGUUACUCGUAGCAAAAUUGCAGUAGCUAAUGGCACUCAAAAUUGAUCAAAAUGAUCCUCUAUUCAUUGGAUCCUUAGAUGUUACUAGUGCUGUAUUGAUCCUAAUAAAAUUGACUGGACGUGAGAAUUAUGGCGUAUGUAGAGAAGAUCUGCAUGAGCAAUGGGAGACAUCCAAUGCCAUUGUUCUAUCAUAGUUAAUGAACACAAUUAGUGAAGAACUUCUUAAUGGGAUAGUAUAUGCUAUGAAUGCCUCUGAAAUUUGGGCUGAUUUGAAAGAGCGAUUUAACAAGGUCAAUUGACUGAGAGUGUAUCAAUUGCAUAGGGAAAUUACCAUGCUUUCACAAGGUAUUGAUUUUGUAUAUCACUACUACACAAAAUUGAAAACCUUGUAGAAUGAAUAUGAUGCUGUCACACCCUCACCUAGCUGUGAUUGUCCUCGAUCGAGAGACUACGUGGAUCACUUGUCAUAAAUGAGACUGAUACAGUUCUUAAGUGGCUUGAAUGAUCUCUAUGAUCAAGCACGACGACAAAUUCUCCUAAAAGAAACUACUCCUGCACUCAACCAAGCAUAUGCAAUGCUAAUUGAGGAUGAGAUCCAACACUCCACAUGUAUAGCUACGAUGGUUGGGAAAUCAGAUCAACUUACUAUGAGUGUCAAUAGGAAUUAAGGAAAAGAGUAUUACAAAGGGAAAAAAUAUGAAUUUUUCAAUUUUACUGGCCAUACCAAAGAAAACUGCUAUUUGUUGAUAGGUUAUUCAGUGGAUUGGAAAUUGAGAAAGAAAUCUGGUGGUAAUGGUGCUUUUAGGAACUCUAAUUUUAGAAGCAAUACCUGGCAUAUGUAUGGUAAUCAUGGAAAUACUGGUCAAGAAGGAAACUCUGCAGCAAACAAUAUCUCUAGUGGAUCCUGUGAUCAAAUUCAAGUUGUAUCAACUAGCCAAUCAUCCACAAGCCAUGAAGGAAACAUUGCUGCUAUGGCAAAGGGAUAAGCCAUCUCUGAAGAAGAAUACAAACAAAUUCUUAAUAUGCUUUACAAGGAUAUUUCAGAGACUAAGAAGAUUAACAUGACAGGUAUUACCACUUGUUUAAUGUCACAUACGACAUUUCCAAAAGACUAGAUAAUAGAUUCUUGUGCUUCUCACCACAUAACAUCCAGUAAGUGCGGACAUUCAUUACCUGACUAAACCACAGAAGGAUCAAGUUCAUUUACCUACAGAAGAUAAAGUAAAAGUAACUCAUACUGUUACAAUAGAUAUUUUCUUAGAUUCAAUAGUGGAAAAUGUUCUAUUAGUCCCAAAUUUCAAAUUCAAUUUGUUAUAUGUUUCCAAAGUCACAAGAGAACUCACUUGUUUUAUUUCCUUUUACCCUGACUUUUGUGUCUUUUAAGACGUAUUGAGUGGCAAGGUGAAAGGGAUUGGUAAGAAACAUGGUGGAUUAUACAUCUUCAAAAUUGAGACUAUGCAAAGGCAUCUAGGCAAAGACAACAAUAACUCAAAAAGAUUAAUUACUCUAACCGUGAUAAUACCCGAUGUCAUGUUAUGGAAUUCCAUGCUGGGACAUCCUUCUUCUCAAGAUUUAAAACAUCUGAAGUUGAUGGAAUGCAACAAUGAUAGUGAGAUUCUAAAUAACUAUCUUGUUUGUCCAUUAGCUAAACAAACUAGACUCUCUUUCCUAUCUAGUAAUUCUAGAGCAUCUGCAUUGUUUGAGAUAGUUCACAUAGAUCUUCGGGGACCAUAUAAGACCCCUACUAUUGAUAAGAAAUAUUAUUUUAUUAUAAUUAUAGAUGAUCAUAGUAGGUUUGUAUGGGUUUAUUUAUUGUAGUUAAAGUCUGAAACUAUUGUUACCAAGAGUAGAAUGAUAUAGUAGAAAGGAAACAUAGUCACAUAUUAGAGAUUGCUAGAGCCAUUAGAUUUCAAUCAAAGCUGCCUAGUAACUUCUAGGGAUUUUGUGUUCAAGCUUCAAUAUACUUGAUGAAUUGACUACCAUCAUAUGCUUUAGCCAAUAAGACUCCAUAUGAACUAUUAUAUUGCAAGGGGCCCAUGCUGGCACAUUUAAGGGUCAUAGGAUGCCUUUGUCAUGCCUCAUGCUUACCAAAAGGUGAUAAAUUUUCAGCCAAAGCUGUUCCUGCUACGUUGUUAGGAUUCUUAGAGCUACAAAAAGGUUAUAUAGUGUGGGACAUUUCCAUAAGCAAGAUCUUUGUGUCCUGGGAUGUGUCCUUUAGAGAAGAUAUUUUUCCUUUUGCUGAUGCUCAUAUUGGAAGUUCUUUCUAACCAUUAGUUUCACCCAGUUCUCCUUUGGAAAUAGUGCAUGAUUCAUGUCUAGCUGAUGCCUUAAAUAAUAAAGGUGCAAUUGACUGCACACUUAAACCUUGCAUAUCUUUACCACCGGAUGAGACACCAUCAGAUUAAGCAUCUCAUACUAUUCUUCCAUCACAUGCUGCAGAGAUUUUUCCUCUUAGAAAAACUAGUAGAGUAACCAAACAACCAUCCUGGUUGAAAGGCUUCUCUACUAUCAUAAGGCCUCAGACUAGUACUAGAUAUCCUAUGUCAAACUACCUCUCAUAUGAUCAUGUCAACCCUUAUCAGUACUAUGUGGCUAAGUUUACUCAUCAUCUAGAGACUAGGACUUUUAAGACAGCUACAAAGGAUGAUAGAAGGAUUGCUGCUAUGAAGCAAGAGAUCCAUGCUCUUGAGGAUAAUCAAACCUAAAAGGUGAUUGAUUGGCCACUUGGAAAACAUAAAGCUGGAUCUAAAUGGGUGUAUAAGGUCAAAUACCAAGAAAAUAGUAUGGUAUAAAGAUACAAGACAAGGUUGGUAGCAAAAGGUUAUAGUUAGUUGAAAGGCUUGGAUUAUCAUGAUCCAUUUUCCCCGGUUGCCAAAAUGGUUAUAGUACGAUGUGUCAUUGCUUUAGCUGCCUCCUAAGGAUGGAACAUGUUUCAAAUGGCUAUAUACAAUGCUUUUCUUUAAUGUGAUAUAGAUGAAGAAGUAUAUAUGGAUUUACCUGAUGGUUUUAAGAAACUAGGGAAAACUGAGAAGACUAAAGUCUGCAAUUACACAAAUCCUUAUAUGAUCUUAAGCAAGCUUCCAUGCAAUGGAACAUUAAGCUGACUUCUGCCUUGUUAGAUACUGGUUUCUCUCAAAGUGCACAUGAUUAUUCUCUCUUUACUUUUAAGAAAGCUGAAGACAUAGUGGUUGUACUAGUGUAUGUUGAUGAUUUUCUCAUCACAGGGAGCAAUGGCCAGUUAAUUGACGAAUCUAAGAAAUCUCUACAUUAGAGGUUCAAACUGAAAGAUCUAAGCCAUCUCAAGUACUUCUUGGGAAUUGAGGUGUUGAUAUCAAGUUUAGGUGCUAUACUAAAUUAGAGAAAGUAUAUUCUAGAGUUGAUUCAUGGUACAGGCCUUAGUGGUACCAAGCCUAAUCCUACUCCUUUGGAAUCUAACUUGAGGUUGACCUCAGUAGAGUAUAACAAGGUAAAUGAUGUUAUUGGAGAUCGGUGACACACUAAACUUACUCCAUAAGUUAUGGAAAAGGCGAUCAUUGUCAAAUAUAAUAAUUCAAUAUGAGUUGGGGUCAAAUCCUCGAGGAGUGAAUCUAGUAUUCAAAUUCUAUGGGUGUUAAAAGCAUCUAAGUUUAUACCCAUCAUAUAAACUAAAUGAAAUACAUGAAUUAAAAUUUGGGGGGGGGGGGGGGGGGGGAUGUAUGGUUUGGAAAAAUUAUUUUAACAAAAACUACUCAAAUUACCAAUUGGGAGCAACAAAUGUAGAUAAGAUUUCAAUAGGAGAAUGGUCUUGGGAUUAUGUUUUCUUAGGGGAAAAUAGUGCGUGGGUUCAUGAUAAUCAAAUACAACUUCUAGUUAAUAACUAGAUGGGUAGGCUAGAUUAGGGGUUUUGAUGCUAGCUUUUCAACCAAACACAAAAGAUAUCACUUAUGGACCCUUUCGGAUACCUCAUGAAUGUGGUAAAAAAAUCUACCCAAUACCUCAAUUGGGAAUCCCUAUUUCGAGGAAGAUGCCCGAGACAUAACAAAUUCAUAAUCCACACUUAUUUCUAAGACAAUAAAAAUGAACAAGCUAAUAUCUAAUUUAUUGUUCACAAAUACUAUUCACUCACAUCCCUCUUACAAGGAUGAUGUGCAAUUUGGAGAAAUUGGGGCUUUCACCCAUAAAUCCCAAUUUAGCAAUCAAAUAUUUGUGAACUCCACCAUCAUCAACUAUGAAUUUACACUAAUAAUCAAAACCCACACACAUUUGUACCCUAUUCAAACAUAAUCCCAAGAUAGAAUAUUAGCUACUCAUGGAAAUAGGAAAAAGAGCAUUACCCAAAUUGACAUUCAUUUCCUCAAUUGAAAAUAAAGCAAAAGUAAUCCCAAAAUUCCAAGCUCCAAUUACAACUAAAAAUAUUUUUUUUGGAAGAUUAAAUCUAAUUGUUCUUCUCAUACUAAUUGGAAGUUUUCUCUCUAUUUUUCUUUCAAAGGUUGUUGGAAGAUAUUGCCAAAGUGAAAGGGUUUGCUCUUUUGAGAGAUUGGAACCAGCUGUGGAAAAUUAUCAAUCUGCCCCUGGGCUGAUUUACACCUCAUUACGAUCGUUGGUGCAUUGAUCACGAUCGCGGCUCCUGCAGCCGCGGAGAACCUAUUGCGAUCGCCAACUUUGACUGAUUUGGAUUGGCCGCGUUGCGAGCCUCAGACCGCGAUCGCAGUAACUGAGGGUCAAUUUCUGCUUCUGCUUUUCUAGAUUUUGCACUACUUCUUCCUUUUUUGAUAUGUUUUUAGGAUAUUUCACUUCUUUGCUUCUCAUCACCUGUAUGCCUACAAAACAUGGGAAUUAGCGCAUUCAAAUGACAAAUUUGUAUCAUUAACACCAGUAACUCAUAGCAGUAUGCAUGGAUUUGGGCAUCAAUGAGUGGUAAAUAAGCGAUCACGGUAACUGAGGGUCAGUUCCUACUCCUGUUUUUCCAUCUUUUGCACUACUUCUUCCCUUUUUGAUAUGUUUUUAGCUCAUUUUACUUCUUUGCUUCUCAUCACCUGUAUGCCUGAAAAACAUGGGAAUUAGCACUUCAAAUGAUAAAUUUGUAUCAUUAAUACCAUUAACUCAUAGUAAUGUGCACAAAUUUGGGCAUCAAUGAGUGGUAAAUUAACCACUCAUCAACACCCCCAGCUUAAAACUUUGCUUGUCCUCAAGUAACACUACUUCUUAUUCAAUGAGACUAUGCAAUUGUAAGCCCAUUUAUACAAUCAAAUGAUCACAGUGACUUUGAACUUGAUCAACACCAACAACUAGCUCUCAAACAUGGGUAAAGCUAUUCUCACAAUUCCCCUCAACAUGAAACACAACCUCAAAGAUGCAAAAGACUUUAAAUAACAAUAAUUCAACAAUUUCUAGCUCUAUAGAAGUGACUCUCUAUCGAUAGCAACUUCACUAUGCUCAUUUUGCCUUAUUUUUUGGAAGAUGAUAAUUUCACCCACCUCAAUUGGUCUACAUGCCUCCCAAUGAGAAGAAAAUCGUACACGCCAAAUUAUCUAUUAUACAACAAGAGAUUUUAGUGCAAAGCACUCUCUCACAAAAAUCUCUCAAUGCUAACAAGUGCCAUAUCAUAGGCUUUCUCUUAUUUUCAAUCGCCACUACUAUGAAUACACUUGGUUGGAGAUCUUAUAGGGCUUUUAAAGCUUGUAAUGUAGGUUCAGGAAGGGGUAUGAUAUCAUUUAGGAACAAAGUGACUAUACCCUCCUUGAACAUCUACAUCAAACUAUUCAACCCAACUUUUGACCAUGGAUAACUUCAUUUGUUUCCAAAAUUCACACAUGACUACUUUUGCUACCUUGAUUUACCUAUCUCAUUGAAAGCAUUCUCUUUUUAGCUAUUUCUUUUUGAUAUCUAUGCUAUUCCUUCUUUUGAUGAUUCCUUUAUUUUUAACUUUUUCCAUUUCUUUCUGUGCUUAGCAUCAUAUGCAUCCACUUAUAUUAUCAUGGACCAAGGUCAUCUCCUUUAAACUUACCACCCAACUUAGGUAUUUGGACUCAAGUUUCAUUUUUCAAGUUCAAGGAGGGUAAGGAUCAAAAGAGGGAUCAAUUUCAAAAUGAUCAAGACUUGUAAUGUGAUUUCCAAAGAAAGGAUUGAAGGUUCAAAAUGGGUAACUAAGGAUACUAUUCUAUGUACGGGUAGACUAUUUAGGCUAAAGUGGGUUCCUAUGUUCACAAAGAAGGCCCAAGAUCAUUUCACCAACCAAGCAUAAUAAAAAAUAGCCUUGAGAGACUAACGGGGCAAGUUCUAGAUGAUACAAGUAUGCAUGAGAGUCAUACAAUUACACUCACCGUACAUGGCAUGUAAACUUUUCAAGAAGGCUCAAUUGCAUUUCCUUCUAGAUAUAAAAAAGGGACUAUUUACCAAAUACACAAGAUAAAGACUUCGCAGUCACAAAAAGAGGUAAAGUAUUGUUACAAAAUUAUUCAUGUCCAUGCCCUUGGUUUUCAAAAUUUUUUUUUGGACGGAGGGGGGUGUUUGCUUCGCAUUUACACCACACCAAAUUUGCUAUUGGUGGCACCAAACUAAGCCACCGUCUUAUAUUUUUGAUCUCCUGAGGGCAAACCAUAUGACUACUCAGACUUCACCAUAUGUAUAAGGGCGAUCCAAAAACUCCAAUGCCAUCGGUACUUAGACUUCCCCUACAUAUAUGGAUCAAAACCCAAUCACGAUGAUUUUCCCUUAAGAAUGUCGCACUCAAUCCAUCAUCGGGAAGGGCUCAUCCAAAAUCAAUCAAAAGAGACACAAAAAUCCUUAUGCUUGUUGUGAGACUUUUAGAUUACGAUGCCCAGACAUCGACAUAACUCCAACACCCCCAACUUAAGGAGUUAAAGUUCCCUCACUACAACAUAUAAAAGAAUUACAAGGAUUAAAAAGGGAUCCCUUAAGCAACAACACACAUUUCUUUGGACUAUCGUGAUCGCGAUAGGAUGUACCACGAUCUCAAACCUCAGACCGUGAUCACAGUAACUGAUUGUCAUGACCUAAUUCAUGAGUCGUGAUGACACCUACUAAACCCACCAAUAGGUAAUCCAAUACCAUAAACCAGAGCUAAGGCAAUGGGUUACUCUAGUAGAAACUCCCAAUAAGGGCCAUACUAGAUUCACACAAUAAUAAAAAACAAUGUUUCACAAUAGACAAUCGACUAUGGAUACCAAUCCCAUGACUUUAUUGUCAUGACCUGAGAUGAGGCCCUGGCAGCGAAGAGUAUCCCAAACCCAAAGGCUCAAGAGACUCCUUAGCAUUCUACCAUAAGCAUAAUCUAUAGAUAAAUCAAAGUACGAAAGAUAUAAUGAAAAUUCAAUGAAAAUUUAUAAUACAAGAUGUGUCAACAAAAUAUGAUAAUACAAUACUUAACUUCCAUCUACAAGCCUCUAUUGAAUUACUAGUCACUCUAGACUGGGACAAGGCCCCCAAAAGGACCAUAAGACAACUAAACUAACAUAAUAAUAGAAUGCCUUUAGAAGCAAGGGAGGCUCACCAAUGCUGGAGUUUAGGAAGUAAUCUACUACUGAGUUAGACCCUGUAAAUCUGCCUCAGAACCUACAUUAUGAGACAAUGUAGCCGCCACAAAGGACGGUCAAUACCUGAAAUGUAUUGGUACACAGAACUAACCAAAAGCAACAUGUAUUCUAUAUAAAAUAGUUGAGAGCAUUUAGAAAACAAUUUAACAUAGUAUAUACAUAAAACACAUGGGCAUAAUUUGAUAAAUUUCAAAACAUUUUAUUGUAAUCAUGACUCAACUCUUUGCUUUACUUCUGAGCUAGAUGGUACACCCUAUAUUUCUACGAUCCCACAAAUUAUAUGGAAUUCACCCUUGACUCAGCAGCCAAGCCUCCAAUCCAAGUUUGCCACAAUAAUUGGAGUCCUAAAUACUAUUCUAGUACACCAGUGAUCAGAGGCAAGUAUACACUGGCCAUUCACAUAUUCGAAAUACCAAUCAUAUCUCCCAAGUCGGCAAAACUAGGUUUCCAGCAAUGAGCCCUUACACUUAAAUGCCUUCUUCGGGAAACCAUCUAAAUCUCUUUAAUCCCAAUUUUAGUCCUUUAAAAAUCAUUCUUCAUGCUAAAAAAACAUUCAGUGCUUAUUCUAUUAAGGGCAUAGCUGCACAGGGCAUCAUCAUACCCAGACUUGUAAGUCAUUCAUAUCAUAUCAAAUCUACAACCCUUCUAAUUCAAAAUAUAUAAAUGACCACCAAAAUAUUUAUCAAAUCACACGAGAGUUCUUAUUAUCAAAAACAUAUGAAACUUAUGCAAACACACUCUCUUUACAAGAGUUUAAUACUUGGUGGUCAAUUCUUUCUUUAAUCACAUGUAGUUUCUUCAUUAAAAACCAUAGUAUUUAGAAUAGAAAUCACCUCUUUGAAAAACAGUUAAAACAACCAUCCAUAACAAGUAAAGAAACAUUCAAACUCAAGAAUCAUCUUUAUUCAUAACACAACCUCAAUAUUUGUUAUACGUAAAUCUCAUGAUAAAAAACGGUCUUAUAAUUUCAUGCUUUUAAAGCCAAUUCACAAUUCAUAACAUGCUAAUGCCACGACCUGAACCAGGGUCUGACCGUGACGAGCAUUUCGAACCAUGGAGGCCCCAAACAUCCCUAUCUGUCUAGUAAUGAUGCACCUAAUUUAUAUGAUCAAAGUAAUGCAGAAGAAACACAAUAUAACAAAAACAUGGUCAAGAAUCAUAUAAAAAUGAAAAUGGGGAUUAGUGUCCCACAAUCUAAAUCAACAUUUCUAAAACCGUCUGCGAAAUCUCUACUACAUGACUGAAAUAAUGUCUAUCUGAAAACUAGGACAAGGCCCCAAACAGACCCCAAAACUAAAUAUAAGAUAAAAGGACUGCAGGACAUUAGACCUUCCGAAACAUAGAAGGCUCACAUUUGUCUCUGCAACUCUGUCUGAAUGAUCUACUGAUUCUCUUGACCCCUAGACUGGGCCUCUGAACCUGGGACAUUGGAGAGGGGAGGGGGUCAGAACAAAAGUACUGGCACGCAGAGAUAUCAAAACAAAAUAUAAUAUCUUUACAAAAUAUAGUUGAGAGCCAUUAUAAAGCAAUUUCAUGUCAAAUCAUUUGAAAACACAUGGGUAUAAUGCAAUAGUUUCUCAACAACAAUGAAAUGCAAUUGAGCUAGGUGGAAUACCCUACAUAAUUUACACUAACUGUCUAACCUCGGUUGCCACCGAGAUUAGAGUAUAAGUGAGGGAGAGACACACAAGAUCAUAUAACAUGGUGUCUCAACCCAAUGGUAGUGCCCAAGAUCACUUAGCCUAGGCUCCUACCUAUAGUCCCAAUUUGGGAAUGACAUAAAAUCAAGUACACAAGAUCACUUAGCCUGGUACCAAAUCUCCGUGUCGGCAAACACGUUUUCCAGUGAUGAGCCCUUACACUCAUACGCCUUCCUCAAACGCCUUCUUCGGGCAUCCACCUUUCUCAUGUAAAUCAAUGCAUUUAAAUUUCAUCUUAUUCAAUCAAAUAUCGUAUUCUGUAGGGUAUCAUCAUACCUGACUUUCAAGUCAUCAAUAUCACAUCCACAUAUGCAUAAUCAUGUAAAAACCAAGGUGCUUCAUCAUUUACAAGUGGUGAACAAUAUUUAUUUCAAAUUCAUGCUCUCUUUUGUUGGUCACAAUAUGAUAUGGGGUAUCGAGACAUUAUCAUGGGAAUUUGAAAGCAAUUUAUCAUUCAUAUUUAUCAAACUUCCAUGGAAAAUCUCAAAUCACAUAUGCAUGGUUUCAACCAUUGAAGUAUAUAGGCAAACAAUUCGCAUGACAUAAAGAAAGAUGACUUAGAAAUCAUAUUGAAAGCAAGUUAUUAGCAUUUGAUUGAAAACCCCCAUUUAAAAGCAUGCAUGUUCAUAAAAACUACACCCAUGAGAUUUUAGGAUAACCCCACGUACCUCUAUUUCCAAGGAUAAUAGAUGUUUCUUGAAGCUUGCGGAUUGGUGAUUCCAAAUAUGUAAUUAUCUUUGAAAACCUACGAUCGAAUCUUGAACUAUUUGGGUUUUUAUUUUAAAAUCCUAGAUAGAGCUCUUGAACAAUUUGGAUGAAUGAAGGUGUAUUUUGGGGUCUUUGGGAACUGAAUUUCGUGUUUAUGGCUAAAUAAGGGUGAAAAGGACCAUUUUAUCCCAAAAACGGAGUGUUUAAGUCACCUGAAAACUUUACAUAGACGGUGCCUAUGCUAUCACCUAUGUUUACAUAGGCGCCGCCUACUACUUUGAAAGGCCAUAACUUCUUGCUCGGGUGUUGGAUUUUAGCAAAAUUGAUAUUGUUGGAAAGCUAACUCAUAGACCUAUUAUUUGACACAUAGUAGGCCCUCUAAUUCGACAUAUACAGAGAGUUAUGGUUGAUGGAAGCUGACACAAAUUACAACGUCCACUAAAACUUAAUCGAUCGAAAUAGUUUCAACUCGUCCUUGAGUUGAAGGACCUCUAUGGUCUAAAUUCAAGCUUGAAUGGAUUCACAUGAUACGCAAAUAAUUAACAUGCCAUAUUGGCAUAGGAUUUAUGUCUUCAGAAUUAUCAACGCAUCAAAAUCAUGGUUUUUAUUCUAGCCCAAAAUAUGGGGUGUUACAUUAUCUCCCCCUUGGGAUCAUUCGUCCUCGAAUGAUGGGUAGGAACAUAUUAAAUCUUAGAGGUAUGGAAUAACGCGGACACGAAAUGUCCUCUAAUAAAGAAUACACUAAUCUGAAAAAUGACCAUAUGGCUGGAACUACUGAUGUUCUGAAUUCUUAUUCCGGACAUGCAUAUCUGAUGCAUGGAAUACACGACUGAAGCUACUCAUAAGCUAAAUUCUCAUAAUGAACAUGCAUACGUGAUGCAUGGAUUUGUUACUGAGUUGUUCUCAUGAACGCGGAACUGAAUACACUGAUAGGCUGAAGUUUUUCUAUUGAACAUGCAUUUCUAAUACAUGUAUAUCUGACUGAACUGACGUAUGAAUGUAUGACUGAAUACGCAAUGAUAACUGGUGCGAGGCUUGUAAUAAGAAUCUAUGCACGCAACUGAAUGGGGUAUCUCCCCUUUGGGAUCCUAUGUCCCUCUAUGAAUUGUCAAUUCACUAAGAUACUCGGAAAACUGAGGCGAUGCACAGGGCACCUACGAAUUGAAUCAUAACUGAACAUCUGGAAUCUGAAUUUAACACAUGAUGCAUGAACUGGGCUAUAUUCGUAACUACUGGUAUACUCUAUCUUGGAAUAGUAGCAUGUCUGAGAUUUUGAAUAGCAUGAAUAAGUUCAAAAACGAGAAAACAAGUCAUGCAAAUCUGACCGCUAAACUGACUUAUUGGCCAUACAAACUGAAUUAUACUACACCCUCAUACUUAUCUGGAGUAUCUCUUCAGUACAAUUCUCUAAGAAAUUCUAGCGGUAAUAGGGAGCCAUGAAUCUUGGGUAUGGAUUACACAAGACAUCCAACUGAGAAAAUCACAACAUUGACACUACUCUGCAGUCUGGAAUAUAGACAUAUAACUCCUAAAUUAGGAUAGAAUUUUCAGACCCUUUGGCAUUACAACUUCUUACUUUCAAGCUUAGCACACUUCUCGAAUAUCACUUAACUAUACUAUUCCCUAUAAAUAUCAUAUUCAUUCAACUCAGCUUAAAAUUCUCAUAUGAGCAUUGACAAAUCUUUCUAAUAAUGUCAGAAAUAACUUAAUCCCUUCGCCGUGAUCAAGCCUAACUCAUAGUCACCGGAAAAAAAAAUACAACAUGCCAGACCACGCUAUUAUUCUAAACCAUAUGAUGCAAUAUUCUAUAUCUCCUUUAAUGAUCACAUCCUAAGUAUAAUAUGCCUUACCACUUCAAUGACUACUCUGAACUCUUAAUAUGAAGUCGCUAUUCCAUAUUGCGACCUUCCACUAUAAUCCUAAAACGUCAUUCAAGCCUAUUUUAUAACCGCAUGUUGACUUCAAGGCAACCACCCAUAAAUACAUACUUCACAUAGUUUUUAAACUAUUGUCAAUAUAACUCCCACGUGCUACCUUAAGACAUACACACACAAACUUUUCCACUAACCAUCACAUGUAUCAAAGACUUGGCCCCAAAUCUUACUUCAUACUUAUGGCCAUAUCUAAACAAGAAUACUAUGAUCUUCCAUCAAUAAGAACAUUUACAUCAUCACCACUAUCAUUGCAUAGGGCAGGUCACAAAAAGGUUAAAACAUAAGACCCUGAAACAUGAAAUUUUUUUUAUACGGGACUGAGCACACUAUAAAGAGUGAGUACAUGCGUCAUGAGUUGCAUGACCUCAACUAGAGUUCAUAACAUAAGGAAUGUGAUUCCGACUACAUGAAUGAACUAGAACUCAUUAUCUUGGAACUGGAAGAGUACGUGACUCUCUAUCAUAUACNNNNNNNNNNNNNNNNNNNNNNNNNNNNNNNNNNNNNNNNNNNNNNNNNNNNNNNNNNNNNNNNNNNNNNNNNNNNNNNNNNNNUCAUCACCACUAUCAUUGCAUAGGAAGGGUCACUAAAAGGUUAAAACAUAAGACCCUCAAGCGUGAAAAGAUUUUUAUACGGGACUGAGCACACUAUAAAGAGUGAGUACAUGCGUCAUGAGUUGCAUGACCUCAACUAGAGUUCAUAACAUAAGGAAUGUGAUUCCGACUACAUGAAUGAACUAGAACUCAUUAUCUUGGAACUGGAAGAGUACGUGACUCUCUAUCAUAUACAGGAAUCAUGAACUACUAUUACAGAACUGGAUCGUAAAGCAUGAGUAAGCAUCUGAAUAACUGAAAAAAAAUACUGAGGUAGGAAUGGGUUGAGAUUCACCCUCACUUUCUGAUGUUGUCAAUCAUACUGCAUCACUACUAGAAUCUGAGAGCCUUACUUGGUCAUUCGUUCUAUUAUCUCCCCCUUAGCUUCAAGUCAUCAUCUAGAGUUUGGGAGAUCCCUUUCCAGAUUCUAACUGAACUACACUUACUGCACUCUAGGGUCUGAAAAGAAAAAAAAUGACAAUACAUGCAUAUCGUAGACUUAACCCGAAUGACUACCUUCUGGGAUACACUCUAUCUUUCCAUAGCCAUCAAUAGUCAUAGUAUAAUGCUUGCGCGCACUUAUUUCUAUCGAUUCAACCUUCAAAUCUCUAACUUAGAUUCUAACACUUAACAUGGCAAUUUAGAUCACCAUAUACCAUCUAACUAGUCUUUCUCCACUUAACAAUUCAAUGGUACCACUAGCCACACAAAUUAUGUAAUAGUCUUAGAAAAAUAUGCCGCAACCUCAUAUCACCUUGNNNNNNNNNNNNNNNNNNNNNNNNNNNNNNNNNNNNNNNNNNNNNNNNNNNNNNNNNNNNNNNNNNNNNNNNNNNNNNNNNNNNNNNNNNNNNNNNNNNNNNNNNNNNNNNNNNNNNNNNNNNNNNNNNNNNNNNNNNNNNNNNNNNNNNNNNNNNNNNNNNNNNNNNNNNNNNNNNNNNNNNAUGAUUUUACAACCAAACCUUACGCAUGAUUCUCACUUGGAAACCAUGAAAUAAACAUCAAGAAACACUAGUACACUAGAACUUCAUAACAACAAUAAUCGACCUUGACCUUACGGUCUUCCUUAUCAUAACUCAUUAGCACGUACUAUUUCAACACAUCAAGCCUACUAAUAUUUAUUCCCACAAACAUACAUCAUUAAUCUCAUGCCACUAUUCUUACAUCCAUAUACUACAUUAGAUUCAAUCCAAUGGUCUAGCAUCAAUCUUCUACAACCAAUGACAAGGGAAACAUAAUAUACUAAUCCAUCAAAUUGGAACAUUCUAUCCCAAAUACUUCAAAAUCUGCUACAUACCUUCUCAUAAGUAGUACUAGUUUACAACUACCAACAAAAGAAGGUCAAGGGGUAAGGUCACAUAAUAGACAUGAUAAACCUUAAUCUUAUAUUAUAAUCCCAUACAAUCUUUUCUACAUAUACAGAUUUCUCGCCUCAUACUUACUCACUCAAUCAUACAUUUAGACUGCCUUCAAAUUCCUCAAACAACCAUGAGUCUAUAAUCAUAACUUACUCGCUGAUAUAGCCAUUUUCACAUUCAAGCAACCAAUAAAUCACCCUAACUGACAACUCCUUCUCUACCUUAUACUAAACUAACUCACAAGGACGAAUUACCUCUUUACCAACUCAAUCUCAUGCAAACAGAUUCAGCCAUACAUAUAUUAAACCAACAAAAGAACAACAAGUUGGACAACAAGUUGCUAGUGAAUCGAAACAGGCCUCACACGGCUUCACUAGACUUUGGUUUUGUAUUUUGAACAAGAAAAUGAGAUGGAUGACAAGGCAACUAUGCUAGUGAAUCGAAAGAGCCCCACACGGCUUUGCUAGACUUUUUAGUUUCAUCAAUACAAUGAUAAAUAUUUUCAAGAGAUAGAAACUUGUCACACAAUAUUCCAUUAUCUGAGAGUACACAUCUUACUUUGUAUAGAUAAAAAUCUGAGUCAAAUACUUCCUCCAUAGACUACCAUACCAUCCACACAUGCUGCUAGCUACCAAAUUAGUUUAUCACUAUAAAGGGGUAAAUCAUCCUCACUCUGACUUCUAACUUUGUGACUUCAUAUCACCAACUUUUUGGUCUAAUUUCAUUACCAGUAGUUCAUGACAACAACACUUUAACAUAUAUUACUAUUCUGGUGGAAAUACAGUUCCAAUAUUCUGUUACACCUUAUUACCUCUGAAGCGUGACACUAGCAACAUAAGUUCUGAAAAGAAUUGAAUACACUUAAUACUGCAGGCUGAAAAGCACGAUUUCAUCAAAAUCAAGGUUCACACUAGAACCAAAACACUCUGAAGUACUAACAGACUCUUCUCAAGUCCUUGGAAAAAUAUUAUAUGAUUCGAUCAGAAUGAACCAUACCAUUUAGACUCUAAACUCCUGUACUUGAAUUGGCCCAAUAAUGAGACAUGUCUGAGAAUGUCCGAGUAAGGAAAGAAUUGGGAUGACUGUUACUUUCGUAUGGGUGACGCCAUAGCACAAAUUUGAGUAUGUAGGAGAAACAUUCUGACUCUGUUGCACGAAUUAGAACAUGAAGAAAGAGAGACAUUCCUAAAUACCUAGUAGCCUCCUGCUUAUAAGUGUGGCGCGCUACACACCCAAAAAUAAGACUCUACUCGAUGCAAUUUCGUAGAUACCUUGAGACCAUGAACCAUGCUUUGAUACCAAGUUUGUCAUGACCCGAACCAGGGCCUGGCCGUGAUGAGCAUUUUGAACCAUGGAGGCUCGAAGCACCCCUAUCUGUCUGGUAAUCAUGCACCUAAUUCAUAUGAUCAAAGUAACGCGGAAGAAACACAAUAUAAUGAAAACAUGGUCAAGAAUUAUAUGAAAACGAAAAUAGAGAAUAGUGUCCCACAAUCUAAAUCAACAUCUCUAAAACCGUCUAUGAAAUCUCUACUACAUGACUGAAAUAAUGUAUAUUUGAAAACUGGGACAAGGCCCCCAGUAGACCCCAAAACUAAAUAUAAGAUAAAAGGACUACAGGACAGAAGACUUUCCGAAACAUAGAAGGCUUACCACUUGUCUCUGCAACUCUGUCUGAAUGAUCUACUGAUUCUCUUGACCCCUAGACUGGGCCUCUGAACUUGGGAGGUUGGAGAGGAGGGGGGUCAGCACAAAAGUACUGGCACGCAGAGACAUCAAAACAAAACAUAAAAUCUUUAAAAAAUAUAGUUGAGAGCUAUUAUAAAGUAAUUUUAUGUCAAAUCAUUUGAAAAUACAUAGGUAUAAUGCAAUAGUUUCUCAACAACAAUGAAAUGCAACUGAGCUAGGUGGAAUAUCCUACAUAAUUUAAACCAACUGUCUAACAUCGGUUGCUGCCGAGAUUAGAAUAUAAGUGAAGGAGAGACACACAAGAUCACAUAGCAUGGUGUCUCGACCCAAUGGUAGUGCCCAAGAUCGCUUAGCUCGGGCUCCUACCUAUAGUCCCAAUUUGGGAAUGACAUGAAGUGAAGUACACAAGAUCACUUAGCCUGGUACCAAAUCUCCAUGUUGGCAAAUACGUUUUCCAGCGAUGAGCCCUUACACUCAUACGCUUUCUUCGGGCAUCCACCUAUCUCUUGUAAAAUCAAUGCAUUUAAAUUUUAUCUGAUUCAAUCACAUAUCAUAUUCUGUAGGGUAUCAUCAUACCCGACUUACAAGUCCUCAAUAUCACUUUCACAUAUGCAUAAUCAUGUAAAAACCAAGGUGCUUCAUCAUUUACAAGUAGUGAACAAUAUUUAAUUCAAAUUCAUGAUCUUUUUUGUUGAUCACAAUAUGAUAUGGGGUAUCAAGACAUUAUCACGAGAAUUUGAAAGCAAUUUAUCAUUCAUAUUUAUCAAACUUCCAUGGAAAAUCUCAAAUCACAUAUGCAUGGUUUCAACCAUUGAAGUAUAUAGGCAAACAAUUCCAACGACAUAAAGAAAAAUGACUUAGAAAUUAUAUUGAAAGUAAGUUAUUAGCAUUUGAUUGAAAACCCCCAUUUAAAAGCAUGCAUAUUCAUAGAAACUACACCCAUGAGAUUUUAGGAUAACCCCACGUACCUCUAUUUCCAAGGAUAAUAGAUGUUUCUUGAAGUUUGCGGAUUGGUGAUUCCAAAUGUGUAAUUAUCUUUGAAAACCUACGGUCGAAUCUUGAACUAUUUGGGUUUUUAUUUUGAAACCCUAGAUAGAGUUCUUGAACAAUUUGGAUGAAUGAAGGUGUAUUUUGGUGUCUUUGGGAACUGAAUUUCGUGUUUAUGGCUAAAUAAGGGUGAAAAAGGACCAUUUUAUCCCAAAAACGGAGUGUUUAAGUCACCUGGAACCAUUACAUAGGCGGUGCCUAUGCUAUCGCCUAUGUUUACAUAGGCGCCGCCUAUGCUAUUGCCUACUACUUUGAAAGGCCAUAACUUCUUGCUCGGGUGUCAAAUUUUAGAAAAAUUGGUAUCGUUGGAAAGCUAACUCAAAGACCUAUCAUUUGACACAUAGGCCCUCUAAUUCGACAUAUAUAGAGAGUUAUGAUCGAUGGAAGCUAAGACAAAUUACAACAUCCACUAAAACUUAAUCGAUCGAAAUAGUUUCAACUCGUUCUUAAGUUGAAGGACCUCUAGGGUCUAAAUUCAAGCUUGCAUGGAUUCACAUACUAUGAAAAUAAUUAACAUGCCAUAUUGUCCUAGGAUUUAUGGCUUCGGGAUUAUCAAUGCAUCGAAAUCAUGGUUUUUUAUUCUAGCCCAAAUUGUGGGGUGUUACAGCUAAGAUAAUGAAUUUCAACAUGGGGAAGGGAAUUUCACAAUCAUAUUCAUAAAUCACUUUUCAAACUCAAAUCAUGUAUGCACAAGUUUAUAAAUCAAGUUUAUAGAAAAAUCCUAUGACAAAUACAUACUUUCAUCAAAUUGGGUUCAUGAGGUAUGCUCUCGCCCCAAAUCUGGUACUCAGAAUGUUACACGGUGCUCAUAACCCCAAAGGACCACACCCAUGAACGAUAUCUGUAAUUGACCACUUAAUAAUAUACUGUUAAUAUACAGAAUAUAAGCUGUAAGGCGAUAAGAUUCAAAACUGAACUAAUACUGAAUAUAAAACAAUGUUUGUAAUUGGGUAUAACAAUACCCAAAACUGAAAUAGACUGCCUGAAAUAUGCUGUAGUCUGAAAGCCUCUAAACUAUUUGAAAACUGUAGAGUUGAUGGGACGUCCCCAACUAACUCUGAACUACUAAAAUAAUAAAGUAAUAUAAUAAUUAUGCUAUCCUCGAAUAAUGAGGACUCACUAUUAGUUUGGUUGCUGAAUGUCUAAUCUACUAAGGAUGCUCGAAAACUUAUGCUUUUAAACCUAUGGUAUAAUACAUCAUAGCGCAAAUGCGUCAGUAUGUUGAAUGUACUAGUAUGCAAGUGAGGUAGGCUAAAUGCAAUGGUUUAUAUGAAUGAACAAUACUAACUGACUAAAUAACAUGAAUGUGAGAAUUCAUGUAUGAAUAUGUAACUUUAACUAAGAUCAUGAUAACACUGACUCAUGAAUUCUGAUAACGUGGAUUUAUUGAUAUCUGAGUACUAAUACUGGGAUACUGAAUAACUGAGUCUAUUGAGUACUAAGGAAUUGAUGUCAUAUUAUUGAUAAAGGAAUGCAUGUUUCUGACAAUUCUAAUUAUGAAGAACUGGUCUGAUUGACUGUAUCUAACAGUCCUGAAACUAAAUACUAAUAACAUGAAUUUUGUAUAAUUAAUAUACUAAUAACUGGGUGACUGUGUCUAACAGUCCUAAUUCUGAUGGAACUAGCUGAGUUUCGUACUGUGCUGAGCGACUGUAUCUAACAGUCCUGAUUUCUAUAGAACUGGACUGAGUUCUAUUCUGAAGACUGAAUCUAAAACUGAAAUUGUGGGAAGUAGUCAUCUAACCGAGAUUCCCCUAGUAAUCUAUUAUAGAUAGUUGGGGUCCAAUCUGUAACCCCAAUUGGAAGGGUGUCAAUACUGCGCCAUUGGUAUGGACAAGCUACGGGUGAUCCCUCAUAUAGCAGGUACUCAAAGGAGAAUGGUAGGACCCUCAUCUAACAGUGUUUAUCCACCUCAUCAACCCCCAUCUAUCAGUGUUGAUUUCUUAAACUAUGCUGGCUAUAUAGUUCUGGAAUGCAAGGAUUGCUUCUAAGGAUUACACCCUAACUGUCAGUGUGUGUCCCUGUCCUUGGGUUCACUUGGUGCUAAAUCCUACUCCCAUCUGAAUAGACACUGAACAUGAUUAACUGAACUGAGUUCAUUAAGUUCCGUUGACUGACAGAAUACUAUUGAAAUCUAAUAACUGACUGAGAUUAUUGAGAUUACUUGAGAUUACUGAGUAAGACUGGACUGAUACUGAGUUUACUGAGUUUUUCUGAGUUAUGUGACUGACUGAAUUCUACUGAUCAUGGCUUGACUGAGAGUAUCUUAAAAACAAGACACUGGCUUUAGGCACACAACUAAAUUAUCGGGUAGAAGUACCCCCAAUACUCGAUAGCAUGAAACUGACAGGACAUGAAGCUUCUUGAACACAUGACCAAUAUCAACAAUUCAUAAUACAUCAAUUUGGGGAUUUCAUGAAACACAAGGUUAUCAUAGUCUUGUACAUGAAUGUAAUUACAUAUAAACCUGUCAUACUUUCAUCAACCUAUUCUCAUGGACAUUCACUCAACCAGUCAUAAUGCACACAAUAUCAUGGAAGUCAUUCUUGGUCAUAGUGUAAAGCAUAUAUUUAUCAAUUGGGUCACAAUUAAGCUAUAAUUCAUAAUUUUUAUUCUCUUAGGAAUUUUAUCAAACACCUAGGAUGCAUGACUCAGGGCAUAAGCAUGACCAUCAAAUUAAUACAACAAAACUCCAUAUUUCAACUCAAUUUCACAUGUUUCAAACCACAUACUAUCAUAGGUUCAUGAACAACACAUAAAGAUUCCUACUUGGGAAUCAUACAACCAUAAUCACAUGAACAUAAUCAACCCACAAUAAAAUAUUCAUAAUACAAGAUUUAAAACUUGAUUCUUGGGCUUCAUGGAUGAAAGAAAUCCAUGAAUGAACACUGUUCAUACCUUAGUUCUUGAUUCUACAAAGAUUGACGGAGAGAUUCUUGAAUUUGAGCUUGAUUUCUUGAGCUAGGGUUUCUUGGCUUGAGAGAGAAUAAUUUUGUUCUUGAGAUAAAGUGAGGAAAAGUGAUAUAAUAAGGUUUUUAGGGCAUAAUUUCGUGGUUAAAGGUUGGUAUGGGUCAUGGAAAAAGACCCAAUUGCCCUUAGAAGGUUUUUAUUUUUCAUCACUGAAAACCUAAUUUAGACACCUGGUGCAACGCAGUGCUAUCGCGUUGCCACUUUGUUUGCGACCUGGAAGUUUAGCGCGAUGCGGUGUAGUCGCGGAGUCUUACUGGAGAAAGGACAAUUCUGAAUUUGAGCCUUGGCGUGAUGUUCCAUAAUCAUGGAGGCCCACUGAAUGUUAACGAUUGCCAUUGUGGACUGCUCUGCGACAUGUUGAUGGCUUAAGUGGCACACUGUCUUACUAAAAUGGCUCUAACUCUUCACCCGGGUGUUGAAUUUGGGCGAAUUUUAUAUCGAUGAAAAGCUUAUUCAAUUUUCCACAUGAAAAUAUUGAAAAUACCACAUGUAUAAAAGUGGAUUUAUUUUUAAAACAAGUCUUUGACAUCUUUGAAAUGAAUUUAAGCUAGGUAGAAGUACCGGGUACUACAGCUCUUAAAACAAUUUCUGAAAACUCAUUGCAUAUACAUACAUAUAUAUAUAUAUAUAUACAUACAUAUAUAUAUAUAUAUAUAUAGCUUUAAAGCUUGUUAAAAUUGUAUAACCUAUGCCCAUGAUAUUUAGGGUAGUCCCACGUACCUUUUUGAUAAAAAUGAAUUUGAAUUAGUUUGAAAUCUAGCCUUAAAAGUAUGAGCCUUGGAGGAAACCCUAAUCUUUCUUUCUCUUGAGAGUGGAGAGCAUUAUGAGAUAUUUAAAACUAAUUAAAUAUCGGUAAUAAUGCUUAUUGUAUGAUUUAAGUUGUGGGAGGUUAGGGUUUGAGGUGAGGAAAAUGCCAAAAUACCCUUAAGGAACUGAAUAAAAUUGCUGGCAUUUCUUUAGUUGACGACAUGGUUGAUGGAUUGUCAACUAGUUGAUAGCUUGUCAACUUAGUUGUCAACUUCUCUUCAUGUUCUGGCUAUGGUUGACGACUUGGUUGAUGGAUUGUCAACUAGUUGAUAGAUUGUCAACCUAGUCUUCAACUUCUUCAGUGAUACUGGUUAAGGUUAAUUACUUGGUUGAUGGCUUGUCAACUAGUUGACACCUUGUCAACCUAAUCGUCACCUUGAUGAUUGAUGGACAUGUAGAGGUAAAAUGGGCAUAACUUUCUACUUUGAUAUCGGAUUAAGGUGAAACCAAUUGUAUUGGAAAUAAGACUCAAAGAUCUUUCAUUUGGUAUAUAAUGAGACAUAUAACUCAUUAUAUACUAGGAGUAAGGGUCGUUUGAAGUUGACCCAAUAUAUACUAGGAGUAAUUGUCGUUUGAAGUUGACCCAAGUUGAAAUAUUGACUAAAACAUAAUUGAUAGAAACGUUCUCAACUCAUCUUUGAGUUAGGAGAUUUUUGUGACCUAGCUUCAUAUUUAAAAGUUUUCCCACACUAUAAAAUUGAUUAUCACACAUAUAUUAAUAAGGAAUCAUUGGGUUAGGGUCUAUAUACGUAGGAAUGACUGUUUGAAUUUCAACCCAAAAAUGCGGGUUGUUACACUGGUAAUGUCAGUAUAAGAGCAUCUAAGUUUGACAAUACAACUCAAGUCUAAAUAUUCUUCUACAUUCUUCUUGAAUACAAAAGACUGAAUAAAGAUGGGACGAAAAUGGGUGACUUGAUGCUCCAAGAGCUCACCCUAUCUCCAAAGGAUCAACACUGCACGAUCUCAACUCAAUGAUAGUAACUAGUACUCGGGUCUGCACCAAAAAGGUACAGAAGUGUAGUAUGAGUACCAAAAUAAUAGGUACUCAGCAGGCAUUCUCAACUGACUGAGCUAAAUUAUGAUAUGAAGUAAGACAAUAUCUCGAAGUCAAAGUACAGAAUCAAAACUGAAUUGUCUUCAUCAUCACUGUAUAUAACCAAUAAUCAAACUAGAACAAUACUAUGCCAUAUCUCUUCAUCAUGCACCAAUACCAUUAUAUAUAAGAAGUAAAUUAUCCCAAACAUAAUGCAUCACUAAUACAAUCACAAUCGCAAUAAGACCAAGAUGAUAAACAACCAUCCAUUAAAGCAUAAGUAAAAAACACACCACGUCAUCCCAUACAAUCGGAGAGUACAUUAAAGAAUCAACCAUUACGGUAAUUAAGCACAUAAUCAACUUCUCGUUAUCCAUGUUUUACCACCUUUUGUGUAAACGAUCAUUAUCCAAGUUCAUGAUUAUCAUUCAUUACCACAGUCGAAAUAGACAUAUCAAGUACUUAUAAUUAUAGUCAUAUAGACAAUUAGACAUCUAAAUCAUAAAUAUAUUAACUAACCAACACUUAUUAUUAAACUAUAGUUUGCUAGUUAUCAUAAGGCCUCCAAUCAUUAGCCUAACCAAUUCCUUAUAUACUCCUUCUUUAUGAAAUAGCAAGUAGUUAUCACUAAAUAGCCAACAUCCAUAUCUAGUCAAGAUGUACAACUAAACCAUAAUCACCGUUUAACCAAAUCUCAUUCCUAGUUAUCUUAGGUGCACUAGUCAUCAUAUAGGAAGAGGUUACAUAUCAUCAAACACACUUAUCUAUCUAUUAACCAACACCUUUUAUUAGUUAGCGCCAUAACUCUUCAAGUCCUCAUUUAAGCAAACAUCGAUAUUACAUACUACGCAUUAAUAUCAUUAAUCAUCAACCAUGCUAAGUAUAUUAUCAUCAUUAGCCAUUUUACAAUCAUAAUUACUAGUUACCAUAGUUUAACCAAGCAAGGUUCACCAACUAACAUUCAAGGAUUCUAGCCAUCAAGUAAUAUAACCACUUUAUAUAGAUGACUUGUUGUCACAUAACCCAUUUUACUAGGUGAAAUUCCAUAAUUUAAUGAUUUAUUCAAGUCAAAUAUAUCCACCAGCUGAAUGCUUAGCUCUACACAUGAUACACUUGCCAAUUAGUCUUAACUCAAUAUUUGGCAUAUUCUACUUCUAUUCACUAAUUAGUACUAACAAAAUCCACACCACUUAACAAGUGAUUAAUGGUAGAGAAUUAUAAAUAAAUUUUUAAGGAAAACAUCAUAUCCCUAAUGCACAUACGAGUGUAGUCAUAAAAGGGAAAAAUCAUAAAUAUACAUAUAUAUUUAUAUAUGCUUACCAUACAUAGCAUCACCAUAACAUCAAUAUAUCCUACGGGUUUACUGGGCAUCAUUAUAACAUUAAUAUCUAUUUUGGAUUUUUUGGGCAUCAUCAUAGCAUCAAUAUAUCCUUGGCCUUGUCGGGUGUAAUACCACAUGUUUUGAAGUCACUGUGCAACAUGCGACUCAUGCCCUUGAGUCGUAUGCCUAUCAUAUGAGUCGUAUGUUCAACUUGUAUCCAUGAUAGUGUGUGAUGGGUGACUUUCUUUUAAGGUACAACUUAAACCUUGGAAGUUGUAAGAUGAUUAUAUGAAUCAUAUGUGGUAAGUCAUAACUAAGUCAGUGUGAGGUGAGAUGAGUUAUGUCCAGGUUAUGAUAGGAUGAGUACUAGGCGUAUGAAAUAUUAUGAGUUGUAAGGUAGGACUCGUAUGUUGAUCGGUGUAUGCCAUUUGGAUUCUUCCAAACUUAUGAGCCAAGAGGCCAGUCAUAUCAUCAUCAUACAAGCCGUAUGGUCAACUCAUAUAGACUAGCAAUGAAUUCUAUAAUGAUUCUAGUAUACAUUUAUGCUUGGUCUUCUAUUCUCAGUUUUACAUGUUUAUGCAUCCAUGUUCAGUUAUCUUAUGCAUUUCGGUUAGUCCUUACCUCACGUACCAGUACAUUCAAAGUACUAAUCGUAUACUCUUCUUUUGUGCUAUGUUAUCUUAUAACAUAGGUUCCAAUACUCAAUUUCUCAACCGUACUUAGGCAAUCCAACACUAUCCAGUAGCAGUAGUGAUAAGUCCUUUUCUAUCAAGGACAUGACAUAUUUUAUCAUUAUUUUAGUAUCUAUUUAUGUUCAGUUAGUCAGAGUUAAUUGGGAGUUUGUCCCAUCAACUUCUCAUGAUUUCUAAAGGUUUUUAGAUAGUUAGACAGUCAGAUAGUCAAUUAGUUUUCAAUUUUACCAGUUGUUUCAGACAAAUAGAUAUUCCUUCAAUGUUAAUCUAUUCGGUUGUUUCGGAUAUGUUGGGUUAUAUUUCAAUAUUUAUGAUUAUAGCAUCUUAUUAGUUUUAUCAUCUGCAUAUGUGGUUUUAGUAUUAUAUAUUUUAGUGCUCAUAGAAGGUACCAUAUUAUGGGUUAGCUUGUGGCCAUUUGUGGCCGUAAGCACCAUUGUCGCGACCAGAGAGUAGUCUCAGGUCAUGACAAAACUUGGUAUCAGAGCCUAAGGUUUUAAGGGUCCUAGGGUGUCUGAAAGCCACAUUGAGUAGUGUCUUAUACAUGGAUGUAAAACGUGCCACACUUAUGGACAAGAGGCUAUGAGAUAUUUUUUUGGAAAGUUUUCCUUUUUUCAGUAUUCAUGUCGUGAGAAAGAGUACUAGCUCUAUUGAAUUCCUUUUUCUUUCUUGUAUUUUACCUUGUUUACUGACAAUGCCUUCUAGAAGGAACAACGGAAGGAGGAACAGGGAUCAACCUGCACCACCACCUAUUUAGGAAGGUCUCCUGAACGAUCAUAUUUCUCACACCAAGUUUAGGGCCAUUUUCACAGCCUUAGACCAUUUUGUAGUCGCUCAAAAUAACGAUCAGGCUAUUUCCCCAACCAAUCUAGUGGCAAAUACAACUGUAGCUAAGAUUCGAGAUUUCACUCGGAUGAAUCCCCCUUCAUUUUCUGGGUCCAAGUCUGAAGAAGAUCUACAAGAUUUUUGGAUAUGGUACAGAAAGUGACAAACAUCAUAGGUAUCACUUUGAGUGAGAGUGUAGACUUAGCAGCGUAUCAAUUGCAAGGUGCAGCUCACACCUAGUUUAAGAAGCAAAAGAAAAACAGGGGUAUGGAGGCAAAGCCUAUAGAGUGGGAGGAGAUUUUCAUGGCUUUCUUAGACAGUUUCUUCCCACUAGAAUUAAGAGAGGAUAAGGUUUAGGAGUUCAUAAACUUUAAGUAGGGUAGUAUAAAUUUGAAGGAGUACUCUCUCAAGUUUACUCAGUUGGCGAGAUAUACUCCUACUAUGGUGGCUGACAAUAGGUCCAAGAUGAGUAAGUUCAUAUUUAGUAUGUCUGAUAGCGUGUUCAAUGAAUAUAGAACCACCAUGUUGAUUAAAGAUAUGGACUUGUCUAUACUUAUGGUUCAUGCUCAGCAGAUUAAGAAGGAGAAGCUUAAAGAGAAAGAGAGAGAGAGAAUAAGAGGGCCAAAAUAGGUAGUUUUAAUUUUUCUUAGCUAAGGUUGGAAGACGGUAACCAAUCCUAGUUCUGCCAAAAAUGUUUAGCCCUAGCUCUAUCUUCAACCAAUGCGCUAGUGCCUAAGUUCAGGUAGGAUAGUCAGGAUAGAGCACCAGGCUUUAAGUCCUGGCGUAAUUUGAAUAGUGGUAGAACCAAUCCGCUCUACAGGAAGUGUGGUAAGAAUCAUCAGAGUAAGUGUAGAGCUAGAUGUGAUAUGUAUUUUAGGUAUGGAAAACCAGGACACAAGAUCAGGGAUUGCCCCAUAGGUAUAUGGAAGGGCGGGAAUGAUCGCCAACAGGGUCAGAUAGACUCUUCAACAACACUAACAGGUCACUCAAUUCAGCAGGGUGCCACUUCUAGUGCCACUAGUGGGCAACACCAAAAUAAAUUGUAUUCCCUCCUAACCAGCCGAUUCAGGAAAGCUCUUUGGAUGUGGUUACGGGUUCAUUACAAGUUUUCCAUCUACAUAUUUAUGUCUUGUUAGACCCCAAAGCGUCACUCUCUUUUAUGACUCCUUAUAUAGCUAUAGACUUUGGUGUUAGUCCCAAAACAUUAGUAUAGACUUUAUCAAUGUCUAACCUAGUGGGUAAGUCUAUUCUAGCUAGAUGGGUAUACAAAAAUUGCCCAAUUACAGUGUCUCAAAAAGUUACUUUAGUUGAUCUUGUAGAGUUAGAAAUGACUGAUUUUGAUGUUAUUCUCGAUAUGGAUUGGCUCCACUCGUUUUAUGCCUCAAUCGACUUUAGAAAUAGAAUUGUUCAAUUCUAGUUUCCUAAUAAACUAAUUAUCAAAUAGAAGGGCAGUACUUCAGUGCUUGAUGGUCAGUUCGUUUCAUACCUCAAGGCCAGAAAGAUGAUAUCCAAGAGGUGUGUUUACCAUAUUGUUCGAGUUAAGGACUCAAAUUCUGAAGCUCUAAUUCUCGAUUUAGUUUUUGUAGUAUGAUAAUUUUUAGAUAUAUUCCUAGAAGAUCUUCUGGAGUUCCCACCAAACGGAAAUCAACUUUGGAAUAGAUCUCCUUCUAGAUACCUAGCUUAUCUCUAUUCCACCUUAUAAAAUGGAUCUAGUUUAGCUUAAAGAAUUAAAAGAAUAGUUAAAAGAUCUCUUUGAUAAGGGUUUCAUUAGGCCUAGCAUUCGCUAUGGGUUGCUCCAGUCCUUUUCAUGCAUCAGAAAGACGGUUCUCUUAAAAUAUUCAUCAACUACCGUCAGUUGAACAAAGUCACAGUCAAGAAUAAGUUUUCUCUCCCCAAAAUUGAUGACUUGUUCGACCAACUUUUGGGUGCAAGUUCUUUCUCUAAGAUAGAUCUCAAAUCUGGCUAUCAUUAGAUUAGAGUCAAAGAGUUUGACAUUUUGAAGACAAUCUUUAGGACUCGAUAUGGUCACUUUGAAUUCCUGAUUAUGUCAUUCAGACAAACAAAUGCCCCUGCAGCUUUCAUGGACUUGAUAAAUGGGGUGUUCAAGCAGUAUUUGGACAUGUUCGUCAUAGUCUUCAUUGAUGAUAUCCUUGUCUAUUCUUGUAGUGAGAGUGAUCACGCAGACCAUCUGAGAGUUAUUUUGCAGACCCUUAUAGAUCAUCAGUUAUUUGCUAAGUUCAGUAACUGUGAAUUUUGGUUGAGAUUAGUAGCUUUCCUUGGUCAUAUAGUUUCUGGUGAUGGCAUUCGAGUUGACCCUCAAAAAAUUUAAACUAGUGAGAAAUUGGCCUAGACCCAUCUCUCCUUUAGAUAUCAGGUGUUUCUUGGGUUUAGCUAGCUAUUAGAGAUGGUUUUUCAAAGGUUUUUAUUCUAUUGCUUCUCCCAUCUAUCGACUAACUCAAAAGAAAGUGAAAUUUUAGUGGUCAGAUUUUUAUGAGAAGAGUUUUUAGGAGUUGAAAAAUCGACUUACUUUUGCCCCAGUCUUGACUUUGUUAGAUGGUUGAGAUGGAUUUGUAGUGUAUUGUGAUUCUUCUAUAGUUGGUCUUGGCUAUGUGUUAAUUCAGAGAGGUAAGGUCAUAGCCUAUGUCAUUAGAAAACUUAAACCCCAUGAAAAUUAUUAUCCAGCUUAUUAUCUUGAGUUGGUAGUUGUUCACUUUGCCUUAAAGAUUUAGAGGCAUUACCUAUAUGGGGUUCAUGUUGAUAUGUACAUGGAUCACAAGAGUUUACAAUAUGUGUUCAUGUAGAAAGACCUAAAUCUUUACUAGAGAAGGUGGCUUAAAUUAUUGAAAGACUAUGUAUGAGUGUGUUGUACUAUUUGAGAAAGGCCAAUAUAGUGGUGGAUGCCCUUAGUAGAUUGUCUAUGGUUAGUGUUGCUCAUGUUGAGGAUGAUAAGAAGGAGUUAGUCCAUGGGGUUUAUCAUCUUGCUAGGUUAGGCGUUUGGUUAGUUGAUUAGCUAAAGGUAGUAUAUGGGUUCAGAAUGGUUCAAAAUCUUUAUUGGUUGCCGAAGUAAAAGAAAAGUAAGAUAGGGAUCCUAAUUUGGUUACGUUAAAGAAGGCAGUUAGAGGUCAAGAGGUAGAGUCUUUCUCCCAAGGGGUAGAUGGUGUGGUUUGUUGUCAAGGAAGACUAUGUGUAACGUGUGUUGAUGGUCUAAAAUAAUGAAUAUUAGUUAAGGCGCAUGGUUCGUGAUACUUUAUCCACCCAAGAGCUACUAAGAUGCUCCAUGACUUGCAGGAAAUCUAUUGGUGGAAUGGUAUGAAUAAGGAUAUUUCAAAGUUUAUGGCUAAGUGUUCAAAUUGUCAGUAGGUUAAAGUCGAGAACCAUAGGCCAGUGUUACACUGCAGGAGUUUAGCAUACCCACUUGGAAGUGGGAGGUGGUGAACAUAGAUUUUGUGACAGCAUUGCCUCGUAUGAGUCGUCAACAUGAUUUGAUAUGGGUCAUUGUAUAUAGAAUGACCAAGUCAGCUUAUUUCUUGCCAGUUCAUACUUUAUUUUCAGCUGAGGAUUAUGCUAGACUCUAUCUUAUGGAGUUGGUGAAGUUGUAUAGGGUUCUGUUGUUUCUCAUUUCAGAUAGAGCUACUCAGUUUACCUCUCACUUUUGGAAGGAUUUUUAGAAGGGUCUUGGUAACCAAGUUCACCUCAGUAUGACUUUUUAUCUUCAGAUAGAUGGUGAGGCAGAGAGGACCAUUCAGACCUUGGAAGACAUAUUGAGAGCCUGUUUUAUUAACUUUAGGGGUUGUUGGGAUAACUACUUACCUUUGAUUAAGUUUCCCUAUAACAAUAGUUAUCACUCCAGUAUUCAAAUGGCUCCGUUUAAGGAUCUCUAUGAACAGAGAUAUAGAUAUUCUCUCAGUUGGUUUGAAGUAGGUGAGUCUACUUUGAUAGGGCCAGAUUCAGUGUUUGAGGCAAUGGAGAAAGUUUUGUUAAUUUAAGAGAGGCUGAAAACAACUCAGAGUCGUCAGAAAUCUUAUGCAGAUGUGAGAAGAAGAGAUCUUGAGUUUGUUGUUAGUGACCUUAUGUAUAUGAAAAUUUCACCCAUGAAAAGAGUGAAGAGGUUUGGCAAUAAGGGGAAGCUUAGUCCCUUCUAUGUUGGCCCAUAUAAAAUUUUGAGUCAUUUUGGGAAGUUAGCUUAUGAAUUAAAAGUUGCCUUACAGAAUUGACAGUGAUUUAUCCGUUGUUUCAUGUCUCUUUGUUAAAGAAAUAUAUUGGCGACCCAGCUUUAAUUGUGCCCUUAUAGAGUUUGGAUGUGAGAGAUAGUCUCUCCUAUGAAGAGAUUUUAGUUGAGAUCCUUGUUCGUCUGAUUCAUAGGUUGAGGAAUAAAUAAGUCCCCUUAGUUAAAGUUCUAUGAUGGAAUCAGUCGAUUAACGGAGCUACUUCGGAAGCAAAAGUAGAUAUGCGAACCAAGUACCCUUAUCUUUUCUUCAUGAAUUCGAACUUAGCUUAAGGUAACAAUUUUUCUUAGAUUGACUUUUUCCCGAUCUCUGUUUUAGCUAUGUAAAUGUAACCAUUCUCAUGUCUUUGCAUGCUUUCAUAAAAUCAGUUCUGUUCAUGUAUCGUGUCUUAAACUCAGUUGUUUAGUCAUGUUUCAGUUCAUGAACAUUCAGUAUAUGAUCUCAAGUUACCUUGGUAUUCUCAGUCUAACCAGUCUUAUUUGAGGAUGAAUAUUCCCAAGGGGGAGAUAUUGUAAUACCCAUGUUUUAAAGUCACUGUGCAACGUACAACUCAUGCCCUUGAGUACUAUGCACAUCAUACGAGUCGUAUGUUCAACUCAUAUCUAUGAUAGUGUAUGAUGGGUGACUUUUUGUUAAAGGUAUGACUUUAACCUUGGAAGUCAUAAGAUGAUCAUACGAGUCGUAUGUGAUAAUUCAUAACCAAGUCAGUUAAGUUGAUAUGAGUUCUAUCCAGGUUACAAGAGGAUGAGUACUAGUCGUAUGAAAUAUUAUGAGUCAUAAGGUAGGACUCAUAUGUUGACCAGUGUAUGCCAUUCUAAUUCUUCCAAAAUUAUAGUUCCUGAGGCCCAGUCGUAUUAUCAUCAUACGAGUUGUAUGGUCCACUCGUGUAGACUAGCGACAAAUUUUGUGAUGAUUAGUUAAAGGGGAUUUUUGUUCUUUUUCCUUCUUAUAACUUCUACCCACGACUUAUAACCCUCAAAGAAGCCUAUUUUCUCUCAAAACUCAAAUACUUAACACAUUAAUAUCCUCUCCCAUACUCAAGAACAACAAUUAGGGUUUCUUAGAGGCAAGAAUAAUUACAAGGAUUCUUCCCUAAAGCUUCUACUACAGGUAUGUGGCAAAUUUAUCAAUGUUUUCUUUCAGACAUUAAGCCCCAAACCCUAUUUUAGUUUAAAAGUGUGAAUCUUAUCCUAUUUUAUGAAAUCAUCCAUGAAACUUAUGAAUUUAAUUCAUGAACUUCUUAGUAAAUCAAAUUCAAGCCAUGUCAACAUGUGUUUCUAUAUUUAAGUCACUUCAUGUUUGAAUUACAAUUUCCGUCAUCUUAAUUCCCUUGAUUUCAUGAUAAAUCCUCAAGUAAUGAAUUAAACCAUGUAAAUAUGUUGUUUUCUCAUGAUUAAUAUAUCCUCAUGUUCAAAUUCAUGUAUCUAUAUCAUUCACUAAAUUAUCGCUUGCUUUGGGUAUUUGAGUUAUGACUUCAUGUCACUGUUUUAAGUAAUGUUAUCGUAUUUUGUAAUUAUUCAGUGCUGGAGGGUUAUGAACACCUGAUAGCUAUUUGUUUUUACAUGAUUUUGUUUUAAUUAACAAGUCAGUCGGACCAUGAUUUUAUUAUCAUAUUUAGAACAUCAUGUGCAUCCUGAGCACUUACAAGUAGAGUACUAUGUCAUGUUAAAUAACUAAUAAAAUCGGUGUCAUUCCGUUGGGAAUAACACAGAGUAAAGCAGGGAUGAUGACUCCCCCGUCAGUAUAGGCAUGAGUAGUUUGUAGCAGUCCUUAAGUUCCAUAUCUGCAGUGGCACCGUAUGAAUGGUAGGCCAAUAAUAACUGUAUUGAAGAACUUUGGCGGCGGUUUGAAUCCCCCCAUGGUGACCACCGAAAUGUGAGGAGUGACAAUCUUCAAGGAUAUCCUUAAUUUUAACUUCCAUAAUACAACCGUUAAUCUCAGCAUCCACACAUUCCCAAAAUAGGAAGGGUUUAUCCAAAAAUAAAUUUUUUGCAUCAAACAGGAACCUCUUUCUUUGAUGAUAGCUAAGCUCCUCGGAGAAUACACCACUCACCACAUAAUUAGCAUAGUCGUCAUACACAGUGUAAUUCUCCCCGAGAUCGAUAUGACCAACUCAUUGGGAAAAUCAUCAUCAAUCUCAAUCUCACCAUGCUUUUCAUAAUUACUCUCAAGGCGCGAAAAAUGGUCGACCAUUUGGUUUAUUCAACCUUUUUAAUCCUUUACCUCUAAUCAAAUUCUUGUAAAAGAAAGAUCCAUCUAAUUAGGCAUGGUUUAGAUUUGUUUUUCGCCAUGAGGUAUUUAAGGGCGGCAUGAUCCAUGUGCACUACCACUUUCAUGCCUAACAAGUAGGCUUAAAAUUUCUCAAAAGCAUAUACCACCACCAAUAAUUCUUGCUCGGUAAUGGUAUAGUUACAUUGAGCAUCAUUCAAGGUUUUUCCAGAACAAUAGAUAGGAUGAAAAAGUUUUUCUUUGCAUUGACUCAACACCGCUCCUAAUGUGAUUCUACUUGCAUCACACAUCACUCAAACAGAGAUGACCAAUCUGGAGCCACAAUAAUGGGAGCCGAUAUAAGUAAUUCCUUGAAAUAAUUAAAGAACUUCAAGCAUGCAUCAUUAAAAUUGAGUUUUUCCUCCUUUUCAAGGAGUUUGCACAUUGGAUGAGCUAUUUUGGAGAAAUCUCUAAUAAAUCACCGAUAGAACCUGGCAUGUCCAAGGAAACACCUAAUACUUUUAACAGAAGUAGGAGGGGGUAACUUGGAAAUUACCUCUACCUUAGCUUGAUCAACUUGUAUCCCAAUCCCUGAGAUCUUGUCGCCCAAGACAAUACCCUCCUUGACUAUAAAAUGACAUUUCUCCCAAUUGAGUACAAAGUUGGUUUCCCGACAUCUCUUAAGAACCUUGCUUAGAUGCUCAAGGCAUGACUCAAAUGAGUUUCCCACCGCCAAGAAAUCAUCCAUGAAGACUUCCAUCGAAUCCUCAACCAUAUCUUCAAAGAUUGAUAACAUACACCAUUGGAAUAUUGCUAGUACAUUGCCUGAACCAAAAGACAUCCACUUGAAUGUGAAUGUACCAUAGAGGCAAGUGAAUGUCGUCUUCUUUUGGUCUUCCGGGUUAAUAAAAAUUUGGUUGUACCACUAAUAACCAUCAAGAAAGCAAUACCACCCCCACCCUGCUAACCUAUAUAGUAUUUGAGAAAUACUAAUUUGGUUGUACCUCUAAUAACCAUCAAGAAAGCAAUACCAUCCCCGCCCCACUAACCUAUAUAGCAUUUGACCCAUAAAGGGCAUAGAGAAGUGGUCCUUUUUGGUCCAAGAGUUCAACUUGCGGUAGUCCAUGCAUACCCUCCAUUCCAUGAUCGGUCAGAUAGGAACAAGGUUGUUCUUUUAAUUCACAACUACCGUAAUGCCAGCUUUCUUUAGAACACAUUACACCGGGCUUACCCAUGUGCUAUUGGAGAUUGGGUAGAUGACUCCCACGUCAAGCUAUUUUAUAAUUUCUUUCUUUACCACCUCCUGUAUAGGUUUAUUUAGCCUCCGUUGAUGUUCCACACUUGGUACAUGAUCAUGUUAUAGUUUGAUCUUAUGGUAAUAAUUUUUGGGAACUAAGCUAUGAUAUCCGCAAUUGUGUAUCCAAUGGCUCGAAUGAACUUUUUCACUACCAACUUCAAAGCUUCCAUUUGGUAGGGCUCAAGAUCACUUGCAAUGAUGAUAGUCAAGGUAUGUCAAUCCCCUAGGAAUGGAUGGCUUUGCGGGUGGACUCUCAUAGUUUUUAAGAUCAAGGUCCAACAUUACCGAAUUUUUAGUAUAAGAUCCAAUUCCUGUUAAAGAUGAAACCACUUGAUCAAAUGCUUCAACUUCAUAUCUUCCACAGUUCCAUGACUCCCACCAAUGGAUUAUCUACCAAACUCAUGUCAACAUAAUUUGUCACCUCACUAUCGAUGGUAUCGAUUACCGAAAUUACUUGCUAGCCUAUUGGUUGUUUCAUGGACUUUCAUACAUUAAAAGAAACGCCCUUAUAAUUUAGGCAAAACUUCAUCUCCCCUCACUCUGCAUCUACCAAUGCUCUCUUGGUGGCUAAAAAUGGCCUUCCAAGAAUAAUAGAAAUUUCAUUAUCUAAAACACAAUCAAGGAUGACGAAUUCCUCCAGGAAGAUGAACUGAUCGACUUUAACUAGCACAUCAUGAAGUAUUCCCAUUGGUUUUUUAAUGGUCCAAUCGGCCAUUAGCAAUCUCAUCGUGGUAGGUUGUGGUUUCCCUAAUCCUAGCUUGUGAAAUAUGGCAUAUGACAUUAUAUUUACACUCGCCCUGAGGUCACACAAGGCAUUUGCAAACUUGAAUAUUUCGAUGGUGCACGGGAUUGUAAAAGCACCGGUGUCUUUCUUGUUUUUUUCCAUGGUACUCAACAUAAUUGCACUAUAAUGAUGAGUUAUUUCUAUUUGUCUCAUCCUCUACAAAAUACUUUUUGUAGAUCAAUUCCUUCAUAAAAUUAUCAUACCUCGGCAUCUCUUACAAGGAUUUCAUCAAAGGAAUGUUGAUGGAAAGGUUGCUAAAUUUAUCAAGAAACUAUUUGAACUUUGCAUUUUCCCUUCUUUUCUUGAACCGUUGAGGAAAGGUGGAGGAAUUGUGAUUGGUGGCAUGGAGAAAAUUUUUCAUCUUUGAAUUUUCAAAGAUAACCUCAUUUGUCCUUAACUCGUCAUCAUUAGACCUCUUUCUGUCCAAACUUAUUUUCUCAUUAUUUUUUCUUUUGUUGGGAUCAUCAUCAAGCUCUAUGUCCUUGCCAAGAGUUUUUUUUCUUUAAGUGACAAUAGCAUUUGUUACCAUACCGAUCGAUAUCUCUUCAUUUUUUCUUUCCAUGAGGUGCACUAAUAUUUGAUUCAAUUUUUCCUUUAAUGGUCGGAUGGCGAUUAAAUAAGACUCAACCAUUUGAUGAAGCUUAUAGAAAUCAUUCCUCAUUUUUUCACUAUCAUAUCGAUCCCCUCAACUCCAAUCAAGAUUCAAGCCAAAAUAUCUCUAUUAAUACACCCCUCUUUUUGUAUUUAGACAUGCCUCAGUUCUCAUUGGACCUCAAUGCCACUUUCGACCAAGUAUUAUUUGGUUAAUUGAGAUGAAGUCUGUGUCGGAAGCCUCGAAUCGAAACCUUGGCAAACUUUUGAACCCAAAUUCACACAGAAAUCCUCCAAAGCUGAUUGGAAUCUAAAAUCUAUGGGAAAUUUGAGCAAAACCCAAACCAAUAAUGAUCAAAUCCAACCACAACUUCGAACGUUGAUCACAAUUUUUGAGUCUAUUUUCUCAACUAAAUUGGACAAGACGACGAGUAUCUUGUGGGUGUUGUUUUCCAGUGACUUUUAUCGCUGUUUUGGCAUCUUUGGUGGAUGUUUAUUGGAACAUUAACAAAUAAAAAUUAGGGUUUUCUUCGAUUGACAAUCCCAAUGAUGAUCCAUUUUCUCGAUUCUCUUCUCUCUUUCUCAGCUAUAUUUUGUAUGUUAUAAGUGUAGUAUGUAUUCGAGUGGGGUAUGUGUGUUUGUUACUGCAAAAUCAAUGGAGAAUUAUAGAUUAGAGGAGUGUGUGUGUGUGUGAGUUUGUUGGUGUGUGAAUCUUAUUCUCCCUCCAUAGCUGUGUGUGCGUGCAUUAUUCUGUGAGUGUGUCUUCUUUUCUAGUGAGGUAUCAAUAUGUGUAUAUGAAUAUCUGUGUAUGUGGAGUGCGCCAGUUUGUAUGUAUUGUAGCCCCUGUAUCUGUGUAUGAGUGCCUGUAUAUACGUGUGCAUUUUGGUGGGUAAAUUAUGAGAGAAUGUGUGUAUUGUGCCUCAAUAUCCUUGUGUGUGAGUUGUGUGUUUUCUGUUAUAACAAUUUUAGUGGGUCUCCUUUAUGUUAUGGUGAAGAUGAGUGAAAAAAUUUGAGUUUGUGAGAGCUGAGGUACGUGGUAGGGGUAGGGUAGGGGUGAGGGGGUUGGGCUGGGUAGGGUAGUGAGGUGGGUAGGAGUGUGUUUGUUAUUUUCUUAGGGUGAGGCAUCCAUUUUUAAAUGGUGAGGUUUUUAAUUUGUUAAUUUUAUGGAGAUAUAAUCACAUGAGGGUAAGGUACAUGGUUAGGUGGGGUAAAAAUGGUAAAAGGAUGAUUUUGGGGAAGGACAAAAUUAUGUGUCUGCAUCAUGCCCCUCUUUGGGUGUAAACAUAAAGUGUUUUCAAACAAAGAAGUAGACAACGAGAUAGAAUUUUGACUCGACCAUUAUUCGAAGGAAGAAAUAGAAGGAAGAAGGACAAUUGAGUUGGAGAGUCACGUGAGGUCCCUUCGAGGUUCCGGUCUGCGGCUUUUUCAUUACAUCAAAAAUGAAAAUUACAAAUUAAAAAUAUAAAUGAAAUUACAAAAGUCCUAUCUAUGUAGCUUUGCUUGACUCUUGACUUACUAUUUCAUCAUGCUAUUCUCCAGGCGGGCUCCUGACCUUCGAUUUCAUCACCCUGUUCUUUUGGUGGUCUCCUGACUUUCUAUUUCAUCACCUUAUUGCUUAGCUUUCAAUCUCAUCACCCUGUUCUCUAGGUGGGCUUCUGACUUACUAUUUCUUUAAUCUGUGGACUUUCAAUUUCUUCACCUUAUUUCUCGACUUUUUAUUUAUUUGCCCUGUUCUUCAGGUGGGCUCCUGGAAUCACAUCAAAAUAAGAAGAAAAUUAUUCCAAACAAAGAUUAUUAUAAAGAGAGAUUCCAUUUGCCAGAAAAGUAAAGUUUCAAACAACAGGAAUUAAUUUUUUUUCCCCGAUUUAUCGUCAGAGGACUUUUGUGAAAGUCAUAUCAUAACUACUUGAAAAACCCAAACAAGUAAAAUGCAUAUUCUAUCGGUUAAUUGGAAUAAUUCGACUAGAAAGUGCAUUUUCUAGGAGUCAAAUGGAAUGACUCAACUAGAAAGUACAUCUUCCAAGAGUCAUGGGGAAUGACUCAACUAGAAGGUAUAUCUUCUAGGAGUCGAGGGGAAUGACUACACUAGAAGGUAAAUCUUCUAGGAGUCAAGGGGCGUUACUCGACCAGAAGGUACAUCUUCUAGGAGCCAAAGAGAGUGGCUUGACCAUAAGGUACAUCUUCUAGGAGUCAAGGGGAGUGACUUGAUUAGAAGGUACAUCUUCUAGGAGUCAAAGGUAAUGGCUCAACUAGAAGGUACAUAUUCUAGGAGUCAAGGGGAAUGACUCGACUAGAAAGUACAUCUUCUAGGAAUCAAGGAGAAUGACUCGACUGGAAGGUACAUCUUCUAUGAGUUAAGGGGAAUGACUCGACUGGAAGGUACAUCUUCUAAGAGUCAAGGGGAAUGACUCAAUUGGAAGGUACAUCUUCAGAAGUCAAGGGGAUAAAUCGACUGGAAGGUAAAUUUUCUAGUAGUUAAAGGACUUCUAGGAGUCAAGGGAAUAACUCGACUAGAAGGUAUAUCUUCUAGGAGUCAAAGGGAAUAGCUCGACUAGAAGGUACAUCUUUUAGGAGUCCAGGGGAAUGAGUCGACUAGAAAGUACAUCUUUUAGGAAUCAAGGGGAAUGAAUUAACUAGGAUGUACAUCUUCUAGGAGUCAAGAGGAAUAACUCGACUAGGAAGUACAUCUUCUAGGAAUCAAAGGGAAUAACUCGACAAGAAGGUACAUCUUUUAGGAGUCAAGGGGAAUGACUCAACUGGAAGGUACAUCUUCUAGGAGUCAAGGGGUAUAACUUGACUGGAAGGUACAUCUUUUAGAAUUUAAGGGGAACAACUCAACUGGAAGGUACAUCUUUUAGGAGUCAAAGGGGAUGAAUCGAAUGAAAGGUACAUCUUCUAGGAGUCAAGGGGAAUGACUCGACUAGAAGGUACAUCUUCUAGGAGUCAAGGGGAAUGACUCGGCUAGAAAGUACAUCUUCUAGGAAUCAAGGGGAAUGAAUUAACUAGGAUGUACAUCUUCUAGGAGUCAAGGGGAAUAACUCUACUAGAAAGUACAACUUCUAGGAAUCAAGGGGAAUAACUCGACUAGAGGGUACAUCUUUUAGUAUUCAAGGGGAAUUACUCAACUGGAAGGUACAUCUUCUAGGAGUUAAGAAAAAUGACUCAACUUGAAGGUAUAUAUUCUAGGAUUCAAGGGGGAUGACUCAAAUGGAAGGUACAUCUUCUAGGAUUCAAGGGAAUGACUCGACUAGAAGGUACAUCUUCUAGAAGUCAAGGGGAAUGACUCAACUAAAAAGUAUAUUUUCUAGGAGUCAAGAGGAAUGACUCCACUAGAAAGUAUAUUUUGUAGGAGUCAAAGGGGAAUGACUCGACUAGAAAGUAUUUUCUAGAAAUGUUGGUUCAAUUUAAAAAAUGUAUCAUCUUGCAACUGAAAACUGAGAUACCUGAACAAGGAAGUGUGUUUUCGAGGGAUAUAGGAUGAUGAAUUUUUACCAUAAUUUGAUUAUCAAACCUGUACGGCAAAAUUGCUUCCUACAUUUAUAGAAGUGAGGCAUUGCAGCCCUUGAUAUCUAUGCUUUGAAGUCCUUGAUUUGAUGGUAACAUGUUUCCUAUUUCAUCAAAGAAUGCUUGUGAGUUUAAAAUAUUGUAACUGGUUUGUGGAUUUAGAUUUUACGGCAAUCGCUCUUGCCCUCGUCACAUUUAACCUUGCUUUCAACCAUUAGCAUAUGUCAUUGACAUACUGCAGCAAUGAUCUAAACACAGAUCAUUAAGAGGGACUCUGGCACAAAUAUAGUAUCACUGUUGUUGCUAUGUUUCUUGGACACAUCCUUUGGAACUUGGUAUUUCCAUGAAUCCCCAGACUUGUCUGUUGUAAAAACUUUCUGCAUGCCUUAUUCGGUUCAUAAUCAUGUGUCUUUCAUGUGCUGGUCUUUUUGUCUUUCUUUGUGUAAUUGAAGAAUUUGGUAGCCAGUUUUGAAAUCUUUUCUCACUUGUUUUGACACGGACUUGACACAAAAAAAAUAACACUAAUUUUUUUAUUUGGAUAGCUGACUCUAGAAAACAAAAAUAAAAAAUACACAGAGAAGAAAGAAAAGACAAUGAAUGUCCCUCUUUGAAACAAAGAAAUGAAAAAUUUAUCUAAAAAUGAUAGUCAACUCUAAUGAUUAUGCCAUGCCUUUUGGAUUAAGCUGUUUGAUCUUUCCAUCAAAACUUUUUACUAAUUGUUCUUGAGUUGAUGACCCUAAAAAUGAGUUAUUUCCUUGGUCCAAUCACAUUCAUAGACCUCAUUCAGCUAGUGACACCUUGAAGGGUUUUCACCGAGAAGCCUCUCUCAUUUUCUUUCUCUCAGCUCACCAUUGCCCUAUGGUGUCCAUGAGGAUUUUCACUAAUGAGACUCUCUUAUUUUUAUUUUUCUUAACUCACGGCCGUCUUAGGUGCCCGUGAGGGUUUUAACCAAUAAUACUCUCUUAUUUUUAUCUCUUUCAACUUACCAUCACCUUACGAUGUCUGUGAGGGUUUUCACCAAUAAGACUCUCUCAUUUUUAUUUCUCUCCUGAUUACUUAUGCUGAGGAAGACGAGUAGUUCCCAAAAUGUUUCAUCAUAUCCAUUGCAUGCUUAGCCUUAACAUUCUCAAAAAUUGAUCUAAAGUUCUUUCUUUGGUUGUAACUUGGCUUUUGGAUAAGGUUAGAAAGAAAGGAUGACAUGAGUCCCAAACGACACUUGAAAUGGAGUAGGACUUACAACUUUUGGAAUCGACUCAAACAAUGAGGAUUAACUCAUGCCCUAAUUUGUUUCGGCGGGGUAAUUCUAAAUUAUUUAUUUGGUUAGACCGAUCCCAUAGUAGGGCAUCCUUAGUAUCUCACUACCGAGAGAGGAGAAUCAGGUCACACAUAGUUUCGAUAACUUGUUCUUUUUCUUGAUUUUGAUUUCUUCUUUUUUCUCUUUUAUUGACUCUUUUUCUCUUUGAAACUUUUUCUAACUCUAUUUUUCUUGUCACUCCCCAUUUUUUUUUUGACAUAUUUUUGUUUUUUUUUCUUUUUUUGAAACUUUUUUGACUCGAUUGUUUUUGUCAAUACCUUUUCUUUUGAAUGUUGUUGACUCUAUCUUGAUUCCAAAAGAGGGAUAAGAAAGAAAAUAGAACUAAAGCUCAAAUGGGGUAAACAAAGGAUGAUACAAUGUUUGAAUAACAGAAUGGAAUGCCUUCGUCAUAUCAAUCCUUGAAAAUACAAGUACACAUCAUGCAAUAUGAAGUGAAAUAUGAAGAUCAUUUGUGACAUUUUUUUUACAGCACUAACUUUAACUGAGCCUGUACGUUGCUACUUCUUCUGCAAACUCCACCUUUGUUGUACAUUCCUCAAAUCAAUGACUCGUGAUUUUGUGGAUCAGAUUUUCUUUCUGCUCCUCUUGAUAUAGGAUCACACAUCUACUAUUUGCCCUAAUUGAGACAUGCCUUUCAAUUGAUGACCAAUUUAUUCUUAUGAUUCUUAAAAUAAUUGCCUUAAUUUUCAAAGAAGACUUCAACUUGGUCACCAAAUGUCCCAACACUCUACCUAUUUUCUUAGAUGCACUUUUUCUGAAUUUAGCCCUCUGAUUCAAUAUUUCAUGAUUAAAAUAGAUUUUAAAAUCUGACUAAAAAUUCUGCAUGAACGUCAUAUUAUUAGACAUAAAAAUGUACUGUGUAAAGAAAACAAAAAAAUACAUAUUUAAACACAAAGGAAAAAAAGAACACUCCAUUUAGUUGAAAUGAAAGAUAGAAGAGUUUGAACAUAAACAACAAAAGGAGAAAAUAAGAUAGAUCCUGAAUGACAACCCUAAAAUAAUUUGGAUAAUAGAAAAGAAAAAAAAAUCAACUACCAGACCUCUUUCUAGUAAGGAGAGGAGUAACUUCCUAAUUGCUGAGCCUGAUAUCUUAGCCACUAGUUUGCACAUCAGCACAACUAGAGCUUUUACUACUGUCAGACACAUUUCCUUCAACAAAUAAGUUCUGGAUCCCUAUAUUUAACUCAUUGCUUCCCACAUGUUUUACAUUAUCAUGGGUUGGUGAAGGAUUCCGUGUGACACUCGUAGUGUCAAUGUUUUGCACUAUAAUCAAUUUUUCUUGAAUCAUCCUUUCUAUUUCUCUUUUCAAAGCAUGAUAAUCCUCAAUACUGUGACCCUGAACAUCAGAAUGAUAUGCACAUCUUGCAUGAGGAUCAAAAUUUCUUGAAUGCGAGUCAAGAGUAUACCCAAGUAAAGGAGUGGUCAUUCCCAAACAUCUCAAUUUUUGAAAUAAACUGGCAUAUGAUUCUCCAAUUAGUUUAAAAUUAUCCAUUGACUUCCAUAUCUUUGCAAACUAUGGCCUCAAUUAAAAUUUGGAUAUAGAUGUUUUUGGUAAAUUUGUAGGGGUCGAGGAUAAUGUUGAGAAAUCAGUGCAUGCCAUUUUGGAUAAGAAAACGGAUGGGCAUACAAUUAUGCAUUGUUCAAAGGAUACUAAGGAAGUGGAAUGAAACAUCUUGGAUUUUGAAAAGAGGAACCUUGUUGUGGAUGAAUAGGUGGAUUUGAUAUGUAACCUCGGGAUUGAGACUGAUAAUAUUGUUGAGUGAGACCUUUCGAGCUCUGCUUUGUCCCUGGAAUGACAAUAGGUGUAUUUUCAUUAUUCUUCCCUUCUGUUUUUUCAUAAUUGAUUGUAUAUCAUCCCAAAUGUUGAACGACAUCUUUAUGUCCAUCAUUGUAAUACCCUAUACUUUUCCUAUCUUGAAAAGUUUCCCAAGGAUGUUAGAAGCUUUCUUUGAAAGAUGAAUCCACUUUUGUACAUGUGGUAUUUUCAGGAUUUUCACUUUUUAUCAUGUGGGGAAUCGAAUAAGCCUUCCAUUGAUACCAAAUUCUCUCAAAUUUAACACCCGGGUGAAGAGUUAGAGCCUUUUUAGUGAGACAAUGUAUCACCUAAGCCUUCAGCGCAUCGCAGAGAUAGCUCAGAUGACAAUUAUCAAUUUUCAGUGUUGCUCCGCGAUAGUGGCACGUCACACCAAACUUUCAGGUCGUAGGCAAGGUGGAAACGCGAUAGGUCCAUAUUGCGCCACUGUGCAAUUUCCCAUUUUUCACUUUUCAGUGACUUGGCGCGAUAGUGGCGCGUCGCGCCAAGGAUGAAAAUUGGGAAAUUUUCUCAAAAAUUAAAGACUUGUCUAGGGUUUAAAGGGUCAAUUUACCACCCCUAUAUAUACCCUAUAAUACGAGAUUUAGUCAUUCCUCACCCAAAAUAUACUAGUUUCUCUCAAGAACAAGCUAGGGUUUCUAUUAGGGAUUCAAAUUCAAGAAGGUUUCGCCAUCAAUCCUCAAGAAAUCACAUCCUUGGUAUGCAUAGUGUUCAUUCAUGGGCUCCUUUCAUCCAUGAAGCCUAAGAAUCUAUUUUCUAACUUCAAGUUUAUGGAUUUCUUUAUGAAUUUCAUGUUGGGUUUGUUUUGUUUAUGCUGAGAAUGAUCAAUUAAAUUCAAAUCCAUGUUGGGUGAUCAGUGUUAGGUGGAAUUGAUUUGUAUAGAUGUAUAUACAUGUGAACCUAUGAUUAAACCCUAGGAUGAUGAAAUUAGAUGUUGAAACAUGAUGUUUAAUUGUUGUGUAAUGUUGUCUACAUAUAUUAUGCCUACCAUGUGUUUGAUUAAGUGCCUACAUGAAGAAAAAGUGCCCAGCUAGCAUGAUAUUAUGAAAGCCCCAUUUACAUACAAGUUUAUGCAUAUCAAAUGUUUGAUGAAGUUCUUUAAUAUAUGAACUAUGAAUUGUGUUGUUGGUCAUGUGUUCAAGUAAGCUAUGCUAUGUCAGUUUUUUCCAUCGAGUCCUGGGGGUACUUAUACCCGACAAUUUAGUUGCGUGCCUAGAGCUAUGUCAAGUUUUCACGAUAAUCUCAGUCAAGCCAUGAUCAGUAGAAUUUAGUCUGUCUCAUGACUCAGAAAAUCUCAGUAAAUUCAGUAUCCAUCAGAUCAGUCCUACUCAGUAAUCUUAGUAACCACAGUAUUCCUAGUAAUCUCAGUAACUUCAGUACUCUUAGUCAGUCCUCAAAACUCAGUAUAUUCCGUCAGUCAAUGGAACUCAGUAAACUCAAUUUAGCUCCGUUAAACAAUACCAUUAGUAUCAUCUUAGUUCAGAUAAUCACUUCAGUUCAGUUAAUCAGUUCAGUGUCUUUUAGAUGGGAGUAGGAUUCAGUACCGAGCGAGCCUAGGGAUGGGGACUCACCUGCUAGAUAGGACUGAGAUCCCUAGAAGAAAUCCCUAAGUUCUAGAACUACAUAACCAGCAUAGGUAUGAUAUGUCACCCAUUAGAUAGGACUAACAUACUCAAGGAUCACCCAUUAGCAUAUUUAAAUAUAUAGGACUGAUCCCAAGGGUCACCCGCUAGAUUAGGACUGACUCCACAGUAGUUGUUUCUAUCAGUGGCGCAGUAUUGACACCCUUCCAACUAGGGUUAUAGGUUGGACCCCAGUUAGCUUAGUAUGGAGCAUGUCGGUUAGAUGAUUACAUCCCAUAAUUUCAGUUACUCAGAUACAGUACGAAACUCAGCUAGUUUCAUCAGAUUCAGGACUAUCAAAUACAGUCACUCAUGUUAUUAGUUAUAUUAGUUAUCAGAACUUAUGUUAUUAUCAUUCAGUUUCAGGACUGUCAGAUACAGUCAACCAUACCAGUUCUUCAUAAUCAAAACUGUCAGACACAGUUAUCCAUGUAUUAGUAAUGUAGUAUCAAUCCCUCAGUAUUUAGUAAUAUAGUAUCAGUUUCUCACUCAUCAGUGACUCAGAUGUCAAUGUCAGUAGAAUCAGUAGUCAGAACUCAAUAUUCAGUCCUAUCAUGAUCUCAGUUACAGUUACGUAUGCAUGCAUGUAUUCUCAUGUUCAUAUUAGUCAAUCAGUUAGUAUUGUUCAUGCAUAUGAACCUAUUCCAUUCAGCCUACCUCACUUGCAUAUCAGUAUAUUCAAAGUAUUGACGCAUUUGUGCUAUGGUGCUUAUACCAUAGGUUUAGAAGCAUGAGCUCCAGAGAACCAGUAGUAUCCCAGUUCAGCGAUCAGAGUUAGCAAUGAGCUCUUAUCCUUCGAGGACAUGAUGAUCACAUUACUAUUUUAGUUUUCAAUUUAUUUCACUAGUUGGAGUUAGUUGGGGACAUGUCCCAUCAACUCCUUAUUCAAACAGUUUAGAGGCUUUCAGACUACAGUAUGUUCAGACAAUUAUCUCAGCUGUUUUGGUAUUGUUAUACCAUAUUUUUUAGUUAUGUACUAGUAUUAAACCUUAUGGCCUUUCAGUUCAUGUUUCCACAUUUACGAUAUUAUUACUAUUAUUCAGUGCUUAGUUUACAGAUAUCAGUCAUAGGUUAGCUUGUGAUCCUUUGGGGUUAUGGGCACCGUGUAGCAUUCCAGGUACCAGAUUUGGGGCGUUACAAACUUGGUAUUAGAGCCUAAGGUUCAAUAGUAUCCUAGGAAGUCUGAAAAGCCGCAUCUAGUAGAGUCUUUUACAUGCAUUUGUUGUGCACCACACUUUUGUGCAGGAGGCUAUGAGGUGUUUUAGGAACAGUUUCCCUUCUUUCAGUAUUCAUGUCAUGCCAGUGAGCAUAGGCUCAAAGUUAAACUAUCAGUCAUGAAUCAGUCCGUGGAUGCCCUAUGCAUCGCCCCAGUAUCUCAGUAGGGUGAGCAUUCUUAGAGGGACAUAGUGUCCCAAGGAGGAGAUACCCUAUUAUUUCCUCAACGUUCACAUGCCUUAAAUAAAGUUUCUCUUCGAAUAAUGAAUCUAUUUUAGAGUAGAGGGUAUUCAUAAGUUGAUCCUCAAAGUCCUAACCUCAGCUUUGGGCCAAGUAUUCAGAGGCUCAGUUCCGUUCAUAAUGUUCAGUUCGUAUGCCACGUAUCAGACUAAACUCAGUUAGGUUCUCAUAUUUUCGCUCAUGCAUGUUUAGUAAGAUGAUAUCGAAUUCAUUAGCAUUUCCAGUUAAGAUAACAGUUCUCCUUAGUCUUACUCAGUUUCAUGUUCAGUGUUUAUCACAAACUUGGUACUAUGUACCCUUUCAUAUUUAGCCAUGCAUUCAUAUAUCAGUUCAGGUAUGCAAUUAUGCAUCAUACAUGCAUUAUCACUGUGAGAAAUUCAGUUCAUCAAAAUAUUCAGUAAUGUACUCAUAAGUCAAUUUCAGUCAUGCAUCAGAUAUGCGUGAAUUCAGCUUAUUAGUCAUGCAUCAGAUAUGCAUGUUCAGUAUGAUAUAUUAAGCCAUCAGUCAUGUUAGUCAUGAAAUCAUGUUCCAGCCAGUCAUGUUCAGUAUGUACGUUAGUUUGUAUUCUUUCCCUCUCACUCAGUCUCAUUCAAGGACGAACGUUCUCAAGGGGGAGAUGUUGUAAUAACCCGUAUUUUUCUGAGCUUAAAAAGUUUUCUAAGGAUGUUAGAAGCUUUCUUUGAAAGAUGAAUCCACUUUUGUACAUGUGGUAUUUUCAAUAUUUUCACUUUUUAUCAUGUGGAAAAUCGAAUAAGCUUUCCAUCGAUACCAAAUUUACCUAAAUCCGACACCUGAGUGAAGAGUUAAAGCCUUUUUAGUGAGACAAUGUAUCACCUGAACCUUCAACGCGUCGCAGAGAUAGCUCAAAUGGAAAUUGUCAAUUUCCAGUGUUGCUUCAUGAUAUUGGUGCAUCGUGCCAAACUUCUAUGUCGCAGACAAGGUGGCAAUGUGAUAGCUCCGCAUCGCACCACCGUGCAAUUUCCUAUUUGUCACUUUCUAGUGACUUGGCGCGAUAGUGGCGCGUCGUGCCCAGGAUAAAAAUCGGAAAAUUUUCUCAUAAAUUAAAGACGCGUUCAGGGUUAAAAGGGUUAAUUUCCCACCACUAUAUAUACACAAUAACAAGUGAUUUAGUCAUUCUUCACCCAAAAUAUACUAGUUUCUCUCAAGUUUCUCUCAAGAAUAAGCUAGGGUUUCUAUUGGGGAUUCAAAUUCAAGAAGGUUACACCAUCAAUCCUCAAGAAAUCACAUCCCUGGUAUGCAUAGUGUUCAUUCAUGGACUCCUUUCAUCCAUGAAGACUAAGAAUCUAUUUUCUAAGUUCAAGUUUAUGGAUUUCUUUAUGAAUUUCAUGUUGGGUUUGUUUUGUUUAUGCUGAGAAUGAACAAUUGAAUUCAAAUACAUGUUGGGUGAUCAAUGUUAGGUGGAAUUGAUUUGUAUAGAUGUAUAUUAAUAUGAACCUAUGAUUAAACCUUAGGAUGAUGAAAUUAGAUGUUGAAUCAUGAUGUUUAAUUGCUGUAUAAUGUUGUCUACAUAUAUUAUGCCUACCAUGUGUUUGAUUAAGUGCCUAUAUGAAGGAAAAGUGCCCAACUAGGAUGAUAUUAUAAAAGCCCCAUUUAUGUACAAGUUUAUGCAUAUCAAAUGUUUGAUGAAGUGCUUUAAUAUAUGAAUUAUGAAUUGUGUUAUUGGUCAUGUGUUCAAGUAAUCAUUUUUUUCCAUCGAGUCCUGGGGGUACUUGUACCCGACAAUUUAGCUGUGUGCCUAGAGCCAUGUCAGGUUUUCACGAUAAUCUUACUCAAGCCAUGAUCAAUAGAAUUUAGUCAGUAUCAUGACUCAGGAAAUCUCAGUAAAUUCAGUAUCCAUCAGAUCAGUCCCACUCAGUAGUCUCAAUAACCGUAGUAUUCCUAGUAAUCUCAGUAACUUCAGUACUCUUAGUCAGUCCUCAGAACUCAGUACAUUCCAUCAGUCAAUGGAACUCAGUAAACUCAGUUUAUCUCCACUAAAUAAUACCAUUAGUAUCAGCUCAGUUCAGAUAAUUACUUCAGUUCAGUUAAUCAGUUCAGUGUCUUUCAGAUAGGAGUAGGAUUCAGCACCGAACGAGCCUAGGGAUGGGGACUCACCCGCUAGAUAGGACUGAGAUCCCUAGAAGAAAUACCUAAGUUCCAAAACUACAUAGCCAGUGUAUGUACAAGAUGUCACCCGUUAGAUAGGACUGACAUACUUAGGGAUCAUUUGUUAGCACAUUUAAAUGUAUAGGACUUAUCCCAGGGGUCACCCGAUAGAUUAGGACUGGCUCCACAGCAGUUGUCUUUAUCAGUGGCGCGGUACUGAUACCCUUCCAACUAGGGUUACAGGUUGGACCCUAGUUAGCUUAGUAUGGGGCAUGUUGGUUAGAUGAUUAUAUCCCAUAAUUUCAGUUACUCAGAUAUAGUACGGAACUCAGCUAAUUCCAUCAGAUUCAGGACUAUCAGAUACAGUCACUCAUGUCAUUAGUUAUAUUAGUUAUCAGAACUUAUGUUAUUAUCAUUCAGCUUCAAGACUGUCAGAUACAGUCAACCAGACCAGUUCUUCAUAAUAAAAACUGUCACACAGUUAUCCAUGUAUUAGUAACGUAGUAUCAAUCCCUCAGUAUUCAGUAAUAUAGCAUCAGUUUCUCACUCAUCAGUGACUCAGAUGUCAAUAUCAGUAGAAUCAGUAGUCAGAACUCAAUAUUCAGUCCUAUCAUGAUCUCAGUUACAGUUACGUAUGCAUGCAUGUAUUCUCAUGUUCAUAUUAGUCAAUCAGUUAGUAUUGUUCAUGCAUAUGAACCUAUUCCAUUCAGCCUACCUCACUUGCAUAUCAGUAUAUUCAAAGUAUUGACGCAUUUGUGCUAUGGUGCUUAUACCAUAGGUUUAGAAGCACGAGCUCCAGAGAACCAGUAGUAUCCCAGUUCAGCGAUCAGAGUUAGCAAUGAGCUCUUAUCCUUCGAGGACAUGAUGAUCACAUUACUAUUUUAGUUUUCAAUUUAUUUCACUAGUUGGAUUUAGUUGGGGACAUGUCCCAUCAACUCCUUAUUCAAACAGUUUAGAGGCUUUCAGACUACAGUAUGUUCAGACAAUUAUCUCAGCUGUUUUGGUAUUGUUAUACCAUAUUUUUUAGUUAUGUACUAGUAUUAAACCUUAUGGCCUUUUAAUUCAUGUUUCUGCAUUUAUGAUAUUAUUACUAUUAUUCAGUGCUCAGUUUAUAAAUAUCAGUCAUGGGUUAGCUUGUGAUCCUUCAGGGUCAUGGGCACCGUGUAGUAUUUCGGGUACCAGAUUCGAGGCGUUACAAUCAUUCUCCUCAAAUUUUGAUAUUUCAUAGCUUGGAGGAUGGUUGACACUUGAAUACAUGCCCCAGUCUUUAUAUGAAACAUAUUCAUAACCUGUAAGUCCCAGGAAACUUUUCAUAGCAUUUUCUGCAUUCUCCAUUUUUCCAACCAUUUUCUCUGGCUCUUCUAGCAUGCUAGGCUUCUUGGUAAGAAAUUUUGGUAGUCUAAUUAACUUAAAAUUUAGGUUCAAAAGUAUAACAAUGAUCAUCAAUAGUCUUGAAUGUGGAUUCACUAGUGGACUGGGGAAAUACAAUCGUUAGGCGGACAACUAAUGUGGAAACCUCAGUAGAGGGUUGAGCAACAAAAUCACAAACGAUAUAUGGUGUUGUGAAUGUAGUUGGCUUAUGUUAAGGAGCUAGAGAAAGAGUGGUGGAAGUAUUGGGAUGUAGUUGAGGAACAAAUUUUGAGACAUACUAAGGUGCAUCAACAACAGUAGGAAGCUGACAUAGUGAUUUUGGUGGAAAACUCAAGGUAUUUAUAGGAUCAAAAGUAGGGAAUAGAGAAGGAGGCAACCCACUGGCCCAAGUUCGGUGAAUUACCAUCAUUUGUUUCCUUGAUCUCAAAAUCUCUUGCUUUAAACUCUCCUUUUCCCGACUCUUUGUUUGGUCUAUGAUGUCACUCUCUAUAUCCAUGUUGGACACAAUUAACCCUUCCUUGAAUUUGGUGUAAUGUGAAGGACCAGCCAGAAUGCCACAAACCAACCACUUUAAACUAACUGAAUAAGAAAUAACAGAGAUGUUAGAAUGAAAUACUUUUCAAAACUCUUUUUCUUCUUUUUUUCUUUUGAAAAGAUCACCAAACCCAAGAAGGGCGCCUACGUAUCUCACUCCCAAGAGAAGAAUCAGGUGUACAUAGUUCUUGAAGUUUUGGCACCAUAUGGCCGAUCAAACUUUUUUUUUCUUCUUCUUUCUCUUGAAAUCUUAAGAAGCAAAGAAAACAACAAAUUGUCAAAAGAAUUGAUGAAAAUCUUUUUGAAUUUUCAUCUUUAAAAUCCCAUACAAAAUGAAACAUAUGAUUACCAAAGAAAAUCUUUUUGGAUUUCAUACGAAAGUGAAACUUGAACCUAUUAAAGUAAUUUUUUUUUUAUAGUUUUCUUUUAAAGAUGUAUACGAAAAACCUACUAUAAAUAAAGAGUGAAGAAAAUCUUUUUGAAUUUUUUAAACAAGAUCACCAAACCCACGAAGGGCUGCCUACGUAUCUCACUCCCAAAAGAGGACAAUUAAGGAUUAAAUAACCAAUUGACCCUAACUUAAGAGACACAACCAAAGACAGACAAUGAAUAACAUUAAUUUUUUGGGGCUUUUUUAAUUAGACACUUCACAUAAAAAUGACACCAACAAACUAUGAAAGAAAAAUCUUUUUUGGCAUUUUCGUUAUAUGAAUGUACAAAACUUCUACCUUUUUUUUUGAAUUUUUCUUUUAUAAAAAACUCCUAUUGAAAUUUUUUUUAAAAAUUUUUUGAAUUAUGAAUGCUUACUAAAGAAACAAAAGAAAAAUCUUUUUGAUAUUUUUGUUUAUGGACAAAUGAGUUUUGGACUCACUUUUUUUCCUUUUCUCUUUUUUUUUUUUCAAAUUUUCCUUUGCUUACACAUGCUUUCCCUUUAAUUCUAGCAUAUGGUUUCCCCCAAAUCAUUCCGUCAAAUGAUCCUGUUACCCUCAAAGAUGAAACAAUUAGCACGUAGGGAUGCUUUAGGAGUGAGUCUCCUACAAAGGACAAAGUGGGUCUUGCUAGAUCUCAAUAUGAUCCAGAUAAGCAUGACCUAAAGGCUGACCUAGGCUGGGGUCCACUAACAAGGCUGUCCAGGGAAGCGUAUGGUCUAUAGUGGUUGGGAUAGCUUUUCACCUACUCCAUACUAGCCGAUAGCUCCCCCUCCUAAAAUAAGGGUGACUCAACUAGAGAUCGUGUAUACAACAUAUACUAUGGGAAACUUUGCGAAAGACAUGACUCGGGCAAUGCAAAUGAUGACAGGUAUAACUGUAACACAUAAGGAAAAACUAUAAACGCGUAGCACAUAAGUACAUAAUAAUGAUAAUACAAUACAAACGAUAACACAAAUAACAUAUGUACACUCAUAGUAUCAAACUAAUCCGAUACAACUAAAAAAAUAAGCUCGAAUUCUAAAAAAUCCCCAGCAGAGUUGUCAGAGCUAUCACACCCCCUUUUUUUUAUCCAAAAAGAUUGAAUUUUAAAUUUGAAAGGGUUUUUAUUACUAAGUGACAAAGAACGAAAAUUUAUUUCAAAAAGAAUUCUUUUACAUUUAAACUUAGAGUCGCCACUUGGCAUAAAUUUAGAGUGCCAAGUCACCAUUGGAAAUCCUUUUUCAAAAUGGUUUGAUUCUUUAAAAACUGGUCCACGAACAGAAAUUCCGGUUAAGAAAAUUUGUUAAUCAAGGGGUAGGUGUUAGGCACCCCUCGAUCCCGUGGUUCGACCAUGGUUACUUCAUGGAGUAUAUCUGCUAGUACGACACUAUGAAUGUAUAAACCACAUACAACACCUAAAACAAUCAAUCACACAAACAAAACAAAAUAAGUCCAAAAAUAUAGCGUCCAGUCCAAUUAUUACAGUUCGAAAUAAAUAAAUUGAAAUAAAAUACUAACCUAUAGUAGUCAUAGGCUAUGCUUUACCCGAUGCCUCGGGCCUUGAUCACGAAUGUCCUCCGAGUAUAAGAUACUUCGGGGCAUUCCUCGGUGAAUAAAUACAAACAACCUCGGAGCAUUCCCCGGCUAAAUAAAUACAUUUUCAAUGUGAGAAAACCAAAAUCAUUCAAUAAUAUUUCAAAUAUUCAACAAUUCAUAAUCACUAAAUUUGCCUACCUCCUAUCAUUUACCUAUCAAUUUGACGGCCUAAUCAUGAUACUAUCGAGUCCGAGAAAAUUAAUAUCCAUUUCAAAUUAACUCAAUCAAUGAACCAAUCUGAGUCAAUAUUCAUUCUUUAUCACUUUUCAAAUCCCCCAAUUUAUUCUCGAUCACUCAAUUGAUUAAUUAUUUAAUAACCAAUCAUGAAUAACAAACAUUGAUCAAACCAACACUCAAACGUCACCAACAAUCCACAUUAACAAAUAAAAUAGUGAUAUUGAAUCACGUUCACAAUCAAAUAAGAAUUAAAAUAAAGAAAAGAAAUAAUUGGACCUCAAUACCGCUUUGACCAAGUAUUAUUUGAUUAAACGAGAUGGAGUCCGCGCUAGAAACCUCAAAUCAAAACCUCAGCAAACUUUUGAACCCAAAUUCACACAAAAAUCCUCCAAAGUCGAUUGUAAUAUGAAACCUAUGAGAAAUUUAAGAAAAACCUAGACUACCAACGAUCAAAUCCGACCACAACUCCGAACGCCGAUCAAGAUUUUUGAGUCCAUUUUCUCACCUGAGAUGGCUAAGACAAUGAGUAGCUUGUGGGUGGUAUUUUUUGGUGGCUUUGGUCGCUGUUUUGGCAUCUCUGGUGGUUUUUUGUUAGAACAUUAAUAAAUAAAAAUUAGGGUGUUCUCUGAUUGUCAAUUCCAGCGAUGAUUCAUUUUCUCGAUUCUCUUAUCUUAUUACAUGUAUUUUCUGUGUAUUGUGAGUGUGGUGUGUAUUCGAUUGGUAUGUGUGUUUUUGUUAUUGUGAAAUCAAUGAAGUAUUAUAGAUUGGAGGAGUAUGUGUGUGAGUUUGUUAGUGUAUGAAUCUCAUUCUCCCUCCAUAGCUCUGUGUGCAUGCAUUAUUAUGUAUGUCCCCUUUUUCGAUAAGGUAUCUGUGUGUGUAUAUGAAUAUCUAUGUAUAUGGAGUGCGCCUAUGUGUAUGUAUUAUAGUGUGUGUGUUCUCUGUGAGUGGGAUCCCCUGUAUCUAUGUAUGAGUAUCUAUAUAUAUGUGUGAGUUUUGGUGGGUAAAUUGUAAGAGAGUGUGUGUAUUGUGCCUCAAUAUCCCUGUGUGUGAGCUGUGUGUUGCAAUUUAUGUGGGUCCCCUUUCUGUUAUGAAAAAUAUAAGUAAAAAAAUAUGAGUUUAUAAAGGGUGGGGUAUGCGGGUAGGGGUAGGGUAGGGGUGGAGGGUUGUGGAUAGGGGUGGAGGGUUGUGGGUAGGUAGGGUAGUGAGGUGGGUAGGAGUGUGUUUGUUAUUUUGUUAGGGUAAGGUGUCCAUUUUUAAAUAAAGAGGUUGUUAAUUUGUUAAAAAUUUGUUAUUUUUGUAUCAUUUUGGAGGGAUAAUCACAUGGGGGUAAGGUACAUGGUAAGGAGGGGUAAAAAUGGAAAAAAGAUGAUUUUGGGGAGUUGCAAAUUACGUGUUUACAGAAUUGACAAAAAUUUAUGAUUUCAUCCUACAAUUGUAACAUUUUUGAGGGUGGGAAGUAUUGAUCCAAGAAAUCCUCCAUAAGUUUGACCCACGAGGUAAUGGACUCGACGGGUAGAGAUCUUAGUCACAACACUGCCUCACCUGUUAGAUAAAAUAGGAAGAGCCGCAACCAUACGGAUUCUUAUGAUAUGUGAGAAAUGUCAAAAUAAGUACAUACUUCCACAAAAUUCUUCAAGUGCAAGUUUGGGUCAUCAUGUACUUGGACCCCAAACAAACCCUUCAUAUGAAGCAAUGGAGCAUCAUACUUGUGACAUGAAAUACUCCGUUUCCCUUGGUGGGGGAAUACAGAUAACAUUAGCAUGUUCUUCGUCGUCAAGAUAAUCCAUAGUUUCAACAUGUUCAUAUGAUAGGUUGUUGAUGACUCCUUCUUGACUUAUGGUUAUUUUCAAGAAAUAAAGAUUACCUACAGAAGAAACAAAAACAACAACUAAACUAAGUAAACACCACUACAGGUAGACUCAAAGCUACAAUCAACACCGUAAAAGUGAACACUAAGUUUUACUCCCCGACAACGGCGCCAUUUUGAUUACGCUCAACUUACUCCAUAAUUUAUGGGCAAGGCGAUCGUUGUCAAAUAUAAUAAUCCAACAUGAGUUAGGGUCGAAUCCUCAAGAAGUGAAUCUAGUAUUCAAAUCCUAUGGGUAUUGAAAGUGUCUAAGUAUAUACCCGUAGUUUAAACGAAAUGAAAUACAUGAAUUAAAAUUUGGGGGGUGUAUGGUUUCGAAAAAUUAUUUUAACAAAAACUACUCAAAUUAACAAUUGGGAGAAACAAAUGUAGAUAAGAUUCCAAUGGGAGAAUGGUCUUGGGAUUGUGAUUUCCUAGGGGCAAAUAGUGUAUGGGUUCAUGAUAAUCAAAUGCAACUUUUGGUUAAUAACUAUAUGGGUAGGCUGGGUUAUGGUCUUUGAUGCUAGCUUUUCAACCAAACACGAAGAUAUCACUCAUGGACCCUUUUGAAUACCUAAUGAGUGUGGCAAACAAAUCCACCCAACACCUUAAUUGGGCAUCCCUAUUUCUAUAAAGAUGCGCAAGACAUAGAAAAUUCACAAUCCACACUUAUUUCUAAGACAAUGAAAAGGAACAAGCUAAUAUCUAAUCUAUUAUUCACAAAUACUAUUCAUUCACAUCCCUCUUUAAAGUAUGGUGUGCAAUUUGGGAAAAUUGAGGCUUUCACCCACAAAUCCCAAUUUAGCAAUCAAAUAUUUGUGAAACCCACCAUCAUCAACUAAGAAUUUACACUAAUAAUCAAAACCCACACACAUUUGCACCAUAUUUAAACAUAAUCCUAAGAUAGAAUAUUUAGCUAAUUAUUUCCACAUUCAUCUCUCCAAUUGAAAAUAAAGCAAAAUUAAUCCCAAAAUUCCAAGCUCCAAUUACAACUAAAAAUAUCUUUUUGGAAGAUUAAAUACAGUUGAUCUUCUCACACUAAUUGGAAAUUUUCUCUCUAUUUCUCUUUCAAAGGUAGUUGGAAGAUGUUGCCAAAGUGAAAAGGUUUGCCCUUUUGAGAGAUUGGAACCAGUUGUGGAAAAUUAUCAAUCUACCCCUAGAAUGAUUUCCAUCUCAUCAUGAUAGCCGAUAUAAUAAUCGCGAUUACAGAGAACCUAUCAUGAUCGCCAGCUUUUAUUGAUUUGGACUAGCCAUGAUCACGACCCUCAGACCGCGAUCACGGUAACUGGAGGUCAGUUCUUGCUCCUGCUUUUUCAGCUUUUGAACUACUUCUUCACUUUUUGAUCUGUUUUAGCUUAUUUCAUUUCUUUGCUUCUUAUCACCUGUAUGCCUACAAAACAUCAUUCAAAUGAAAUUUUUUAAUCAUUAAAACCAUUAACUCAUAGUAGUGUGCACGGAUUUGGGCAACAAUGAGCGAUAAAUUUACCACUCAUCAAUCAGCCUUUGCAUGAUGUUACUUUCUAUCAGAAACUUGUUGAGAAGUUGUUGUAAGCUACCAUUACAAGACCAGACAUCUCUUAUGAAAUAAAUACUCUCAGUGUAACACCCUUAAAAUAUCAUCUAUUUCAUUUUUUUACCUUUCCGUGUUUGAAACAUUGAUUUUUGACCUGAGAUGUGCUUAAGGAUGUUAAAAGGGUAAUCCGGGUGAGUUUUAAAAUUUUUGAAGGAGGUUCGAGGUCAUUUUAGAGUUAUGAGGCAGUGAGCCUCCGUGAUAAUAUCAUGUCACGAAGGAUAAUCUUUGGAAUAAGCAGCGUGUCAUGGAGGAUAAUCUCUGUAGUAAGCAGCAUAGCAUGGAGGUUAGCCUCUGUGAUAAGCAGUGUGUCACGCUGCUUUGUAAAAUUUGGGUAGUCACUUUAGGGUGAAGGGUUUUUGGUUCUUUCUCCCCUUUUAAAACCCUCCCCUAUGACUUAAAUCAUCUAAUAAGAGUUAUUACCCAUUGUUAAUUAGUUUUAAAUACUCAUUAUUCUCUGCUCUCUCAAGAAAAAGAGAAUUAGGGUUUCUUUCAAUGCUGAUGCUUUUAAGACUAGAUUCAAGCUGUUUUGAAUUCUUAAUCAUCAAAAAGGUACGUAGAACUAUCCUAACAAUGAUGGGCCAAAAAUUUAUGUUUCCUUCAUGGACUUGAAAAUAUGUGGUAUAUGUGUAUGUAUGAUUUUUUAGAAUCAACUUAAGAGCAUGAUUAUGAUAUUACCUCUCUCAUGAUGAAAUUUACUUUUCUUAAUAUGUUAUAGGUUGUUCAAAUGUAUGAUUAAAAGAUUAAGUAAUAUGUUUUAUUAUCAAUGGCGAAUUGAUAUGGUUUUGAAUUCAAGAGAGGGUACUUUCCUUACUUUCGAUAUGCUCAUUCAUGUUAAAUGGAAAAAUUUCAUGUGAUCUAUGAGAUUUCCUUACUUUCCAGUUGAAAAGGGAAUGUUUUUGCAUGAAUUUUUCAUAUGCUAUUUUGAAUUAAGAACUCCCAUGUUAUGUUUAACUCUUUUGGUGGUAAUUAAUAAAUUUUGAAUAAAAAAGGCUAAGAAUAUGACAUGACAUGAUAUGGCUUGCAUGUCUAGGUAUGCUGAUACCUAUCACAACAUGUCCUUAACAUGAAAGAAAAGAAUGAUAUAAGCAUGAAGCAUGGUUUUAAGAGGUUAAAAUUAGGCUCAAAGAGAUUUAAAUGGUUACCUGAAGAAGGCAUAAGUUCAGAUAACUCAUCGCUAGAAACCGUAUUUUGGCGAUGCGGGUUUUAUGAAAUCUUAUUGGUUAAGUGGGAUAAUGUGAUGUAUCAUCAAGAAGGCAUACUUUUCAUAAAAUGGUAUGUCAUCAAUAAGGCAUACAUUUUCAUGACACUCCAAAUCCUUACGACAAACUCAGAAUGGGGGCUUGACUGUUGAGUUACUGGUGGAUUUCAUAUAACCCAUGGAAUUUAAGAAAUGUAAGGUGUACCAUCUAGCUCAGAAGUAAAAUAAAGAGUGUUGUCUACAUUUGUCCAAUAAUAAUUUGAAGCUAAAUUUAUUAUGUCCAUAUGUUUUGAUCUCUACUAUGUUGAAUUGAUUUUGGUAAGUUUUGAUUCUUUUAUAUGAAAUAUAUAUAUAUAUAUAUAUUGGUUUUUUGGAUUGUUCUACGUACAAAUAUAUUCAAAGUAUUGACCAUCCUUAUGGAGAUUGUAUUGUCUCAUAAUGUAGGAUCUAAGGCACAGUCCCACGGUCCAAUUCAACAGUAGUAGAUUGUUCCAAAAGUUUAGAGUCGGUGAGCCUCCCUUAUUUUGGAAGUCAUUUUUUUCAUAUGAUAGUUUCAUUCAUUUUUUUGGUCCUACCAGUGGACUUGACCCCGCUUAGAUAGAUAAGUAUUUCAGUAGAGACUUUGUAGGCUGCUUUAGAUUGGAUUUGGAUGUUUUGGAUGUAUUUAAAUUUGAUUACAAGCCUUUCCAUAUUUCAAUUUUAUUUUUUGUACCUUAUUCUUAUGAAUUAUGUUCAUGAUGGCAUGUUAUGGGGUAUCUCGGGACUUCAUGGUUCAAGAUGUCCGUUGUUUCCAGGGCCUCAGCUCAAGCCAUAGCAAGCUUAGUAUCAAAGCACGGUUUAGGGUUCUAGAUUGUCUACUAAGCCAUGUCGAGUAGAGUCAUUAUUAUAGGUGUGUAGCAUGCUACACUUAUAUGGGGGAAGAUAUAAGACAUUUAGAAAUGUUUCCCUUUUUUUUAUGAUUCUAGUUCGUGCUAUAGGGUCUGAAUAUUUCCUAACUCAUGACUUUCUAUGUUUUAGAUCAUACCUCCCCAUAGAUCUAAUGAGCAGAACAAUGUGUCUAUUGGGACAAAUGCAGAAGAUGUCUGCCCUACCAUGGGAUAUAGACCUGUUAUAGAGUAUGUACUCCAGAAUUUACUAUUCCUUCGACUGUCCCACCAGUUUAGACUAGCACUUCUUAGUCUUCUCUAUCCAGUAUCAACAACACUCAGUCCCCACACAGAGAGGUCUCAAAUGCUAAGUUUCAUUAGUCUAUCCAUAUGAUUUCUCAGCUUAUGGCUUCAGUCUAAUCGGUCUGGGGAUGUGAGUUCUUUCAUUGGUUCUUCUGAGGUAACUUGGGUUGGUUAGUUCAUGAGGUUGAACCCAUCCAUCUUCACGAGUACUAAAACUGAGGAGGACCCUCAAGGGUUUGUGGAUGAUAUGGAGAAGAUAUUUAGAUUCAUGUAUACCGGCGGUACUAGGGGUAGAGUUUGCAGCCUAUCAUCUAAAAGAUUAUAACGCCCUGAAUCUAGCACCUAAAAUGUUACAUGGUGCUCAUGACCCCGAAGGACCACAAGCUAACCCAUGACUGAUAUCUAUAACUGAGCACUAAAUAAUAUAUUGUAAAUAUGUGGAAUAUAAGCUGUAAGGCCAUAAGGCUCAAAACUGAACUAAUACUGAAUAUAAAACAAUGUCUGUAAUAGGGUAUAACAAUACCCAAAAAUUAAAAUAAACUAUCUGAAACAUAUUGUUGUCUGAAAGCCUCUACACUAUCUAAAAUAUGUGGAGUUGAUAGGACAUAUCGUGCUUCUAAACCUAUGGUACAAAACACCAUAGUGCAAAUGUGCCAGUACAAUUGAAUGAACUGGUAUACAAGUGAGGUAGGCUGAAUGCAAGGGUUCAUAUGUAUGAACAAUAAUAACUGACUGAUGACAUAAACAUGAACGUGUGAAAAAUACAUGUAUGAAUACAUAAACUGGGGCUGGGGUCAUGAUAAUACUAAAUACUGAUGUACUAAUAUCUGAGUUUACUAAUACUAGGAUACUGAAUAACUGAGUCUAUUAAUGAUAGGAAUUACGGAGUUUACAGGUAACCGAUAUCUGAGGUUACUGGUACUAUAUAACUGAUAACUGAUAACUGUGUAUACUGAUACUGAAAAACUAUUUGAGUUUUUUACUGGACUGGGUGAUUGUAUCUGACAGUCCUAAAUCUGAAGAACUAUUUAAGUUCUAGAUUGAGCUGGAUGACUGUAUUUGACAGUCCUAAUUCUGAUAGAACCAGUUGAGUUCCAUACUGAACUGAGCUACUGUAUCUGACAAUCCUAAUAUCUGUAGAACAGAACUGAGUUCUAUUACUGAGACUAAAUCUAAAACUAAGACUGUGGGAGGUAAUCAUCUAACCGAUAUGCCUCAAAUCUGAACUGGUGGGGUCCAACCUAUAACCCCAGUUGGAAGGGUGCUAGUACCGUACCAUAGGUAAAGACAAGCUGUAGGUAAACACUCUUUGAUAAGGAGCUCUUCUAUCAACCCCUCCUAUAAGGAAAAACUCAAAGUAGAUGUAUAGUCCCUAGACUCGUAGGGGUACAUCUCGAACUAAACUGGCUAUAUAGUUUUGGAAUGCAAGGAUUACUUAUAAGGGUCACACCCUCUACUGACUGAUAGGUGAGCCCUCCUCCUUGGGUUCACUGGUGCUGAAUCCUACUCCCAACUGAAAAGACACUGAACUAAUUUAAUUGAACUGAACUGUUACUGAUCAUAUUGUAUAACUAAUUUGAACUGGAUUCACUAAAUUCUAUUGACUGACAGAAUACUACUAAGAUCUGAUAACUAACUGGGAUUGCUGAGAUUAUGAAGAUUACAGAGAUUACUGAUAUUAUUUAGAUUACUGAGGUUAUUGAGAUUACUGAGGUUAUUGAGUAGGACUAGACUGAUACUGAAUUCAUUGAAUUUUCCUGAGUCAUGAGACUGACUAAAUUCUAAUGAUUAUGGCUUGACUGAGAGUAUUAUGAAAACUAACACUGGCUCUAGGCACAUAGCUAAAUUGUUGUGUACAAGAACCCCCAGGACUCAGUAGCAUAAAAAUGACAAGUCUUGACACUCUUGAACACAUGACCAAUAUCAACAAUUUAUCAUACAAUAAGUUGGGGAUUUCAUGAAGCACAUGGUUAUCAUAAUUUUGUACGUGGAUAGGAAUGCAUAUAAUCAUGUCAUAAUUUCAUACUCUAACAUCAUGAGCAUUCCAACAAACAUCUACAAUGCACAUCAAUAACAUAGUAGUCAUUUGAACAUAAGGGUAAAACAUGUAUUUAUCGUUUGGGUCACAAUUAAGAUAUAAUGCAUAAUUUCUAUUCUCUUAGGCAUUUUAUCAAACACCUUACAUGCACCACUUAGGGUAUAAUCAUAAUCAUCAAAUUAACACCCCAUAACCAACUAAGUUCAUAGUUUUCGACAUGCAUGCUAACAUAGUUUGAUAAAACAAAUGAAGAUUCCAACUUAGGAAUCAUACAACAACAACCACAUGAACAUAAUCAAUCCAUAACAUGAAUAUCAGAAUUCAUAGUUUAAAACUUGAUUCUUGGGAUUCAUGGACUAAAGAAAUCCAUUAAUGAACACUAUGCAUACCUUAGUUCUUGAUUAUACGAAGAUUGACAGAGAGAUUCUUGAAUUUGGGUAUUGAAUUUGAAUCCUUAAUUAAAAACCUUAACUUGUUCUUGAGAGAAACUUGAGAGAGACUAUAUUUUGGUUGAAUUGGGGCUAAAUCCCAUGUUUUAGACUUAUAUAGAGGUGGGAAAUUGACCCUUUUGACUUUAAAAAUAUGGACAUUUAAUGACUGAAAUUGGGCAUCGAUGCUAUUAUCAAGCGAUAGUCGACGUGUCACGCCAUCAUCACAUCGAGUCUCAGUACUUUGACCCUGGUAACCUGCAAUAAUAUCAACCAACGCGAUUGGUAAUGCGGCACGCCAAAAUCGUAUUGGUCCACUAUUUUGAGCUUCCGAACGUUGUCUAAAUGAGUUCCGAAAAUUUCAAAACUUGAUCGAAAACACUUAUUGACCUUCCUGGUCAUGAAUUAGCAAGAAUACAGACUAUUAAAGGACAUUAAAGUCACGAAAUGAGACUGCAAACUUUCAAAGGCUAAAAUAAAUUAAGUCUAGAAACUUAGCUAGAACCUUCUAAGUAUGGGACCCCCCUAACAAGCAUAAAUGGACUGAAUUAAGCUUAGAAUUUUGUGGGGUCUUACAAAAAUAUGACUUAUCAGUGGUAUGAUGAGUGGAAAGAGCUAAGGGGUGAGGAUGUUGAACUUGCAGUAUAGGAAGAGUUUUUGUGUACUUUUAUGGAUCACUUCUUUCCUUAGGAAUUGGGGAAGGCUAAGGCUGAGGAAUUUAUGAACCUGAAGCAGUGGAAGAUGAGAGUCAAAAAAUAUAUAUUGAAAUUCACACAGUUAUCCUGUUAUGCUCUAGAGCUCAUAUGCAAGAUGAGGUCCCGUAUGAGGAAGUGCGCAUUUGGUCUUUCAAAUAAUUUAGUGUUAGAAUGUAAGGAAGCAAUGCUGAAUAAUGAUAUGGAUAUCUCCAAGUUAGUAGUGUAUAUGCAAAAAGUAGAGGAGCAAAAGAAGAGGCAAAUAAAGACAAAGGAGAUACAAGUUAAGAAAGCUAAGUCUACAGAUCAGGAUACCAGCCAGCAGCAGGGUGGAAUAUGGGGUAAAAUACAGUCUAAGAAAAAAAUUUAGAGCAAUUUUCAAUCUUAAGUUGGUGCCCCUACACCCAGACCAAUAGGCGACCAACGUCUGUAGUCUUAUGGUGGACAAAGGGUGCAAGGCAUCCAAUCCCAGGAAAGUGUGACUUGGGCCAUUAGAUCGCACCCCUAUUGUAAUUCAUAUGGAAAGAAUCACCCGAUGAGGUGUUAUUUUAGGAGUAAUGUGUGCUAUAAUUAUGUCUAUAGAGUCCAUGUCCAGAGAGAUUAUCCCUUGACUAGAGGAAACCUCAAAGGUCCAAACUACUUCAGCAACCCUUUCAUCUAAGGGUACUACUUUUGCUACUAGAGGUGGUCGUAAUAUCUUAUAUGCCCUAUCUACACACUAGGACUCAGAGUUUUCACUAGAUAUUGUUACGGAUAUGUUACAAAUCAUAUCUCAAGAUCUUUUUAUGUUGCUUGAUCCUGGUUCUACCCUAUCUUAUAUGACUCCUUAUAUGGCAGUAAGUUUUAGUUUUGAGCCCAAAAGUAUUUCUGAACCCUUAUCUGUGUCCACCCCUGUUGGUGACUCUUUUAUUACUAGACGAGUUUAUACAAAUUAUGUAGUGUCUAUUUUCUAUUGGGAUACUGUGGUAGACCUUGUAGAGCUAUUUAGUAGAUUUCGAUGCUAUUCUAGGGAUGGAUUGGAUCCAUUCAUGUUAUCUUAGGUUGUAGAACCAGAAGGGUCACCUUCUAUUUCCCUAAUGAGCCAAUUAUUGAAUGGGAAGGGUGUUCUCUUUCACCUAGAGGAAAGUUCAUAUCUUAUCUUAGAGACUGUAAGAUCAUAUCUAAGGGUUGCUUGAAUCAUUUUGUUUGGGUCAAAGACUCUAGUACUGGAAGUUAGUCUCUUCAAUCAAUUUCAAUAGUUAAUGGAUUCUAAAGAGUUUUUCCUGAUGAUCUCUCUUAAAUACCCCUAGAUAGGGAGAUAGAUUUUGGUAUUGACCUAUUUCCAGAUUCUCUGCCUAUUUCAAUUCUGCUAAAUAGAAUGGCUCAUGUGGAAAUGAAAGAAUUAAAAGAGUAGUUAAAAAAUCUUCUUGAUAAAGGCUCUAUUCGUCCUAGUGUCUCUCCAUGGGGUACUCCUAUACUAUUUGUGCAUACGAAAGAUGGCUUCCUCUCUCUCUCUCUAUAUAUAAUACUGCCAUUUAGAUAAAAUCACUAUCAAUAAUAAGUACCCUCUCCCCAAAAUUGAUGAUCUUUCUGACCUACUUUAGGGUGAUAAAUAUUUCUCUAAUAUUAACCUCUUUUUGGUUUAUCAUUAGUUGAACGUUAGAGGGGAUGACAUUUCCAAAAUAGCUUUCCAAACUCGGUACAGUCACUAUGAAUUCCUGGUCAUGUCCUUCGGAUUGACUGAUGCCCCUAUAGUAUUUAUGAACCUCAUGAAUAGGGUGAUUUUUAGUUUUUUUUUACCUAGUUAUUAUAGUUUUCAUUAAUGAUACUUUGAUUUACUCUAAGAGUGAGGAAGAUCAUGCUAAUCACCUCUAAAUCUUCCUUCAAACCCUUAAGGAUCACGAGUUGUAUGUCAAAUUCUUUAAGUAUGAGUUCUGGAUCAGUGUCAUAGCUUUUCUAGGGCAUAUUAUUUCUAGUGAGGGAAUUAAGGUUGGUCCCCAAACCCAUGACUCCAACUUAUAUUUGGAGCUUCUUGGGUUUGGUAGGAUAUUAUAGAAAAUUUGUAGAGAUUUUCUCAUCCAUAGCAGCUCUACUUACCAGGUUGACGCAGAAGAAGGUCAAGUUUCUGUAGUCUAAUGCUUAUAAGAAUAGUUUUGAGAGAUUGAAACAAGCUGACUACUGUUCCUAUUUUGACCCUUCUUGAGGAUUCAAAGGGUUUUGUAGUUUAUUGUGAUGCAUUACAGGUGGGACUUGGGUGUGUGUUGAUGCAGCAUGGGAAGGUGGUGGCAUAUGCAUCCAGGCAGUUAAAAGUCCAUGAGAAAAACUAUCCCACCCAUGAUUUAGAGUUGGUGGAGGUGGUUUUGCGCUCAAAAUUUGGUGUCAUUAUCUUUAUGGUGUGCAUGUUGACAUCUUUACUGAUCAUAAAAGUUUACGGUAUGUAUUCUCCUAGAAGGAGUUGAAUCUCAGGCAGAAGCGGUGGUUGGAACUGUUGAAGGAUUAUGACAUGAGCUGACACUAUCAUCUAGAUAAAUCUAAUAUGGUUGCUGAUGCUCUUAGCGGGUUGUUCAAGGGAAGUCUUUCUCAUGUUAAGGGAGGAAAGAGGGAUUUGGUCACAUAUAUUCAUCAGCUUGCUAAUUUAGGAGUUCAAAUCUUAGAAUCCGAGGAUGGAGAGUUAUCCAUUCAAGAGGUAGCUAAAUCAUCCCUAUGUGCUUAAGUUAAGGAAAAGUAGACCUAAGAUCCGACCAAAGAUCCCUUAUUGAUGAAGAUCAAGGAGGAUCUUGGUUAGCAAAAGGUUAUGGCAUUUGAAAUUGGAGGAGAUGGUAUUUGAGAUACCAAGGUAGGUUAUGUGUGCUGAAUAUGGAUAGGUUGCAAUAAAGGAUUCUUAAUGAAGAUCAUACUUCCAGUACGUGGUUCAUCUUGGCUCCACCAAGAUGUAUCAUGACGUAAAGGAGAUUUAUUGGUGGAAUAAUAUGAAAAGAGAUUUUCUAACUUUGUGGCUAAGUGUUUGCAUUGCCAACAAGUUAAGGUGGAACACUUGAGGCUAGGUGGUAUAUCCCAGGACAUAGCAUUGACUUUAUGGAAAUGGGAGAUGAUCAACAUGGACUUUGUUACUAGACUUCCGCGAUCCCGAAACCAGUACGAUUCAAUUUGGGUUAUUGUUGAUAGAUUGACCAAGUUUUCCUACUUUUUUCCUGUGAGGACCAAUUAUUCGAGAGAUGAUUAUGUAAAGCUGUACAUUUAGAAAAUAGUUCAAUUGCAUGGAGCUUCGGUAUUUAUUAUAUCCAACCAAGGUACGAAAUUCUCUUCUUAGUUUUGACGAUAUUUUUAGAAAGGUUUGGGUACCUAGGUGAACCUUAGCACUAAUUUCUAGCCUCAGACAGAUGGGCAAGCGGGAGCGUACCAUUAGACUUUAGAGGAUAUGUUAAGGGCUUGCGUGAUUGACUUUAAAGGUAGUUGGGUAGAUCACUUUCCUUUAAUAGAAUUCUCUUAUAAUAAUAGUUAUCAUUCUAGCAUCUAGAUGGCUCCUUUUGAGGUUCUCUAUAGUAGGAGGUGUUGGUCACCAAUUGGUUGGUAUGAGGUAGGUAAAACUUGGAGGUUUGGACUUGAUCUUGUUCAUCAGGUAAUGGAAAAGGUAAAGGUCAUUAGAGAAAAACUUAAGACCGCCCAAAGUGACCAAAAGUCCAACGCCAAUAUAAGAAGAAGGGAGUUAGAGUUUGAGGUUGAUGAUUGGGUGUUUCUAAAAGCCUCCCCUAUGAAGGUGGUCAUGAGAUUCGGGAAAAAAAGUAAAGCUUAGUCCUCGUUUAUAGGUCCUUAUCAGAUUAUAAGGAAGAUUGAUAGAGUUACAUAUGAAUUAGAUUUGCCUGCAAGCUUAGCUUCAAUUCACCCGGUCUUUCAUGUGUCAUUACUUAAGAAAUGUAUUAGAGAUCAUUCACUUGCGUUUCCUAUUAAGGAGACUGGUGUGAGAGAUUCCUUAUUAUACGAAGAAGUACCUACAACAAUAGUGGAUCGCCAAGUUUGAAAUUUGAGGAGCAAGGAGAAUGCUUCGAUUAAAGAGUUAUGGAGGAACCGAAAGAUAGAGGAAGAUACUUGGGAAUCCAAGGAAGACAUGAAAGCUAAAUAUCCUUCCUUAUUUUCAUCAUUAGAUGAGGUGGUUUGAGGUAUGAACCCUAUGCUUAUCCUUAAUCUACUUGAUUUCGUGUUUGAGUUCCUUUUAUGUUCAUCAUUGUAUCAUGAUAAGAAUGUCCAAAGUCUUCAUUUGGGGACGAAUGAUCCCAAGAGGGGGAUAAGUAACACCCUUAAAAUUUUGAUAUUUUAUUUUUGAUCUUACCAUGUAUGAAACAUCAAUUUUUCACCUGAUAUGUGCUUAGGGAUGUUAAAAGGGUAAUUCGGGUGAGUUUUGGAAUUUUCCAAAGAGGUUCAGGGUCAUUUUGGAGUUCCGAGGUAGUGAACCUCCAUGAUAACGCUGUGUUAUAGAGGAUAAUCUUUGCGAUAAGAAGCGUGUCACGGAGGAUAAUCUUCAUGAUAAGUAGUAUGGAAUGGAGGUUAGCCUCCGCAAUAAGCAGCAUACAACGCUGCUUUGUAAAAUUUGGGCAGUCACUUUAGGGUGUAGGGGUUUGGGUCUUUCUCCACUUUUAAACUCCUCCCCCAUGACUUUAAAUCACCUAAUAAGAGUUAUUACUCAUUGUUAAUCAGUUUUAAAUGCUCAAAACUCUCUCUCUUCUCAAGAAAAAGAGAAUUAGGGGUUCUUCCAAGGCUCAUACUUUCAAGACUAGAUUCGAAUUGUUUCGAAUUCUUGCUCAUAAGAAAGGUAUGUUAGAACUAUCCUAACAAUCAUGGGCUAAAAUUUAUGUUUCCUUCAUGAACUUCAAAGUAUGUGGUAUAUGCGUAUGUAUGAUUUUUUAGAAUUAACUUAAGAGCAUGAUUAUGGUAUUCCCUCUCAUGAUGAAAUUUACUUGUCUUAAUAUGUUAUGGGUUGUUCAAAUAUAUGAUUAAAAGCUUGAGUAAUAUGAUUUAUUAUCAAUGACGAAUUGAUAUGGUUUUGAAUUCAAGAGGGUGUUUUUCUUACUUUCUAUAUGCUCAUUCAUGUUAAACGGAAAGAUUUCAUAUAAUCUAUGCACAAGAUGGCCACCAGUUGUUAGAGUCUUGAAAAGGGAAUGUAUUUCAUGAAUUUUUCAUAUGCUAUUUUGAAUUAAGAACUCCAUGUGAUGUUUAACUCUUUUGGUGGUCAUUAAUAUAUUUUGAAUAAAAAGGCUAAGAAUAUGACAUGAUAUGGCUUGCAAGUCUAGGUAUGCUGAUACCUAUCAUGAAAUGCCCUUAACAUGAAGGAAAAGAAUGAUAUAAGCAUGAAUCAUGGUUUUAAGAGGUUAAAAUUGGGCUCAAAGAGAUCUAAAUGGUUACCCGAAGAAGACACGAGUUCAGAUAACUCAUCGCAGGAAACUAUAUUUUGCCAAUGCGAGUUUUAUGAAAUGUUAUUUGCCAAGUGAGAUAAUGCAGUAUGUCAGCAAAGAGGCAUACUUUUCAUAACAUGGUGUGUCAGCAAGGAGGCAUACUUUUUCAUGAUACUCCAAAUCCUUGCGGCAAACUUGGAUUGGGAGCUUGACGGCCGAGUUAAGGGCGGAUUUCAUAUAACCCGUAGAAUUUAAGAAAUGUAGGGUGUACCAUCUAGUGUAGAAGUAAAAUAAAGAGUGUUGUCUACAUUUGUACAAGAGUAAUUUGAAGCUACAUUAAUUAUGCCUAUGUGUUUUGAUCUCUACUAUAUUGAAUUGAUUUUCGUAAGCUCUUGAUUCUUUUAUAUGAAAUAUAUAUAUAUUGUUUUUUCUAAUUGUUCUACGUACAAAUACAUUCCAAGUCCUCAUGGCGGAUGCAUUGUCUCAUAAUAUAGGAUUUGAGGCACAGUCCCUCGGGUCCAGUUCAGCAACAAUAUAUUGUUCCAGAAGUUUAGAGUCGAUGAGCCUCCCUUACUUCGAAAGACAUUUUCUCUAUAUGAUAAUUUUAGUCAAUUUUAUAAUCCAACCAAGGACCUUGUACCGGCUUAUCCAGACAAGUAUUUCAAUAGAGGCUUCGUAGGUUGGUUUAGAUUGGAUUUGAAUGUAUUUAAAUUUGAUUUUAAGCCUUUCCACAUUUCAGUUUUAUAUUCCGCACCUUGUUCUUAUGAAUUAUUUUCAUGACAGUACGUUAUGGGGUCUCUCAGGCCUUCGUGGAUCGGGAUUCCCGUCAUGGCUAGGGCCUCAGAUCGUGACACUUAGUCAAUUUAUGCAGGCUCCUAAGAAUCCUCAUUGGGAAGUAGCUACCAGAGUGGUUAGGUAUUUGAAGAGUAUAAUUGGUCAAGGCAUCUAGCUACAGGCUACACCUACAUCUAUCUUGACUUGUUGGUGUGACUCUAACUGGGGCUGCUUGUCUAACAUCAGGAGGUCUAUCACAGGCUAUGUGAUUAAGUUUGGAGAAUUUCUAUUUUUUUUUAAAUCCAAGAAACAACACACAGUCUCUAGAAGUUCAGUUGAAGCUGAAUAUAGAAGCAUGGCUUCUGCUGCAGCAGAAAUCACUUGGCUUCUUGGUUUGUUCAUUGAGUUAGGAGUACCAAAUCAACUACCUAUUUCUCUCAUGAGUGAUAGUAAAUCACCCAUUCAGCUGGCAGCCAACCUUGUUUUUCAAGAGGGAAAUAAACAUAUAGAGAUAGAUUACCAUUUUAUAAGGCACAAAAUUAAGGUUGGAAUGCUUGAAGCUAAGUAUGUGCACACUUAACUCCAGGUUGCUGAUCUACUGACCAAAGGAUUGAGUCAAGCUCAAUAUUUGCAUCUGUUAGGAAAACUUGGUGUGCUUAAUAUCCUUUACCCUGCAACUUAAGGGGGCGUGUUGUUGAGGACUAUAUUUCAUUAUGUCAUUUUACUUCUCCAUUCAUUCAUUUUUUUUAUUAAUCCACUGCAACACUACUAAGCUGACUAGCCAGAUAAGUUUGUUUCUCAGUUAGUUAGAUGAGAUGGUUGAUUGAUAGUUAGUCUUUUAUUAGUGAAGUUUGAGUGUAUAGUGAGAUGGCACACAAAAAUUUUCUUGAACAAGUUAGUUAUUCCUACAAUUCAGUCUAUAAAAUGCCGAAUAUGCUCCUCAUUGUAAAGUCUGGAAGCAGUUAUAAAAUUCUCUCUUUUUCUUCCUCUUCUUUCUUCUAAGCUCCAUUAAUGGAGUCCUAGCUGAUUGAGAUAGUUUUCAUUAAAAACACAAUUUACAUAAUACAUUUAUAAAAUUAGUUUUUUCUUUAAUAUCUUGCCAAUACUCUAUUUAUUAGUAACUUAUUGAAUUCCAUAUUCAUUGAUUUUUAAAUCCCAUGAACCAUCGAGUUUUUGAAUGCAUGUUGCACCCGAAGCUAUUAGGCUAAGGGCAUGUCUGCCUGGGCUUCACACAUUGCGUAAAACAAAAAGAAGAUAAAUUGCAAAGACAAAUUCAACAUACUAGAAUAACAACAUACCCAGUAUAUUCCAAUAACAUGGGGUCUGAAAAAGGUAAAGUGUAUGCAGUCCGAAUCACUACCUCAGAGGUGAGAUAAAGAGGUUGUUUUUGAAAGACUACCUAUUCAAGACAAAAAUAUUUUAGAGAAAUACCGAAUAAAGGAACAAAAAAUAGUAGGUAGAAACAAACAACAUUUAACUGAUACGAAUAAAAUAUAACUUAUACUAAGGUGUUCUGAUAUGUGUCUGAUUUGUGCUUAUUAUUAACAAGAAGAAUUAAUCUUCAAAAACACACAUGAACUAUCGAUGUUUUGCAAGUUCCACAUCGCGUAACAAUCAGUUGUCCCCUUUUCCUAUCCGAGCUAUCACCAUCAGGCAGGAAAAGGGAACAACUUGUAGUUGAGGUGUGUUUUUGUUGAAAAUAUGUCUGAGAAAUAAAGUAGGAAUAAAUAUUUUUUAGUAGUUUUUAAUUAUUAGAGUCCUAUGUGACUUAGGAAUUAGUUUUCACUUUAUUAUUUGAAUAGGAAUUAGUUAUCCCAAUUUAAAUUAGAGUGUAGUUAGAAAUUUAUCUAUAAAUAUAUGUUUUGAGUUAUUAACAAAAUAAUUUCCUUUGACAAUACUAUUGCCGUAUUUUAUUUUUCUCCAACUCUUUCUCUGUUAUUUCUCCUAUUUCAAGGAUAAAAACAAUAAUUGGUAUCAGAGCCAAUUUUUUGAGGGAUCUGUGAGAAUUACCAACUUUGGGUAGUAAGAAUGGAGACUUAUCUUGAGGUUUUAGAUCUUUGGGAAGCCAUGGAGGAAGAUUAUGAUGUUGUUCCGCUGCCCGAUAAUUCCAUGGUGGCCCAGAUCAAAAGCCAAAAGGAAAAGAAAAUCAGAAAAUCAAAAGCAAAAACAACUUUGUUUGCUAGUGUUUCUCCAACAAUUUUCAAGAGAAUUAUGGCCUUUACAUCAGUAAAAGAAAUUUGGGAUUAUCUGAAGGAAGAAUAUACAGGAGAUGAAAGAAUACGAGGCAUGAAGGUCUUGAAUCUAAUAAUGGAAUUAGAAUUGCAAAUGAUGAAGGAAUCUGAGAGCAUCAAAGAGUACUCAGACCGUCUUCUUGGCAUUGUUAACAAGGUAAGAUUGCUUGGCACAAAAUUUAAAGAUUCAAGAAUUGUUGAAAAAAUUCUUGUUACAGUGCUUGAAAGAUACGAAGUAUCAAUAACUACCUUGGAAAACACAAAAGACCUGUCCAAGAUUACCUUGGCAGAAUUGUUAAUACGUUGCAGGCAUAAGAGCAAAGGAGGCUUAUGAGGCAGGAUGGUAUGGUUGAAGGAGCUUUGGAAACCAACCACAAGACUCAAAGCAAGGGUAAUACUUCAAGAAAAAAUUACUCACCUUGCCAGUACUGUGGUAAAAUAGGUCAUCUUCUGUUUAAAUGUUGGAAGAGACCACAUGCACAAUGCAAGAUUUGCAAUCAACUUGGCCAUGAAACUGUGAUUUACAAAAACAAAUCUAAAAAAUAUGAAGCAUAAUCCCAAGUCACUAGAGAAAAAGAAGAAGACCACUUAUUUGUAGCAGCAUAUUGUUCAACCAAGAAAUCUGAUUUUUGGAUGAUUGACAGUAGUUGUACAAACCACAUGACAUAUGACAAAACUCUUUUUAAAGAGUUUUUGCCUUUGAAAAAAUAGAAAAUCAGAAUUCGUCUUCUCAGCUGCCACAUGUUAGAAAUCGGACAUAAUAAGCAAACCACAAGCAAAAGUAAAAACAAGAACACACAGAUUUAAAUGAAAAUCCUUGCAGAAAAACCACGGGCAGAGGCAGAAGAAUUCACUAUAAUGGAGAGAGAGUACAAUGGUAGAGACGAUAGUCUCAAUUUCAUGUGUAUAAGAAUGAUCCAAAACAACCCACUAAAUCACACUUAUAUAAUACAUCGGUCCGAUCCCUAUGCUACCACCACGGACCCCAUUGAAAAUCACAAAACCGCAAAACUUUCAGGGCCAGAUCAACAAAAUUUGGGUCACAAGUCUAACACCACCAUUAUGUCUUGACCAUAUUCUUCAACUUUUUCCUACAAUGAUAUAUAAAAAGAAAGAAGAAAAAUCAACUUAGAUAGCCACACAUCGAACCUCUUAUACUAAAUAUAGCUUGCGGAUGUAUAAUAUGUGCAUAAUCGAUAUUUAACAUGUGUAUAACCAUGUAUAAUUUGUGUAUAUAGGCAAGGAACGAUAAACGGUGAAUCCAGCCAACUAUUUAUGUAAAGAUCCCUAAAAAGAAUGAAAACAGAUAUACACCGAUUCUACUUCUAGUGACAUACAUAGUUCAGCUAAUUUCAAUUAACAAGUGAAAGCUAUUAAUUCUGCAAUAAUGUACUGCAAUAUGAACAUAUUGCUAACAAAUUAUUUAUAAACAAAGUAGUAUUAGAAUGACUGGCCCGAAUGACAUAGAAUGGUUACAGAUUUGUCUAACUGAUCUCAACUUAAUUGUCUUAUAUCGAGGUGGUUAAUUGAUAGACUAAUACUUACCGAAGCUGAAAUCUUAUUGAAGGCUAUAAUAUCUGCCAAGGAUCGGACUCGAGUGUAGACUAACUUUUUAAGAUAUGCAUUUAGGUUCAUCUUGAAUUCAGCAGAAAGUGCUAUGCCUUGAGCAACAACAAGAGCAUCUCGGACCAAGUCGAUGUUAGGUAUUUCCAGGUUGUAAACUAAUACUGCUCCUUUUUGCCUUCAAAUAUUUCCAAGAAAAAAAUAUCCAUAUCUUGUAGUAUUAACAUAAUAAAAUCAAAAUCAAACAUGAUAGGUUCUGUGUUAGGAUUGAGAAUUCUGAAUAAUACAGAAUCAAUCAAAGUAAUCAAUUAAAGACAAUAACAUAGACGAUAAUAACGAUAAGUUGAGAAAAUAAACGAGGCACAAAUUUAAUGUGGUUCGGUCAACUUGACCUACGUCCACAACCAAAAGGAGGAGCAACUUUACUAAACACCAACGGAACAAAAGAGAGUGCAAAAGUACAAAAGAGAGUACAAAAUUAGAGUAAUUAAAUACUCUAAUAUCCCAAAUACCCAAAAGAAUAACCUUACAAAUAUCACUCCAAAAAAGAAAGAGGCUCUCUCAAAGUAUUUUCCAACACAACUCUCUCACAAAUACUCUCUACAAAGAAAAAAACAAACACAACUAAAUACUUCUCAAAUGUUGGUGUUCUUCUCUAUUGAUGUGUUCACCAAAAUGAAAGAACUUUCCUCUAUUUAUAGAGAUGAAAAUAGGCUUGCUAAUGUCAUCCAUGAUGUUAAUGGAUGAUGUAAAUUUCAACAUUUGCAUGUGAAUGGGAGAAAUUUACAACAAAAUCUUUGGUAGCAACUUUGUUUGACAAAUCCAAAAAUAAUCUUUCAAAAAAAGUCAUUGGUAGCAACUUUGUUUGACUAAUCCAAAAAUAAUCUUCCAAUAAUCUUUGGUAGCAACUUUCUUUGACAAAGCAAGUGUGAAUCAAAGAAUAAACAAAGGCCACAUUACAAAUCUCCACCUUGGCCUGAGUUUGGUUAAUAUAGUAAAUUUGCUUCACCUUCUUCACAAAGCCUCAAAGGGCUUUCAAAAUUCCAUGAUGUCAGAAUCAGAUGAGUCUCCAUCUGAAAUUGAAAUGGUAGCAACACCUGUAAUAGUAGAUCCCGACAGUGCAUACAACGUCCCAGACUUGCAUGCCUUCAUAACCACAAGACCACCUCGAGAGACUUCAAGAACUCCACCUUCACAUGUGUAUUUGCAUCCAUGAGAUUCUAGAGUGCCCAAAGAGAUGAGAUUUUUCUUCAACUUAGGAACACAUCUAACAUUUCUGAGAGUUCUUACAAUACCAUCAUGCAUUUUAAUUCGGACACAUUUUUCAAUAAUUUGGCAAGCAACACUGUUUCCUACCAAGAUAACUCCACUUUUAACAGGAUCAUAUAUAGAAAACAAGUCUUUGUUAGGACACAUAUGAAAUGAACAAGCUGAAUCUAAAAUCUACUCAUUGUUAGAACAAGAAAUAUUUUCGGUUACUAAAAAUAUUUCUCCUUCAAUCUCAUCAGGAGCAACACUUGCUUCAGCGGUGUCAGAAUCCUUGUGCUCAUUUUUCUUUAAUUUUCCCUUGUUUUGCAACUUAGGACAAUCAAACCUGAUGUGACCUUUUUUAUGACAAUAAUAACACAUUGAAUUGCUAAAAUUUGGACUUUGCAUUAGAUCUACUCCUGACAAAUAAAUCGGAUGCUUGCUUUUCACUACCUUUCCCGAUAAUAUCUCUAUCUAUCUGAUCUUUAGAUUUCAACAUAGAUUUGAUUUUUCUAUAAGAGAUAGUUUCUUUUUCAUAAAGUAUAGCAUCUCUAAAAUACUUAAAGGAAUGGGGUAGGGAACAUAUUAGUAGAACAACUUGAGCUUAUUCCUCAAUCUUGACAUCUAUAUUACUUAAAUGCAUAAGAAUGGAAUCAAAGACAUCAAGAUGUGAGAGUAUGGAAGUAUUUUCAUCCAUACAAAAUGUAUAAAGUUUUUUCUUCAAGUAAGUCUAUUCUCUACCGUUCUUUUCAUAUACAGACUUUUCAACUUUUCCCAUAUACCUUUGGUAGUGGUUUUUGAAGCUACUUCAUGUAAUACAUCAUCAGAGAGAUUUAGUAUAAAACUAGAUCUCGCCUUUUUAUCAAGGCUAUCAAACUCCUCGUCUGUCAUUUUUUCUGAAAUUUUCUCCUUUUCUUGCAGUGUGAUAUCUGAACAAUCCUAAACUAGGAUAACUUUCAUUUUCAACUGCCACAUACCAAAGUUUAAACUUCGGUCAAAUUUCUCAACAUAAAUCUUUGUAAUUGUCAUGGUGACUACUAGGACAAAAUCGAGAUUAACCUCAUUCUGAUACCAAUUUGUUAGGAUCGAGAAUCCUAAAUAGUGCAGAAUCAAUCAAAGUAAUCAAUUAAAGACAAUAACAAAGAUGAUAAUAAUGAUAAGUUGAGAAAAUAAAGGAGGCACAAAUCUAACGUGGUUCAAUCAACUUGACCUACGUCCACAACCAAAAGGUGGAGCAACUUUACUAAACACCAACGGAACAAAAGAGAGUGCGAAAGUACAAAAGAGAGUGUGAAAGUACAAAAGAGAGUACAAAAUUAGAGUAAUUAAAUACUCUAAUAUCCCAAAUACCCAAGAGAAUAAACUCACAAAUAUCACUCAAAAAAAGAGGUUCUCUCAAAGUAUUUUGCAUCACAACUCUCUCACAAAAAUACUCUCCACAAAUAAGAAAACAAACACAACUAAAUUGUUCUCAAAUGUUGGUGUUCUUCUCAAGUGGUGUGUUCAUCAAAAUGAAAAAACUCUCCCCUAUUUAUAGAGAUGAAAAUGGGCUUGUUGAUGUCAUCCACGAUGUUAAUGGAAGAUGUAAAUUUCAACAUUUGCAUGUGAAUGGGAGAAAUUUACAACAAAAUCUUUGGUAGCAACUUUGUUUGACAACUCUAAAAAUAAUCUUUCAAAAAAGUCAUUGUUAGCAACUUUGUUUGACUAAUCCAAAAAUAAUCUUCCAAUAAUAUUUGAUAGCAACUUUAUUUGAAAAAGCAAGUGUGAAUCAAAGAAUAAACAAAGGCCACAUUACAUACUGUUUGAGCCAAUUGCUGCGUCAAUGAGAUUGCAACAACACACAAAAGGUUAUGAAUAACUCUGACAAUGUGUCUGUAUAAGGCAUAAUACAUAGGUGGCAUGCACUCAAACUUGGCCUCAACUAACAAAUAAAUACUCAAAACUUUGAGAGUGCCUAGGUCUUAACUGGAAACUAAAAUUCUAACUUGUCCACACUGUGUUUUGUGGACACUAGACACUAACGUGACACAUUUGGAGGUGUUUAUCAUUUUGUAAGUUAAGAGUGUUCAACUGACACAAUAGAGAGACGAGUUGAGGUCAAGUAAGUGUUGAUAUAUGUAUUAUGCUUUCAUACAAGGUCUAGAGAGAGGACCUAUCUGCAACUAGUGAAAUCAUUAUGGCCCUCCCAUUACGCCUAUCAAGUUGAGCCUACAUGCACUGCUAUACUGGACCACCAAGCACAUAAAGUGCACGACCUAAUAAUUGCUAGAAAUGUAAGUACAAAUGAAAAGGAUUACCUACAAAUGAAAAGGAUUACCUUAAGGUGUUAAAAUGUUGUCGAUAAGUCUUGAUUUCGUUGGAAACAAAAAGGUCCUUUAAAAUACCUAGUCUUUUAACUUUAAGCCCAUCAGCCUUAAGAAAUUGCCGGUAUCCACCAUGAGGAAUGUAAGUGGAAGCCCUUUUAGUUGCUAGAAAAUCAUCUCGAUAAAAGCCAACAAUGGCAGCAAGAACCUUAACAGUAUCAGAUACUGUCCUGCAGAUUGGCCUGUUCUACAACAAAAAAGCAUUGUAUGAAAACAUUUUCGACGUCGUCUAUGUUCAUGUUUGUUACCAAGUACUUUGCAUUUUUGCUUCUCUAAUAAAGCUUACAUCGUUUAAAUUCUGGAUCUAAUACUAAAACCAAGUAUUCCUAUUUUGCAGGUGUUCAAAACUCUGGCAUUAAAUAGUUCAACAAAGAGGAAAAAGGAUACUCCAUCCAUCCAAAAAGAAUUACACAUUUCCAUAUCUAAAAUUUUACUCUAAAUUUCUCGUUUAACCUUUAAAAAGAUGUUUCUAUAGCCACAUUAAUGCUAUAAAAAAUACAAGUUUCAACUUUCAAAAGCCAACACAAAAAAUGAGUCUUCUAGCAAAGGUAACGUAUUCUUUUAAGAGGAAGAAACUUAUAACAUUGUAGCCGCUAAUGGUUAUUUUUGCCGAAUGGUCUUCCUAUGUGCUAGUUUCAAAGACUCUCUUUUGUUACACGUCUUCCUUGCUGCUUGACAUAUAGUAGGUAUCUGGUUUACUGCUUUAGGUAUCAACUCUAUGGCUUUCAAUCUAAAUAGUUUCAAUUUCAACCAAUCAACAGUUGAUAGUCAAGGCUUUUCCUUUCUUUCUUAAAGUACGUGCCGAGUCAAACUAUGUCACAGAGAUUAUUGAUUUUUACUUACGCAACAGUGUCUUACCUAUGUGAAAUUGGGAUUACACCUGCCUUGCUAGUGAGGCCAACUGUUGAUUUGAUUCCAAUAACUGAAUUAGCAUUGGCUGGACAUAGAAUGGAGCCUGCUAUUUCUGUCCCUAAUGCUACUGCUGCAAGGUUUGCCGCUACUGAUAUUGCAGAACCAGUGCUUGAUCCUGAUGGAUUAGCACUUGCUACAUAAGGAUUCUGUAAUAACAUGAGUAAAAACAGUAAAUUAUUACACGUUUUAGUCAAAUUGUUCUUAAAAAAAGGAAAGAACUUAACUAACACCAACUAUGCCUCAAAUCCCAAAUAAGUUGCGGUCGGCUAUAUGAGUCAUGAUCACUUCUCCAACUAAGCAAGAACUUAGCCAACAAUUAAGAGGGGAAACCACUAGCCUACAUAUUUUUAGGAGAGAAAGUAGAGAAAGUUAGAUUAUGUGAGGCGGAUUAGUUUAUGACCCGUUAUUUUGCUCAUCAUGACCUGUUUGAGUGGCUCCAAUUUGACCCAACCUGCACAUUUACCACCCAUGACGAAUCAAAACUAUAUCUAUUAGUAAUAACAUAUGACUCACCAGAGCUUGUCCAAGUCUUCCAUUCCAACCAUGAGGCAUCUUUGAAGAUCUAGAACCAGCCCACUCAGUCAUAGUUGCCUUGCCAAGUAUGAUACACCAGCAUUCCUCAACUUCUUGACCAUACCAGCAUCUUGAGGCACAAUAGAUCCAACAAUUGCUAAUGAUCCUGCUGUUGUGUUAAGUUUAUCUUUUGUUGCAAUCUUGUCCUUGACAAGAAAUGGAUUAUCUUUCUGGAUUUCACUUAGAUACAACUCAACAAGUUGUCUUGAGGUAAGUUUGUUUUACUUGAAAGCUAUGUGAAUGUCAUCUAUAGUUGAUUCCUUAAAUGAGAAUGUUUUUGCCUCAGUAAUGUUACUGUAGUUGGAUAAUAACAUGCACAGAGAAAUGAAGGGAGUGGAAAGAACAAACAUUUUUGUUUGUCAAAGUGAUUGAAGAUAUUUACUUCAAAAUUAGUCACAUAAAAGUAGAUAGUGUGGGGUCCUUCCCUAUAAAUACAUAGAAAAAUUGAUGGCAUUUUGGGUGUGUUCCCAAAGGCUCACACUAGGCCGCUUCCCAGCCUACCCGGGGCAGCUGAUACAAGAGAGACCAAGAAAGACACAAAAACCACACACCAAAACAGUUCGCUAGUCAAGAAACCGUGGACCUCUUUGAUGACCACACUCGGAUUCAAGAACAACGACAAGAACACAAGAAAAUAAGGUGUUUAACACCUAUUGGCAACCAACAAUCCCAAACUAUAUUAGCAAUAAUAAGAUGAAGAACAACAACAUUAUAACAACAAGAAUAAUACGGGUUACAAUACAAGACACUACCAAUAGUUACAAAAAAAUAAAGAUAGAAAGAUAGACAAAUGGAUGGUAUAAUCCUAAGAACCCAAGAGCUUAUUCCACUCUUGAACCCUUAACACUACACAAAACUAUCAUCUAUCUCUUCCAAUUGACACAAGAGAGGUGUACACCACCCAAGCACCAACGUAUCAAGAAAAAUGCAACACACAAAUGAUUCCACACUUUUGCAAUGCCCUAGUUUCGGUUGGACUCUCUCUCACUCUAAGAGAAGUGUUCUUUCAAUAAUAAUAAUCAACUAAAGAACUAGAAACCCUAUAAUGUUCUAUUUAUAUUACAUUACAAAAUAAGAGACAAAAGACUAAAGAGCCCUUUCAUUAAUGGGCUCCAAAUCGCCCAUUGAGUGCGCUUUAGGGGCGGUUUUGGGCCUUCUUCACACUUGGGCUUGUGCACCAUUUUAGGUGAUCUUCAAAAUACUCAAAUAGUGUCCAAGUUCAUGAUCGUACUCGUAUCAUCCUCUCCAUCUUGAGAAGAAUUUUCCCACAAAUUCACGACCUCGCCUUUUUUAUAAUGGCACUUCAUAAUCUCCUUCACACGGCCACACAUUUUCUAGAUCUUCCUCGCUUCGCAUUUUAAACUUUUAUUGCUCUCCAUCUUGAGGCUUGCCAUCAACCUUAUCCGUUUUAAUUACUACUUCUUCCCUAAGAUAGUAUAAUUUUCCCUCCCUUAGGAUCACGUUCCGCCGGUUUGGGCACUCACUAGCCUUGUGCCACCACCCUUGUCAUUUGAAGCAUUAAAAUCCCUUGAAAUUAGAAGUGGAAAUUGGUUUACCUUCAUACCUAGUGUAUUGUUUUGAGGCAGCCUUGGUGCUCUCGGUUUGGACAACCAUGAAUGAGCUCUCUUUGAGCUCCCUUUCAACCUCCAAUGCUUUUUGAAAUAUGCCAUCAAUGGUGUUGAACUUAUGAAGUGUCAUGCGAGUGUAGAUGUCCUUGUUCAACCCUAAUUUGAAGCGCACGAUGUCAUGACUCACUUGUUCUCCCCGAUGAUCUAGUUUCAACAUUAAUUGUUAAAAUUCAUCAUAGUAAGCCAUGACACUCUUGCUCCCUUGCCUCAAAUUGUACAAUUUGUCAAGGAGCUCAUGUCUAUAAGUCUCGGGCAAGUAUCUUUGCUACAUAAGGUUCUUCAACUGAAACCAAGGAGGAGGUUUUCCCCCAAUCAUCUCAUUCCUAAACCGUUUAACAUACUCCCACCAUGUAUUAGCAUAUCCUUCGAAGUGAGCUAUAGCAUAACAACUUUUCUUUUCUUUGGUGAGAUCAUUAAGUUGGAAGAUCUUGUCAUAAGACAACUCCCAUGCAAGGUAGGAUUCAGGAUCACUCUCACCUUUGAAAAUGAGAAGGCUCACUUUAAUGGAAUUGAGACCUACAUCUCAGUUUAGAUGGCCAUCUCUCACCUCUCGGCCUAACUCCCCAAGUCUACCUCUUAUUCUUUCUUCCUUAAGUAAACAUCAUCAUACGGCCUUAACCAUUAUGUUGUCCUCCCCUAUCAUAGCCCUCAACAUGGAUGGGUUUAUUUGGGUUAAUGGAGCUUGUAGUGGUGGGAUUGUAUUUAGAUAGUGAGGUCUUUGGUUAAGUGGAGUUUGGAUGAGAGGGUUCGGGUUUAGUGGUGGUAUUUGGGUUCCAAGCCCUUCUUGUUGGACUUGGUAAAGUGGAGGAUGGUUUGGUCUAUCUUAUUCUCGGCUUCAGGAGUUAAGAUUGGUUGGAUUUGUGGAAAUUGGUGGAUAUAACAUUUGGUGCAAGGUCUCGGGAGUAUUAGUUGGGAAAUUAUUUUGAGGGGUAGAAGGUCGACUCAUUUGGCUUUCCACAUAUUCUAAUCUCCCACUCUUUGAUUCGAAAUCCAUAUCUAAUUUUUCAGGACCCAUAUUCAACCUAGCCACAUCCUGGAACAUAGUUUCCAGGCAAGGUAAAAUGAGAUUGAUGGCAUUAUUGUCCACUAUUUUAGCAUUUAAAGCCUCGGGUUCCAUUGUGGUUGUACCAAAAAUAACCCUUCAAGUUAUGAUCCAACAAGACACCCAAUCAGUUCCCAACAUCACACACAACAAUACAAUACAAAUCCUACAAAACAAAACACACGUUAGUUCAAAACAACCUCCCACAAUGAGAUCCCACCUUCAAGUUUCUUCAAACUCAAGUUCAACAAUGGUGGAUGACUCAAAUCUCAAAUUCAAACCCUAUACUCCUAUAGUGUUAGAGAACACAAAUCUAAAACUAAAAAUACAAUAAAAACAUAAAAUCAAAAACUCAAAAUUUGACCUAGGGUCAAAAAUGGGUUUAGUAUUUUUUUUAAGGAGAUUUUCGAUUUUAACACUUUUUUUGGUUGGGAUUUUCAAUUUCUAGACUCUAAUAGUGUUAGGGAAUAAGGAUAUAGAACUACAAACACACAAAACACACAAAAAUCAAGUUUUUUGAAAGACCCUAAAAACAUGAACAAUAACUUUUUUCUUUUUUAUUCUUUUUCACUUUUUUUUUUACUUUCAAGAUAACAAUCCCAAAAUUGAUUUUGUUGGAACAAAAUUAAACCUUGAUUUGAUACCAAAUGAUACAAGAGAUACCAAUAAAGAUACAAAAACCACACACCAAAAUAGUCCACUAGUCAAGAAACCAUGGACCUCUUUGAUGACCACACUCGGAUUCAAGAACAACAACAAGAACACAAGAGAAUAAGGUGUUUAACACCUAUUGGCAGCCAACAAUCCCAAACUAUAUUAACAAUAAUAGGAUGAAGAACAACAACAUUAUAGCAACAAGAACAAUAACGGUUACAAUACAAGACACUACCAACAGUUACACAAAAUAAAGAUAGAAAGAUAGACAAAUGGAUGGUACAAUCCUAAGAACCCAAGAGCUUAUUCCACUCUUGAACCCUUAACACUACACACAACUAUCAUCUAUCUCUUACAAUUGACACAAGAGAGGCAUCCACCACCCAAGAACCAACGUAUCAAGCAAAAUACAACACACAAAUGAUUCCACACUUGUGCAAUGCCCUAGUUUCAGUUGGACUCUCUCUCACUCUAAGAGAAGUGUUCUUUCAAUAAUAAUAAUAAUCAACUAAAGAACUAGAAAUCCUAUAAUAUUCUAUUUAUAUUACAUUAUAAAAUAAGAGAUAAAAGACUAAAGGGUCCUUUCAUUAAUGGGCUCCAAACCACCGAUUGAGUGCACUUUAGGGGCGGGUUUGAUCCUUCUUCACACUUGGGCUUGUGUACCCUUUUAGAUGAUCUUCAAAAUACUCAAAAAGUGUCCAAGGUCAUGAUCGUACUCGUAUCAGCAGCCCAGUUAAUUUUUGGCCAAUAUCACGUCCGGUCCCCGAGCCCACCCCAAAAGCAGUGGGUUAUAGAUAGACAAUAUCAGUCAGCCACAGACCCCCAGUUACUGAUCUAAUCCUCCACGAAAAGUAAGAAAAUCUGCAUAAGAAAAUAUUUUCCUAGUUUUUACUUGUUUUCUUAUGUUUGGUUGGUGGAUGGAAAAUAUUUUCUAUUGUUUGGUUGGUGAAUGAAAUAUUUUUCAGAAAAUACAUUUUAGUGUUUUGGAAAAGAGUAAAAAUAUAUUUUAGAAAAAUAAUUUUUGACCCUAAAAUUACUUUUUUUAGGGUGUGUUCAAUAUGAAGGAGGAAAAAUAUUUUCUAGAAAAAUAAGUUAUUUUUUACGUAUAUUCUUGUGUUCGUUAUGCAAAUUGGGUAAGUAUAUAUUUUCUAAAAGUAUUUGUAUAUAUUUAAAAAAAAUAAUGAGAAUGAAUAAGAUAAGAAGGGUGGGAUAAAAAAAAGUUUUGGAUUUUUUUUUUAAAAAAACAAAUUUAAAAAGUUUUUUUUUUUGGGGAAGAGGAUUGGUAGGUAGGGGUUGAGAUUGUCAAAAUAGACAGUAAGGGUGGGAUAAGAAAGAAAUUUUAAUUUUCUUUUAAAUAAAUAAUUUUUUUAGGGAGGGAGGNNNNNNNNNNNNNNNNNNNNNNNNNNNNNNNNNNNNNNNNNNNNNNNNNNNNNNNNNNNNNNNNNNNNNNNNNNNNNNNNNNNNNNNNNNNNNNNNNNNNNNNNNNNNNNNNNNNNNNNNNNNNNNNNNNNNNNNNNNNNNNNNNNNNNNNNNNNNNNNNNNNNNNNNNNNNNNNNNNNNNNNNNNNNNNNNNNNNNNNNNNNNNNNNNNNNNNNNNNNNNNNNNNNNNNNNNNNNNNNNNNNNNNNNNNNNNNNNNNNNNNNNNNNNNNNNNNNNNNNNNNNNNNNNNNAGUUAAGAAAAAAAUUGAAUUUUUUUUAAUAGGGGUGGUAGGGGGUGGGCUGGGGGUAGGGGAUUUGGGGCCGGAGUAGGGGUGGAUGAUUUUGAGGAUUGUAUGAAUAUUUUAACUUAAGAGUGGGGUUGAAAGAGAGUUUUAGAAAAUAUUUUCCUUACUUUUUGAAGGGAAGUCAUUUUUCUUAGAUUUGAGAAAAAUAAGUUGAUUUGGAAAAUAUUUUCCAAAACCUUUAAGCCAACCAAUUAUGAGAAAAUUGAAAAACGUCUUCCAGAAAAUGUUUUCCUUCAUACCAAACAUGCCUUUCAUUAUAUAGGAAAGCGAAAAUAGUCUAUUACCCCCACUUGUAGUCGAAAUCUCCAUUACACACUCAACCUUCACGGGAGUCCCAUUACCGCCCCCCUCCCCCAAAUAUUUUUUUAAUUAUAUUUAGUAACCCCCAAUUGCUAACCUAUCAUGGGAAGUGAGAACACCCCAGUAGGCACGUCAAUUGAAGCAUUAACACUUCAAAAUCAUUAUUUUAAGUGCCGUAUUUAUAAUAUAAGUUAUUAAUUUUAAUUAUUAAAUAAUAUUGUUUUCUCUAACUAAUAAAAGCCCCAACAGUAAUCCUUCAUCUCCAAACGCCAUCUUCCUCAUGAAAACUUUCAUCUCCUCCAUUUUUUUUUGAUUUCUCUCAAAAGAACUUAGAGUUUAGUUGUUAUCCCAAUUUCUUGUUCAACUCUUGAAUUUGUGAUUUGUAAUCUUAUCCAACUUUAAUUUAGGGUUCGUAAUUUGUUGAUUGAUUUUGUCGGAAUUCUUCAAAUGACAAAUGCGGAAUUGGAUAAGCUUUGUAUGGAUGAAUCAGACCCAAUGCUCAAUGUUGUAGUGAGAUGCAAACAUGAAAUUUUGCUGACCUUGCAAACUUCAUGGUCGAAAUCAAAUCCGGGAAGAAGAUUUUGGUCUUGCCCCUACUAUGGUGUAUGUAUUUAUUUUCAUUGCAUUUUGCUUCACUUUAGAUUCAAUUGAUGCCAAUGUACUGAUUUUUUAUUUUUUUAUAGGAUCAAAAUUAUAAUUUUUUUCUAUGGAGGGAUAAAGAAAAAGUAGAUCCAAGAUCAAGUUUUAUCCUCCCAAGAUUAGUGAACAAAAUCAAAGAGUUGGAACAAGAAGUGUGGCUUAAACAGGUCCAAAUUGACAAGUUGACUUUAAAGAGGAGGCUCAAUGAAAGAGAAAAAUGGUGUAAGUUCAAUAAGAAAAUACUUUUUGUAUUUUGAUUUGUGUUGCUGCCAUGUUCAUCGGCAAUAAAUCUGUUGAAAGUAGUUAAUUGAUUGUUUAUGGUGUAAAUUUUGUAUGUGUAUAUCGGAUUAUGGUGUGUUAUAGUGUUUUAGUUAAUUGUUCAAUUGUGUCUUGUGUAAUUCAAUUGUGUCUUCGUUAAAUCGUUUACUCUGACAUCUUGUUAUUACAAUAUUGUGUCAACACAACUAUAUAACCAACAUCCCCCACCAUUUUUUAAAUACAACUGUUGUGACAACAAACUUUACAACACCACAACACCAUCAUUUGAACAUAACAAAAUGUGAUAAUUCAUUACAACUUCAAUACCUAACAUAAGGAAAAAUUUCAUCAAUAAACUGUUUUCACUAACUAAAAAAACACAACAUUCAUAAUGCCUAACAUAAGGCAACAUUCAUCAACCUAAGUCACAGUCAUAAUGCCUAAUAUAAGGGAACAUUCAAUAGUAGGCAAAAUAAAAAAUAGCAACCCGUAAGUAGUUCACCAUCACCAUUCUCAAAUACAAAAUAAUGUCAACUGGACUAACUUAAAAUAGUGCUUACAAUAAUCAACAUCAUUACAAUUUUCAUGGCAUCUUUGACUUUGCAGAGGUGCUGUUUGGACUUGGAUUAUUUGAAUUGCUUCCCACUGUCUGCUUUCUUUUCUCCUUCUUAAGCUCUUGUAGUUUUUUUUUGUUGAUAUUUCUUCUUUGCUAUUUCAUUUUAGCUUACUGGUAGUACUUGGUGUAUAACUAAUGUUACCAGUUACAUCAGUUGGUCUUGUCACCUUUGCUUGACCAGUAGAGUAGAUCUUACUGCUAGGCAUGUCAGACUGCAAUGAAGGAUAAAAAUAUUUAUUUCUCAUAUAUUAAAGACUCAUAAUUUAUAAGAUUAAUAAUUUACAUAAGAUAUAAAAAAGUAAGAGACUUACAUUUAAGACUUUGAAGUCAUUUUCAGCUUGAAACACACCCAUUCUCAUUACUCUUGACCUUUUCAAUGGAGUUGUGUUUUCUCUAUCACUACUCAUUACUCUUUUAGUAGUACCAACUAUUUAAGAUGAUGCACAAUAAUCAUAAGGUGCAAAACAGGAUGCUGGAAAAAUAAUAGGUGCAGAAGGUGCUUUAGGUAGAGGAGGUGUAGUAGGUGCUACUGAUGUUGUCUUUUUUGGUCUCUUUCUUCCUUUUUUUCUUUGGGAGGUGCACUAAUGAAUUCUGAUGGAGUUUUCUAUACAUAUAAAAAGAAGAGAGUUAUAAAAAUUAUUGAGCUAAUUAGUACUAAAUUCAAGUGUAAUAUUACCUUUGGUCUACCUCUUUUCCUGCCUUAACUAACACCUUUUCCUUGAGGAGGUGCAUUUGGUGUUUUUAGUGGAGUUUUAUACAUAUAAAACAAAUGUUAAAAAUUUUGAAAAGUAAUAAAAUAAUAUACUAAAGUAAGUUUAAAUAUUACCUUUGGUCUGCCUCUCUCCUUGCUUGAACUAGUAGGUGUUGUUGCUAAUGGUGCACUUGGUUCUGCUGAUUGUGCACUUUGAGCGCACCCUCUUUGGUUGUGGCCUCUAUAUUGACAUAAAUUACAUGUCAUUGAUAGUCCAGUUCUAGACAAUUUUCCUGAUUUCUUUAUUUCUCCAGCUUCCUUCCUCCUAGCCUUAGAUAGCCUGCCAGACAAGGUUGUGAUUUUAGGUGGUGCAACAGUAAUGUUUGAUGAAACCGGCCACAUUUCUAUGUUUGUUAAUGGUUCAAGAACAUUGUCAUAAGUCAUAAGUAUGUUUCCUUACUGUAGCAGCUGUUAAUAUAGUCAUACAAAUGGUACUUCUUAAACAACAAUGCAGCAACAACAUGUGCACAUGGUAUUCCCUUUAAUUGCCACUCCCUACAAAUACAAGUCCUCUUAACAAUAUCCACUUUGUGUUGACAAAGCCCUUCUUUCACUUUAAAACCAACCAGUCCAUUAAACUCAAUAGUAUAAUCUAUAGACCUGUUAAUGUUCUCCUCUAAAAUCUUCAAACGCAUUGGAAAGUAAUUACUACACCAAAUACUUGGAAACUCUCUUAGAGUGCCUAUUCUUGUCAUCAUCUUUACUCUGAUUUUUCAAGCAUGGUAAUGAUGGUCUUGUGCUUCGCUGCCAAGAUCCAUGCAUUAAAACACUCACUCAUGUUGUUAUUCUCAAAAUCACACUUGACUUCAGUUUUGAAGUAAAGCUUGUACCAGUAGUUAAUGUUGUAGUACAUUAACUCAUCUAUCAUUUUUUCGAGACCAAGAAACUUCAUCUUCUAUAUGUUAUUCCUCAGUUGAGACUCAAAUAUACUUUUGUCUAUCUUCCAAAACUGUUGUCUUCUUUGAAGACCUCUCCAGUCCUUAGCCCAAUUAGCUAAGAUAUGUCUUGCACAUCUUCUAUGUUCAGAUUGAGGUAACACCUCCUUAAUUGCUACAAACAGUCCCUACGGUACACAUAUAUACCAAAAAAAAGUGAAAUUAGGACAUGAUUAUAUAUACUAAGUUAAACUAAAAAUAAGUUUACAUGUCCCUAAACUUAACCCUAUGAAAUAUAUAUCUUCUAAACAUAUUACAACCCUAUUUUCAUCUCAAAGAUCAUCAUCCAAGAGAACUAAAGAAGAAAAACAACUAGGGUUGCAUAAUUAAGCUUGAAGAUCCGAUUUCAAGGAAAUUCUUCCGUCAAUCAUCAAGAAUCUUCCUUCUAAGGUAUGCGUAGUGUUCAUCCACAGAUUCCUUUCGUUCGUGGAGUUCAAUAAUCAAUAUUUAAAAUACAAAAGCUUGGUUGAUUGUGGUGAUAUGAUCAUACCCAUGUUGAUGCUUGUUUGUUUUCCUCUUUUUCAUUAUAAAGUAUGAUUUCUAUAUUGUUAGGUGUUGAUGAUCAUGUUGUUGAUAUUGGGUGAUUCCCAAGAUGGAAUCUUUAUAUGUUUUUGUGAAUACAUGAUAUCAUAUGAGUUGGAAACAUGUAAAAUUGGAUUGUUCAUGAUUUAUAAUUUGAUGAAUUCACCUAUGCUUAAGAUGUGCAUGUAAGGUGUUUGAUAAAAUGCCUAAGGAACUAGAAAUCAUGCAAUAUAGCUAAAUUAUGACUAAGUGAAGGAUUCAUGAUAUGCCCUUACGUUCCAAUGACUUCUAUGNNNNNNNNNNNNNNNNNNNNNNNNNNNNNNNNNNNNNNNNNNNNNNNNNNNNNNNNNNNNNNNNNNNNNNNNNNNNNNNNNNNNNNNNNNNNNNNNNNNNNNNNNNNNNNNNNNNNNNNNNNNNNNNNNNNNNNNNNNNNNNNNNNNNNNNNNNNNNNNNNNNNNNNNNNNNNNNNNNNNNNNNNNNNNNNNNNNNNNNNNNNNNNNNNNNNNNNNNNNNNNNNNNNNNNNNNNNNNNNNNNNNNNNNNNNNNNNNNNNNNNNNNNNNNNNNNNNNNNNNNNNNNNNNNNNNNNNNNNNNNNNNNNNNNNNNNNNNNNNNNNNNNNNNNNNNNNNNNNNNNNNNNNNNNNNNNNNNNNNNNNNNNNNNNNNNNNNNNNNNNNNNNNNNNNNNNNNNNNNNNNNNNNNNNNNNNNNNNNNNNNNNNNNNNNNNNNNNNNNNNNNNNNNNNNNNNNNNNNNNNNNNNNNNNNNNNNNNNNNNNNNNNNNNNNNNNNNNNNNNNNNNNNNNNNNNNNNNNNNNNNNNNNNNNNNNNNNNNNNNNNNNNNNNNNNNNNNNNNNNNNNNNNNNNNNNNNNNNNNNNNNNNNNNNNNNNNNNNNNNNNNNNNNNNNNNNNNNNNNNNNNNNNNNNNNNNNNNNNNNNNNNNNNNNNNNNNNNNNNNNNNNNNNNNNNNNNNNNNNNNNNNNNNNNNNNNNNNNNNNNNNNNNNNNNNNNNNNNNNNNNNNNNNNNNNNNNNNNNNNNNNNNNNNNNNNNNNNNNNNNNNNNNNNNNNNNNNNNNNNNNNNNNNNNNNNNNNNNNNNNNNNNNNNNNNNNNNNNNNNNNNNNNNNNNNNNNNNNNNNNNNNNNNNNNNNNNNNNNNNNNNNNNNNNNNNNNNNNNNNNNNNNNNNNNNNNNNNNNNNNNNNNNNNNNNNNNNNNNNNNNNNNNNNNNNNNNNNNNNNNNNNNNNNNNNNNNNNNNNNNNNNNNNNNNNNNNNNNNNNNNNNNNNNNNNNNNNNNNNNNNNNNNNNNNNNNNNNNNNNNNNNNNNNNNNNNNNNNNNNNNNNNNNNNNNNNNNNNNNNNNNNNNNNNNNNNNNNNNNNNNNNNNNNNNNNNNNNNNNNNNNNNNNNNNNNNNNNNNNNNNNNNNNNNNNNNNNNNNNNNNNNNNNNNNNNNNNNNNNNNNNNNNNNNNNNNNNNNNNNNNNNNNNNNNNNNNNNNNNNNNNNNNNNNNNNNNNNNNNNNNNNNNNNNNNNNNNNNNNNNNNNNNNNNNAAACCCUUUAUGUUCAGCCUACCUUCCUUGUAUACUCAGUACUCCAGUUGUACUGACGCAUUUGCGCUAUGGUGCUUUCUUUUCAUGUUACACUAUAGGUUCCUAGACACGAGCUCCAGCCCAGCAGUAGCGGUAGCAUUCCAGUCGCAGAGACACAGUGAGUCCUUAUUGAUUCAAGGACAAUAUGUUUUGAUUUGUUUAAUUAUUCUUCAGUUUAGUUUUAUGGAGUUAGUUGGAGACAUGUUCCUUCAACUCCUUAUUCAGACAGUUUAGAGGCUUUUGGAUUUACUUUCAGAUUUACGUUUAGAUUGAGUUGUUUUGGGUAUUUUCACCCACAUGGUUUUAUUCAGUUGAACCUUAUGGCCUUACAGUUCCAUGUAUUCCGCACUAUUAUAUCAUGAUUUGUAGUAUACAGGUACAAAUAUCAGUCAUGGAUUAGCUUGUGGUCCCUCGGAGUCAUGAGCAUCGUGUAGCAUUUCGGUUCAUCAAAUUGGGGUGUUACACAAUACUAGGUGCAGUAGCACUUAGUGCAGCAACACUUGGUGCAGCAGCCCUAGGUGCAACAAUACUUGAUGCAGCAAUACUUGAUGUAGCAACACUAUCUGUAGUAGUGAAAAGAGGUGUGGUAUUGAAAGGAGAUAUGGUUAGAAAAGAAGAAACAAGGUCCUCCAGAUUUAAAUGGUCCUCACCGACCCUAAAUUUAGGCCUAGUAUUGAAAGAUGGACCAGAUUCCUCCAUAUUCCCAUGACUAACAUUUUCUAAUAACAUGGGGUCCAAAAUUGGAUCAUCAACUAAAUGGUUGACAAAUACCUCCACUUCAUCCUCAUCUUCCGAGGAACACAACAUGUCUAAAAUAUCCAUAUCAUCAUCAACAUCUACCAAAAUGCCACUGUUAGGUGGUUUAAUACUAAAGGUACAAUUUGUGCUACAUCCCAAUUUUCUAAUAUAGUUUCUCAACUCAAAAUAUGACACCUUAUCUACAUCAACAUCUAAAAAUUCUGUAAUUUGUCUACCAUUUUAAACCGGUUCCCUGCUACUUAAAUCUAAUAACCCACCAAGGUACCAUCUUAGAAUAAUCAAAGUAAAACCAUUCAUGUCUUACCUGAUAACAAUAAAGAAUCAAAUAAGACAUAGUAGCAUCGUAGAAAUAUUAUCAAAAAGAAAAAAAUUGAUUUCAUGAAAAAUAGUUGUAAUAUGGUACAAAUUGAAUACCUAUACAACAAAAUAUUAACAUGAACAUGCUAUUACACAUAAUUGAUUUCUUAAAUUUUUAGAUUAACAGUAAAUCGUAGAAAAACUCUAAUUUUAAUCACCCGACUUAAACAAUCAACAAAAAUCCUUAUUAGACGUAAUAUGGUGUUAAUUCAACACUUAAACAACAUAAUAGCAAGACACACAACUUAAUUUCUCUCAAUUAAUUUCUUAAUUUUGGGGGUUAGCAGUAAACCCUAAUUAACAUUAAACUAGUUUAGGAAAAAAACACUCACCUUAACAAAAUAGAAACAUGCACAUGCUAUUACACACAAUUGAUUUCUUUAUUUUUCAAAUUAACGAUAAAUCCUAUAAAAGCCCUAAUUUUUAAUCACCCGACUUUAACAAUCAACAAAAAUUCUAACUAGAUGUAAUUACAAACGUAAUAUGCUAUUAAUCAGACAUUUAGACGACAUAAUAGGAAAACGCACAAUUUAAUUUAACUCAAUUAAUUUCUUAAUUUUGGGGUUAGCAAUAAAUCCUAAUUAACUUUAAAUUAGUUUAGGGAAAAAAACUUACCUUACUAAAUUAAAACAACAACAAGAUGAUUUAUCUUUGAAAAUCCACAACCAGAAGAUUAGAUUACCACAAAAAAGGAGGAAAUCAUGAAGUGAGGAGAGAGGAGAGAGGAGAGAGGAGAGAGGAAGAUGAAAAGAUUCUUUCAAAAGGUUUUUUUUUUUUAGAAAAUGGCCUAUUUCAUUUAGGAGGGAACUGAAAAAGUAGAAAUGGGCCCAAGCGUGUGUAAUACACGGAUGUCUUAUUGGUUAGUUUAUAUUAACAGGUCAGCAAUUGAGGGGGUACUAAAUACAGUAAAAAAAUAUUUAGGAGGUAAUGAGACUCUCGUGAAAGUUGAGUGUGUAGUUGAAUUUUUCGACUAAAGGUUGGGGGGGAGGGGUAAUAGACCAUUUUCUCUAUAAGAAAAAACGAUUUCUUCCCUAUGGCUAAUCUUUCAAACUUUUGGCAGAGAGCAAAUCAGUAAAUUAUAUCUGUAGUUGUAAAUGUUGACAUUGCGACUUUUAGUUAUGUAAGCAAUGACUUACGCAUGGUCUUUUUUUCUCUAUAAAUUAAGAACUUCAGCUCAUUUGAAAGACAAAUUAAAAUAAAGAGAAAAAUAACAUAGAGAGAGCACUAAGGUAUUCCACAGACUGUGAUAAAAAAUACUCUGUGACAAAAAAAUUAGAGUGAGUGAUAUUUUAGUAAGGUAGGAGUCAAAAGAGGGUUAUCUCUUUUAUAGUAGUCCUUCGAGUAUUGUACUUGUGACUAUGGAGUAAAAAUUCCUUACUAUAGUAAUAUCAGUUGCUCCUCUUGGACUUUAUUUUCUUUUCUUAUUUAAAAGGAUUUUCACAUAAAAUUUUUGGUCCUAUUAUUUUGCCACAAAUACUUUGUUGUUAUUUUGUGUUUUACCCAACAAACUAGUAUCAUAGCCCACGGUUUGUAAUAUCUGUAUUUUUGGUAAACAAUGAAAGCCAACACAAAAUUUUCAUACCAUUUAUAAGUAAAAAAUAGAAGAUCUUCUCUACAUCAAGAAUUUUCAUCAACCAGUCUUUGACACCACAAAAUUUGAAAAUAAAACCCACGAAGAAUGGAACUUGUUGCAUAGACAAGUUUGCGAAUUUAUUAGACAGAAGGUUGACAAUAAUGUGUUGAACUAUAUUUCUGGGUAGACACAUGCUCGAUCCCUAUGAGAGAAUCUUGAAAGUUUAUAUGCUCGAAAGACUGAAAAUAAUAAGAUGUUCUUGAUAAAACAAAUGUUAGAGUUAAAAUAUUAUGAUGGUUCUCUGAUGACAGAUUACCUGAAUAACUUUCAGGGAAUCAUGAUCUAGUUAAUUUAUUUAGGAAUUAAGUUUGAUGAAGAAAUUCAAGUCUUAGUUCUACUUGGUUCCCUACCAGACUCUUGAAAAACAUUUAGAACUUCAUUGUCAAAUUUUGCUUCUAAUGACAUGAUCUCUAUAGAUUUUGCCAAGAGCAACAUUCUUAAUAAAGAGAUGAGACAAAAGUCUCAAGGUUACUCUUCAUCCGAUGUCUUGGUGACUGGCACUAGGGGAGAAGAAGGAAUCGUAGUUCUCAAAAUAGAGAACAUUAUAGAAUCAAAUCUAGAGGCAAAAUUAAAGAUAUUGAGUGUUAUUAUUGUAGGUUUAAAGAGCUCAUAAAGAAAUUUUGUCGAAAGUUGAAAAUUGCAUAGCCAUCGUCACCAUUGAAGAUCUUGCUACUUUCCUUGAUGCAAAUCUAAUAAACAUUGCUUGUGAUGAGUCAAAUUGGGGUGUGGAUUCUAGUGCCACAUCUCAUGUGACAUCAAGGAAGAAUUUUUUUCUCAUCUUAUACUCCAGGUGACUUUGAAACUUUGAGUGUGGGCAAUGAGACUAUUUUUAAAGUGGUUGGUAUUGGUAAAAUUUAUUAGGAACUAAUACUGGAUCUAAACUAGUUUUAAAUAAUAUAAAGCAUGCACCUGAUGUUUGUCUGCACUUGAUUUCUGUUGGUAUGAUGGAUGAUGAGCUAUUUGAUAGUACCAAUGGUGGUGGAAAAUAAAAACUCAUCAAGGGUUCUUUGAUUAUGGCUCGUGGAGACAAGCAUUGUGGUUUAUAUUGGACUACAUCUUUUACUUGUGCUAAUAUGGUGAAUGUAGUUAAAAGAAAGCGCUAGCUCUUUAACAUUAUGUCAUAAGAGGCUUAGCCACAUUAGUAAGAAAGGACUUAAUGUUAUUGCUAAGAAGAAAUUACUAUAAGAUUUCGAAAGUGCUAAAUUACAAAGUUGUGAGCAGUGCUUGACUGGAAAAAAAAAUAAAUUUUCAUAUCUAUGUGGUCCAGUAAAGACAAGGACUUUGGAUGGUGCACUUUACUUUAUCACUUUUAUUGAUAAUUGCUCAAGAAAACUUUGGGUCUAGUUCUUAAAGACUAAAGACCAAGUGUUGGGUGUCUUUAAGCAGUUUCAGGCUUCCGUUGAAAGAGAAAAGGGAAGAAAGCUGAAGUAUAUUCACACUGAUAAUGAAGACUCUUCCAAAGACUCCCCAACUUAAUGGUUUGGCGAAAAAUAUGAACAGUACCUUGAUGGAAAGAGUCAGAUGUUUGUUUUUUGAAGCAAAGUUGUCAAACUCCUUUUGGGGUGAGGCUUUAUUGACCACUGCACAUGUUAUUAGCCUAUCUCAUGUUGUUGCUUUGCAAAGUGAUGUACUAUAUAAAGUUUGGUAUAUAAAAGAUAUUUUUGAUGACCAUUUAAGAGUUUUGGUUGCAAAGUUCUUGUACAUGUGCCCAAAAAUGAGAGGGGAAAGUUAGAUGCCAAGACAAGGUAGUGCAUCUUCAUUGGCUAUGAACCUAAUGAGUUUGGUUACAGUCUAUAUGAUCAGUUGAGAAGAAGCUUGUAAGAAGUCGUGAAUUGUAUUCAUGGAGAAUCAAAUCAUUGAAGAUAUUGACAAAGCGAAGAAGCUAGAAUCUUCAUGUUCUGAUGGUAUGGUUAGUCUUAAUCAAUUCUUGCAAACAAGUGUGCAUGACGUUGGUGGGCUAGAUAAUUAUGGUGACUCCCAUAACCAUGUUUCAAAUCAGCAUGUUGAUGUUGAUAAAGACAACGAUGUUGUUGUCGACUAUGUACCAGUUCAAGAAACUGUGGAUGAGUCAAAUGCUCCACUUAGAAAGUCUACAAGACAACAUAUUCUUUCUUCUUGUUAUUCUCCUAAUGAGUAUGUGUUACUCACUGACGGGGGAGAACCCGAAUGUUAUGAGGAGACCAUGAAAGAUGAACAUAAGGUUCAAUGGAUUUAAGCCAUGUAAGAUGAGAUGAAAUCUCUACAUGAGAACCACACAUAUGAGUUGAUAAAAUUGCCUAAGAGCAUGAGAGCUUUGAAGAAUAAGAAGGUGUUCAAAAUAAAAUUUGAAGAAUAUGGUUUAAAUGCCAGAUACAAAGCCACAUUGGUUAUCAAAGGAUUUGGUCAAAGGAAGGGUAUUGACUUUGACUAUAUAUUUUCUCCCGUUGUCAAAUAGCCUCUAUUCGUACAGUUCUUGGCUUGGCUGCUAGUCUUGAAUUAGAGAUUGAGCAGAUGAAUGUGAUGACAACUUUUCUUCAUGGUGACCUCGAAGAGGAGAUCUAUAUGGAACAAUGAGGGCUUCAAGGUAAAAGUUAAAGAAAAUUAUUUGUUCAAACUUAAGAAGAGUAUCUAUGGCUUGAAGCAAGCUCCCAGUGGUAUAAGAAGUUUGAAUCCGACAUGAGAGAGCAAGGCUACAAGAAAACUUCUUCAGAUCACUAGUAUUUGGACAAAUUUUUUCUAAUGAUGAUUUUAUCAUCCUCUUGCUAUAUGUGGAUGAUAUGUUGAUUGUGGGCAAGAAUGCUUCCAGAAUUGAUGAGUUGAAGAAACAGUUAUGCAAGUCUUUUGCUAUGAAAAACUUGAGUCAUGCUAAGUAGAUUUUGGGCAUAAGAAUUACUUAUCUCAAAGAUGAAAGGAAGCUUUACUUGCAUAGGAAAAGUACACUAAACGUGUACUGGAGCGCUUCAAUAUGAAGAAUACUAAGGUUGUUAACACACUCAUUGCUGGUCAUAUAAAGUUGAGCAAGAAAAUGUGUCCUAUAAUGAAUGAGAAGAAAAAGAGCGUCCCUAAAGUUCCAUAUUCCUCUAUUGUCAGAAGCUUAAUAUGUGCAAUGGUAUGUACCAGAACCAAUAUUGUUCACGUAAUUAGUGUUGUCAUCAAGUUUCUUGAAAAUCUAGGAAAAGAGCACUAGAAAGCAGUCAAAUGGAUACUGAGGUACCUAAAAGGAACCUUAGCUGAUUGUUUGUGUUUCGGGGGAUCUGAUCCUGAAAAGCUAUACAGAUCUUGAUAUGGCAGGUGACAUUGAUAACAAAAAUUCACUACUAGAUUUUCUUUUUACAUGUUCAGGGGAGCUAUAUCAUGGAAGUCAAAGUUGGAUAAGUGUAUCGCACUGUCUACAACUGAAAUAGAGUAUAUUGCGGACACUAAAACUGGCAAAGAAAUGAUGUGGCGCAAGCGAUUCCUUCAAGAACUUGGAUUGAAAGAAAUUAAGUAUGUUGUGUAUUGUGACAGCCAAAGUGAAAUAGAUUUGAGCAAGAUUUCAUGUACCAUGCAAGAACAAAACACAUUGAAGUGAGGCAUCAUUGGAUUCGUGAACAAGUGGAGAACAAAUUGUUCCACGUUAAGAAGAUUCACAAGACUGAAAAUCCUACAAAUAUACUAACAAAGGUGGUGCCAAAAGACAAGUUCGAAUUGUGCAAAGAACUUGUCGGCAUAAGUUCUCUCUAAGAAGACGAGAAUACCUCUUUCGGGCGUAUGGGACUGGAGGAGGAGAUUUGUGGGGUCCAACCCCAUAAAUGCCAUUGAAAAAUUAAUGCCAUUUCAUGAUAUAGGAAAAAUGUUUUCUUCCUGGCUAAUCUUUUCAAACUUUUGGGAGAGAGAAAAUCAGACAAUUAUAUUUAUAGUUGCAAAUGUUGACAUUGCAACUUUUAUUUAUGUAGACAAAGACCUACGCACGGUCUUUUUUUCUCUAUAAAUUGAGAGUUUCGGAUAAUUUGAAAGACACACAAAAAAACAAAGAGAAAAUAAUAUAGAGAGAACAGUGAGGUAUUGUAAAGACCGUGACAAAAAAAUUAGAGUGAGCGAUAUAUUAAUAAGGUGGGAAUCAAAAAAGGGGUAUUUCUUUUGAGUAUGUAGUAGUCACUUUGAGUAUUGCACUUGUGACUAUAGUGUAAAAAUUUCUUAUUAUAGUAAUAUUAUUUGCUUCUCUUGGUCUGUGGGUUUUUCCCUUAUUUAAAAGAAUUUUCACGUAAAAAUUUUUGUGUUAUUAUUUUUAGUUUUUUUCAAUUCUUUUGUCACAAAUACUUUACUGUUAUUCCGCAUUUACCCAAUAGAUUGGGAAUAAAGAGUCUUGGAGCAAUGAUAGAUUUAUCUUUGUAUAAGUCACGUGUUCGGUGGAAUCAGUCAUUAAUAUUUGUGAGGGGACAGACUACCUACCUUACACCCUUUGGGGGUGUGGGCCCUUUCUAAAUUCUAUUGAUACGGAGAUGCUUCAUCCAUCGAGCUGCAUUUGUUUUGUAAUAGUGGAGAUGCAUGAUUAGAGCUGACCAUAAAGGUAUAUUCCUUUCGGUCCCAAAUAUUAAUCGUUUUGACAAAGUAAACCUUUUCGAACUAUCUGAUGUUUUAGAAAAUAAGAAGUCAUUAACUUUCGAUUUUUUUUUUUCAAGUUCACCAUCAAUACCUCAAUUCAAUUAUUGGAGUGUUAAGCAAGUGAGAUGUUUAAGAGAGUAAAGGUUAAUCUAACAAAUAUUGGGUUAGUUACAAAUAUUUUAUGAGUGAAGUUAUUAAAUAUUUUUUAAGGAGCUUACAAAAACUGUCAGAUAAUAUGACUUGUACACACGUGAUUUUUGAUCCUCCCUCAAUGUUAAAUAUUUAAUAAUAUAUUAUUUAUUAUUAUUAUUUUUAUUUUUAAUAAAUUUUUAGUUAAAAAUAAAUAAUUAAGUAAAGUUAAUUUUGAGAUACUAAAACUAAUAAUAAAAUAAAAUAUAUAUUUUUAUUUUCUAAAUUUUAAUAAAUUAAUUUUGGUAUUAUUUUAUUUAUUUUAACUAUUUGUAAAUUUUAUUAUAUUUUUCUUAAACAUAAAAUUAAUAUAAUGUUACUAUUAUAAUUAUUGUUAUUAUUUUAUUAUGUCUUCUAUUUUAUAUUUUUCUUAAACAUAAAAUUAAUUAAAUGUUACUAUUAUAGUUAUUAUUAUUUUUAUAAUCUUCUAUUUAAGAUAAUAAUAAUAUAAGAAUUUAUUUCAAAAUUUAAAAACACAUUCCUAUCCUAAGUAACUGUUCCCUCCCCUAUUCCCCCCCUCCCCCCCAAUAAUUUCCUAUUUAUAGGACUCUCACCCCCCACUCUCUCAGGAUUCUACGUAUUUUUUUUAUCAGAAAAACCAGAGAGAGACAUCAGACAUUUUAACAGAGUGAAAAACAAAGAAAAUUUAACAGAGUGAAAAACAAAGAAAAUUUAAUAGAGAGAGUGAAAAACAAAGAAAAAUUAACAGAGAGAAAACACAGUAAAAAGAAAAAAAACUUUGAAGAAGAUCAGACAAAAGAGAGAAAAGAAGAAAGUUGAGUUUGGGUUUCCGUUCGAGUUAUCGGUGAUGAUGUUCUUGCUUCUAUAUUUAGUCUAGUUCAUCAUACAGGUUCUUAUUUAAACCCUGUUUAUUUAUUUUUGUUAUAAUUAUGUCACUGAAAUAUGAACGAAGUUAUUUUUAUUUUUUCAUGUGCCAUUCGGUGUGUAAAGAUUGAUCGUCUGUCAAAAAUUUAAUUUUGCCUCUACUUUAAUCUAUUUAAUGUUAUUUAGUAGUUGUUGAGUUUGUAGUUGAUCCAUUUUGCGCGACAACGAAUACAUAUAAGUUGAGAAAGUGGUAAUUGUUUCAUAUUAUUUAGAAACAAGGAUCCUGAUCAUCUAUUAAAUGUCUAUUAAUGUUAGAGUAAUGAAUUUACGUGAAGUUGAACAUGCUAAAUUUACUUAGUUAUAGGAGUGUAAGUAUGACUGUAUUUUUAUAUUUUUCUUUUUCUUGGUCACAUGCAGUUUGUUUGUUUUAAUAUUUGUAAUGUGUUUUAGUUUUUUUUAUUAUUCCUAAAUUUUAAGCAUUUCAAAGUCAUGAAAACCAGUAGCUUAAAUGUAGUUUCCAUGUAUAUAUAUUGAAUUGAUAGGAAUUAAAAAUUUAGUGGUUAAAGAAAUAUUUCAACGUGAAUCAUUCUUAAUUUAGUCAUUAAUAUGUUAAUUAAUAUGAUAACUACUGCAUUAGGUAUUUUCUUAGAUUACUACUAGACUUCUUAUCUUAUUCCAUAUCUCUUUAAUGAUUUAUCCACUCAAUUAUAUGGAUUUUCUUGAGUAUUAUUAUCCGUAAUUAUCAUUUAGUCAUGCGACAAGGAUGAAAACAAGUUUUUAUUUUUAAAAAUAAAUUAAGUUUCAACAUAGAAAUAAAAUUGUUUAGCGAAAUAUCUUUUGGACAAUUUUUGAAAAAUGAAUGAGAUAGAUUAUAAAUUUUUUCAGACUUAUCACAAAUAACAAAAGAAGAGGGAGUGAAAAAUAUUGUGAGGGAGCAAACAAGUUGCGGAUUAGUCCAAGGUUUGAAAGAAAAGAACAAAAAAUGAGCAAGUUUAGCUACUUGAAUUUAUGAGAGACAAACCAACGCCUUUAACGCUAGAAAUUUUUUUAAGUAUUUUUAAACAUUUGUCUUAAUAAAUAAUGCGGCGUAUGCAUCUUUUCGAGAUAUUUUAAAAUUCAAGGAUGCAAAAAUGCACUUUGGUAAAUAUUUUUCUAAAAUUAAUUUUCACACGAUUUAUUCAAUAUAAGAUAACAGACAAAUUUUAGUAUAAUUAAAAAUAAGCGAACUACGGCCUACUAACAUAAUAUGUCAAAAUAGUUUAAGUUAAGAUAAGUCAAGAAAAGCAACCGUGCUAGAACCACGGGACUCGAGGGGUGCCUCACACCUUCCCAUCGGUCAACAGAAUUCCUUACCCGGUCUUCUGUUUUCGCAGACCAACAAAGAGUCAUGUCCUUUUGAUUAGGGAUUCAAAAAAGGUGACUUGGAACACCAUAGCUCAAUUCCAAGUGGAGACUCUGUAAUAAAUUAUUCCCUAUUCAAUACCGUCACUUUAAUUGGAAAAACCCUUUGAACUCGAUCCCCUCAGACGAAAAAAAGGGUGUGACAUCUCUGACGACUCUGCUGGGGAUUAACUAGAAUUCGAUCUUUUGGUAUUGACUUAUACUUGUUUUAAUUAUUGUUGAUAUUGUGAUUGUUGGUGUUAUGUGCUACUUGUCUCUCAUUUACUGCUUUGAUAUUAUUUGAAUUGUAUUAUAUAUUGUCCUCUCUCGCGUACCCCCUCUGAUUCUCUGAAAUAGGAUAGAGGGAAUGCAGCAUAUGCAUCCCACCUUCUUUUAUUAGAUAGCCGGAGUGUCAAGACACCUGGUGAAAGAUAUAGUCACACAUGUUAGGCGGGGUUUGGAUUGAUAACGAAGUCGGUGUUUCCCUGCUACCGACCAAGUUGUCCCUCCCCGGCUCAAGUGUUUGCUCGAGUAAGCCAAUAUAGACACCUAUCCCUAUUAGGCUUAAAACUUAGAAGAACUGAAAACUCAGAAUCUGGUUAUCCCUAUUAGGUGCCGCUUUAUUUGCAUCAUAUGCAUUUGACUUAGCGGGACUCAGCAUAGGGGUCGGGUUUGUCUAGGACAGGUGACCUAAUUUAUAAAGACCAACAUAUGCAUCCUACGUGCUCUUUAACAUUUGCUUGGAAGGCUAUUUAUUUGUUGAUCGGCUUUAGGCAAUUUUAAAAUGCGAGAGAUUAAGUUAUCCUCAAAUUUAGUAAAUCAUUUUUGAAAGAAAAUUUUUAUUUUUAAAUAAGGAAUUUUUAAAAAUAUACAACAACAUAGUUUUUACAAUCUUCAUGAACUAUGAGGGUCUGAUUCUCACUUUUUAGCGAGAUACAUAUGAAGUCUUACCCAGGAUACGACCAUUUAUUUAAAAAAUAAUAAUAUAUUUAUUCACAAAUUUAUUGAACGAUAUUUUUGAAAAAUAAUAAUAAUAAGAAAAAUGAUUAGUUUCAUGAAUAUUAUUAUCUUUAUUUUACUUUCCUUUUUAUUUUUCAAAAUUAAUCUUAACAUAAAAAUCAUAAUAGCCUGAACCUUUAGGGGUCGUGAGACUAGAAAUUUUAUAAAACUUCAUACAUAAAACGAUCAUUCUAUUUCUGAGUCAUUUUUUGUUCUCUUAAGGGUAUUUAGGGGGUAUUGUCUCCAAAUAUAUAGUUAAAAUUGUCUAGAGGUCUGUUAUUACAAAAUUUUUUUAUAAGAGUCAACUUAAAUAAAUGUUUUUUCUAAAUAUAUUAUCAGUCAUAGUUCUCAAGUCAAGUUAAAAAAUUCUUUUCAAAAAUUAAUGAAUUAAUUUCAGCCUAAAUCUAGACAUUUAUUAAUUUCAUGUCCUUGUCAAUAGGUAUAAAAUGUCUCCCCCUGUUCAUGGAAAGCGUCCAAAGAGAAAGAGAGAUGGGAGUGUACCGCUUCAUGUUAUGAAUUGGACCCCUUUGGAGCUUUGGUUGUGGUGGAACAAAAUGGAUACAUUUAAUUAUGACAAGAUACAUAAGUAUUUGGGUUUUUUGACGAGUAUUAUGACAAUAAAACCUAAUAGUGAGGUGAUUGAUCUGCAAACUCAUGAACAUAAGGAAUUCAAAAGAAGAAUCGAUGAAAAAAGGUUGGGUUUCCUUACAGUUUUUGUACGAUAGAUACGGAAGGCAAGAGGGGUUCAAAAAGUAUGGUAAGCAGCUCUGUAAUAAGCGGAAUUUUGAGGCCUGGAAGGUUCACAGACGAUUUGCAUUCAUGGUAGCCUUUUUAGGCACUAUGGUCUUCCUAAGGAGAGAACAAAAAAUUAACAUUCGUUUAGCAGGAGUGGUAAAAAUACUGAUUAAGAAAGAUUAUACUAUGGUGCCAAUGAUCCUGGCAGAUAUCUAUCGUGCUUUGACUGUUUGUCAGAAAGGAAAGAGUUUUUUCGAGGGAUGUAAUAUCUUAUUGUAGUUGUGGAUUGUGGAGCAUCUAUACCGACGUCCUACAAUGGCAAGGUUUAAUUCAAAAAUAUUCAAUCGCACUACAGAUUACGAAGAGAGGUUAGAGAAAUAUAAAUGCCCAGAAGGAUUUAGAGAUUGGGAUAAGUUUUUUCGUUCUCUGACAGCAAAUAAAAUCACUUGGAAUCUCCCUUGGAUCCCUUGGAGGCAAGUAAUACACAGUUCUGUCAUUCGGCCAUUCAUAUUAUUAAUGGGUAUUAGGGGUGUUCAACCGUAUGUUCCAUUGAGAGUUUUACGUCAGCUUGGAAGAUGUCAAAUAAUUCCCAUUACAAAAAAUAUGACUGAGUUUGUAUUUGAGGUCAAACCAGAGAUCCCACUGCCAGAGGAAUUGGCCCAGCAGAUUUGGGAAGGUUACCGUAUCAUGGGGAUUGAAACGAUGGUCAUAGAGCGUGAGAAAGGAGAAGUACACCCAGAUUACCGUGAAUGGUUUGAAGAACAGUUGAGUCCGCCAGUUAGACCAGAAAUAUCGGUUAGGGGACCUAUAGAUCAAGAAGCUGCAAUCAGGAUAGUAAUUGAGAGAGCCAUGCGAGAACAUCAUGAGCCCAACUAAGCUUUGAGAGAAGAAUUAGAGCAUGCCAAGGAAAAAAUAGACGAAUAACAAAGGGAAUUUACUGAAGAGAAAGCUAAAUCAGCAGCUAUUGACGUUGUACUUUGGGGAAAAAUCAAAAUGGCUACCACUAGAGGGUCACAUGCUGCAGAAAUUGCCUCAUCUCGCUGACAGCAACUGCAAGAAGUUUAAAAGAACAUGCAAGAAGAAUUUGAUCCAGAGAGAUCUCAGUGAAUCCGUGAAAGAGGAAUAUUGCGAGAAUAGUUGGAGGUUGCUUUUGCUCGUGAACAGCAUGCAAGAGAGAUGGUUGAUUUUCAAGAUCGACAGGCCCAGGAAUGGGAUCAGGCCUUUAGUUCCCUUCGAGGGAAGGUCCGCCGUGUAGAACAAGAUACUACCAGAAUGGGUUUGGAUUAUCAGUAGUUGGAUCGUGAGGACUUUUUGGCACAAGUACCAUCUUUCGCACAGCGUCUCACUACUUCAUUGGAGGACAUAUAUUUGAGUUUGGGAGGACAUAUUAAGCCGAAGUCUCCUUGAAUGGAUAGUUGUUUUCUUUUUCAUAGUUUUUCAUUUUUAGUUUUAAAACUUCUUGUUUAGAUAUUAUCUCUUUUAAUUUUCAGAUGUCAGUCAGUAGGUUUUAUUUUAGGAGUUGGAUCAGUUAUUUUGUCGUAUUUAUAUUAUAGAAUGUAGUGAAGUUGACUGUUUAUUUUUAUAUAUAUUACAUAUGUUUUACUUGACUUACUUUAUUUAUUUUCUUCAAUAAAAAAGAAAAGACAAAACAAUUUUUGUUAAAUUCCUCCCGAACUACACAAGAUCUGAUUCAUGUCCUGACAUGAUACGUAGGCAACCCUCCAAAGGGUUCGAUCAUAAUUUUUGAAAAAGUAUGCCUAGAAAAGCUGGGAUGAAACACAGCCUUCCAUGAUAGGUUGGAAAAUGCAUAUAGAAGCAUGAUAUAUAACGUGACAUUAUAAUGUGUUAAAUAUAUAACACUCACCCGUUUGCUACUUGGUCACAGAAAGAUAAAGUAAUUGGUGGUUGGUUUGUGGUUUAAACUGGUAUCAUAUCCGUAUAACACCAGAUACAAGGGUAAAAGAAGAAUGACCCCCAAAGAAGGUAGAGGGUCUGAUAGUAAGGAUGAUCAGAAUCAGUUGAUUUCGCAGAAAUUAGCAUCAAUGGAAGGAAUAAAGUCAUUAAAACAACAGAUGACAGAGAUGUACCAAGCUUGGUUGAAUGGACAAGCCCCGCCUUCUUCAAUCCCUGGACUUUCGACUUCAAAUGAUCCAAAUUCUGACCCAGCUCAAACUAGUGAUCCAUUUUACCCACCAGGAUUUGGUCUAUUUGCUAAUAUGUCUAGAAUUACUGGUACUUCUACCAUGCACCCACCAAAUCCGUCUGUCACAAAUAACCCACUUUUUACUUCUGUAGCACCAGCUACUGCGGGUACUCAAUCGACAGUACCAAAGAAUAUAGGGAAACCAAGUCAUGAUAUGUUGUAUCCUUCUAAAAUGACUUUCAAAUCUCAAAAUCCACAUUAUCAUGUUCAUCAAUGUGAUACUCCUAUCAUGAUUGAGAAAAUUGCCAAGAAUGAGGAACAUGAAGAGAUGGCUAGAAAAGUUAGAAGCCUGGGGUAGAGUAUGAGAAAUAUACAAGGAUUAAAUGGACCAAAAAGUGUUUCAUACAAGGAUUUGUGUAUGUUUCCUGAUGUCCAUUUGCCGAUAGGGUUCAAAAUGCCAAAGUUUGACAAAUAUCAAGGACACGACGAUCCUGUAGCUCAUUUGAAAAAGUUUAACAAUCAAUUAAGGAUAGCAGGAGGAAAAGAAGAAUUAUUGAUGGCUUACUUUGGAGAAAUCCUUACAGGGAUAGCUUCUGAAUGGUUCAUUGACCAAGACAUUUCCCGUUGUUACGUAUGGGAUGACAUGGCUCGAGAUUUCGUUCAACAAUUUCAAUAUAACAUUGAGAUAGUGCCAGAUCACACUACGCUUGCUAACAUAAGAAAAAAGAUGACUGAAAGUUUCUGAGAAUAUGCUAUCAGAUGGAGAGAGCAGGCUUCAAGAGUCAGACCAUCGAUAAAGGAAUCUAAAAUAAUUGAUAUAUUUUUGCAAGCACAAGAACCUGAUUAUUUCCAUCACUUACUUUCUACAAUUAGAAGCACAUUUACUGAAGUUAUUAAAGUUGGAGAAAUGGUAGAGAAGGUAAUAAAAUUAGGAAAGAUCAUCAGCCAGGUUGCUUUGAAAGAAACAACACAGGCAAUUCAAAGUGGUGCAGGGAGUUUUGGGGGAAAGAAAAGAAAAAAGGAUGUAGCAACUGUCGUUCCAAGUCCAUGAUAAAAUUGGAAGGGUGAGUGUCAACCAUACACACAAAAUCCAUUAUGUUUGGUUCCUUCACCUCAAUAUCCUAUUUAUAAUGCACAACCAUAUGCUCGGGAUCCUUCUUACCCGCAAUGGCAUGCACCAGCCAUCCAAAAUCGUCUACCGGUCCUGUAAGUUCAAAGAGGCCCUCCCAGGUCUAAUUUCUGGCCUAGAGCGGACUUUAAAAGGGAUAACAUGGUAAAAGAUAAUUUCACUCCUAUUGAAAUAUCUUACACUAGUUUAUUCGAUAGGCUGAGAAAAAUGAAUGUUCUAAACCUAAUUGAGAAAAGGAUCUCAAAUCCUCCUCCGAAGAACUUGGACUAUUAUAGAAGAUGUGAAUACUGUUCUGAUGCCCUAGGGCAUGAUACAGAGAAAUGUUGGUAUCUGAAAAGAGCCAUUCAAGAGUUGAUUAAUACCCAACAGAUCAUGGUGGAAAGUCCAGACGCUUCAAAUAUCAAUCAAAAUCCGCUGCCAAUUCAUAAUGAAACAAACAUGCUCGAAGUGAUAUUCAGUGGUAAAGAUGCUAUGAUUUCCUUUAAGCCGAUCAUUAAAAUUAAAAUUGAUUUUGAAAAAUCAGCAAAUACUGUGGAUUUGACAAAAGAGAAGCCUGUAGAAGCGGAGGUGGUGAUAAUAAAAACCGAAUCAUCGAAUAUUCCCUUGGUAGUGGGGAAAGAGAUUUUAGAAAAUAUUAGGUUAAGUCAAAUAAAGUUGAAACUCAUUAUUCCUGGAAGAUCCAAUAAGCCUCUUUUAAUCAUAAAAAGGAGCUCUUAUAUCUCCUAUUAUUAUUAAACCAGUGUCACAAUUGCCUAUGGUUGAUACCAAGGUAGUCCCUUGAAAUUAUGAUUGCGUUGUGGUGAUGCACAAGGGGAAAGAAGUGACUGAAGAUGUAGAUGAACUAGGGAGAUUAACUCGAUCUGAAAGAUGUAUGCUCCUGUAGAGUUAAGAAAGAAUAAACAAGGCGGUGAAGAAUGAAUAACAGUCAAGAAGCCUGUUACUGAUGAAGAAGCUGAAGAAUUCUUAAAGAAAAUGAAAUUUCCAAAACAUUCUAUUGUAGAGCAGUUGAAGAAGACACCAGUACAGAUUUCUUUGUUGUCUUUAUUGAUACAUUCAGAGGAACACCGCAAGGUUAUAAUGAAGAUUCUUAAUGAAGCAUGUGUUCCCAAUGAUAUUAGAGUAAAUCAGCUGGAAAAAGUUGUUGGAAGGAUCCUUGAAGCAAAUAAAAUUACUUUCUCAGACGAUGAAUUGCCUAUGAAAGGUACUGAGCAUAACAAAGGUUUGUACAUUUCUGUGAAAUAUGAAAAUUCUAUCGUCACUCGAGUGUUAAUUAAUGGAGGAUUAGACGCUAAAAUUUGUCCUAUGUCAACUUUUCAAAAGUUGAAUGUUAAUGUGGAAAGGAUCCGACCUAAUAAUGUAUGUGUCAAAGGUUUUGAUGGAUCAAAAACUGAUGCCAUUGGUGAAAUAGAGUUUAUAUUGACAAUUGGACCUGUGGAGUUUGCUAUGGAUUUCCAAGUGCUGAACAUUGAAACUUCAUUUAAUAUGUUAUUGGGAAGGCCAUGGAUUCAUAGGGCUAAAGCAGUCGCAUCAACAUUGCAUCAAAUGGUCAAAUUUGAACACGACAGGCAAGAAAUAAUUGUUCAUGGUGAAGGAGAUUUAUCCAUGUAUAAAAAAUACUUUAUUUCCUCCAUAAAAAAAGAUACUGCGGAUAAUGUGUUAAUUCAUCAAGCUUCUGAGGUAGUGGCUGUUGAUCAUAUCCUCGAAGAGAAUCUCAUCGUAAGACCACAAUUGUCCUCUGCAUCUGUUAUGGUAGUGAAUGAAAUGUUGAAGCAUGGUUUCAAACCAAGAAAAGGUCUAGGGAUAUUUUUGCAAGGCAUAGUUCAUCCGGUAAACCUCUAUGAGAACUUUGGUACUUUUGGUUUGGGAUACGAGCCUACUUCUGAAGAUAUAAAGAAGGCUAAAAAUCAUAAGAAAGAGUCAUGGUCACUUACCAAGAUGAUACCUCCACUUCACGAGUCUUUCAUCAAAUUCAGUGUUGUUGGAUCCUCCAAGUUACUUGCUGCAGAAUCAAUGAAUGAUGAUGAUACAGAGUUGAUUGGCUUUUUUCAGAAUAUGUUCAUUGAAGCUGAUAUGGCUGAAAUUGGGGAAGGUACUAGCAAUGCAGAUGUGCAUUUUAUCGGCCCUGAUAUUCAGCUUAACAAUUGGGAGGCCACUUAUCUCCCUAUUAUAAAAGAGUCUUGGUAGUUUGUUUUUCUUACAGUCUUAGUAGUUUGUUUGUUUAUUUUUACUCCUAUAAUUUGAAUCAUUCUAGGAUUGUAAUUCAGAACUUUAAACUUGGUAUUUUAGGUUAAAACUCUUUAUAUCUAUGUUUUUAACAAAGCGUAGUUUCCCUUCGUUUUAUUUUGAGUCUGAUUUUUAUUUAUUUAUUUUCUAUCAUACAGUUCUUUCUAUGCCGAUUCUAAUGAUAUGACAUGCAUGAAGAAUUGUCAACCAGAUUUAAAAACCCAAUCUAAUUAUGAAAUAAUGAAUAAGAAGUUGAAUACGAUAAAGGAGAAAUAUUUGAGGAUAUAAGCAAAGAUUUCAAACAGCUUGAGAAUAAGACAAAUCCCAAUUUGGAAGAAACUGAGGCAAUCAAUUUAGGAGAUCAUGAAAAUAUUAGGUAGACUAAGAUAAGUGUAAAUAUUCAACCACAACAAAAGAAAUCUAUAAUUGAAGCUUUGCAUGAGUAUAAAGAUAUUUUUGUGUGGUCUUAUGAUGAUAUGCCCGGUUCGAGCACUGAUUUGGUAGUUCAUAAGUUACCAAUUGAUCCUGCUUUUUCUCCUAUCAAGCAAAAGCUAAGAAAGCUUAAAACUGAUAUGAGUGUAAAAAUUAAAGAGGAAAUCACGAAGAAACUUGAGGCUAAAGUCAUUCGAGUGGUCCAGUAUCCUAUUUGGUUGGUAAAUAUUGUCCCUGUUCCAAAGAAGGAAGGAAAAGUUUGGAUGUGUGUUGAUUAUCGUGAUCUAAAUAAGGCAAGUCCGAAAGAUAAUUUUCCACUUCCCAAUAUCCAUAUUUUGUUGGACAAUUAUGCCAAAUAUGAUCUUGCGUCUUUUAUGGAUUGUUAUGCGGGGUAUCACCAGAUCAUUAUGGAUCUAGAAGAUGCGGAAAAGACAUCAUUUAUUACGCCAAGGGGGACAUAUUAUUAUUGAGUCAUGCCUUUUGGACUAAAGAAUGCUGGGGCAACUUACAUGAGGGCAAUGACCACAAUGUUUCAUGACAUGAUGCACAAAGAGAUUAAAGUUUAUGUGGAUGACGUGAUCAUUAAGUCGAGAGAGCAAUCUGAUCAUGUCAAAGAUUUGAGAAAAUUCUUUGAAAGGCUUCGGAGGUAUGAUCUCAAACUUAACCUAGCAAAAUAUGUAUUUGGAGUUCCAUCAGGAAAACUCUUGGGUAUUAUAGUUAGUCGACGUGGCAUUGAGUUAGAUCCUUCAAAAAUAAAAGCUAUUCAAGAUCUGCCUCCACCAAAAAAUAAAAUGGAGGUGAUGAGCUUACUUGGAAGGUUGAAUUAUAUCAAUAGAUUUAUUGCUCAACUUACGACAACCUGCGAGCCAAUAUUCAAAUUGUUAAAGAAGAAUGCUAAAGUUGAAUGGACUGAAGAAUGUCAAGAGGCAUUUGACAGAAUUAAGAGAUACUUGUCGAAUCCACCUAUUUUGGUUCCUCCAGAGCCAGGUAGACCUUUGAUAUUGUACAUGUCUGUUUUAGACAAUUCUUUUGGCUAUGUAUUAGGUCAACAUGAUAUUACAGGUAGAAAAGAACAAGCCAUCUACUACCUCAGCAAAAAGUUUACCACUUAUGAGGCUAAGUACACUCUUCUUGAGAAGACGUGCUGCACCUUAACUUGGGUAGCCCAAAAGCUGAAACAUUGCUUAUCAUCUUAUACUACUUACCUCAUAUCUCAUAUGGAUCCUUUAAAGUACAUUUUUCAGAAGCCUAUGCCCACAGGUAGACUCGUGAAAUGGCAGAUAUUGCUCACAGAGUUUGAUAUUAUUUAUGUGACACGAACUACAAUGAAAUCUCAAGCCUUGACGGAUUAUUUGGCUGAAAAUCCUAUUGAUGAGGAGUAUGAGCCAUUGAAGACUUAUUUUCCAGAUGAAGAGGUAUUGUAUGUUGAUGAAGUUAUUUCUGAUGAUUGUCAUUCAGGAUGGAAGUUGUUCUUUGAUGGAGCUGCUAAUGUAACAGGAGUGGGGAUAAGAGCGGUUCUUAUUUCUAAAUCAGGACAAUAUUAUCCUAUAACAGGCCAACUUCGAUUCUACUGUACCAAUAAUAUGGCAGAAUACGAAGCUUGCAUUUUGGGAUUGAGAUUAGCCAUUGACAUGGGGAUCCAAGAACUGUUGGUAUUAGGAGAUUCAGAUUUAUUAGUCCACCAAAUCCAAGGAGAUUGGGAAACACUUGAUUCAAAACUCCUACCAUAUAGAGGUUGUUUGCAAGAUCUCUGUCAACGAUUUAUAUCAAUAAAGUUCAAACACAUUCCCAGAGCUCAUAAUGAGAUUGCUAAUGCUUUGGCGACCUUAUCUUCGAUGCUUCAACAACCCGACAAAACUUAUAUUGAUCCUUUGCAUAUGAAGAUUCAUGAUCAACAUGCAUAUUGUAAUAUGGUUGAGGACGGACUUGAUGGGGAGCCGUGGUUCCAUGAUAUCAAAGAAUAUAUUUAGGCUAGAAAAUAUCCUAUACAUUUCGAUGGUAACCAAAAGAGAAUCAUUCGACAUUUUUCUAGUGGAUUUUUCCUAAGUGGAGGAAUCUUGUAUAAGAGGACUCCUAAUUUAGAACUUUUGAGGUGUGUAGAUGCUAAAGAAGCUUCAAAAAUCACGACUGAAGGCCUCGAAUGGACAUAGUUUCAUCUUGGUAGCCAUUGAUUAUUUCACGAAGUGGGUGGAAGCAACGACUUUCAAGUUAGUGGACAAGAAAAUGGUGGUUGAUUUUAUUCACUCCAACAUCAGUUGUCGAUUUGGCAUUCCAAAGAUAAUUAUCACCGAUAAUGCUGCAAAUCUCAACAGUCAUUUGAUGCAAGAAGUAUGCCAACAAUUUAAGAUUAUGCAUCGAAAUUCUACUCCUUAUCGCCUAAAGACAAAUGGGGCUGUAGAAGCUGCCAACAAGAACUUAAAGAAAAUACUUCGCAACAUGGUGUAGGGUUCCAACAAUGACAUGAAAAGUUACAUUUUGCUUUGUUGGGUUAUCGUACUACAGUUCGGACUUCAAUUGGUGUAACUCCUUACUUUUUAGUGUAUGGAACUAAAGCAGUUAUACCUGUAGAGAUUGAGAUUCCAUCUCUUCGAGUAGUUGUGGAAGCUGAAAUUGAUGAAGACCAAUGGGUCAAGACUCAUUUGGAGCAAUAAAGCUUGAUUGAUGAAAAAAAAUUGACGUCAGUAUGUCAUGGACAACUAUACCAGAAGAGAAUGGCACAAGCAUAUAACAAAAAGGUGCGUCACAGAUAUUUUGAAGUUGUUCAGUUGGUAUGAAGACACAUUCUACCUCAUCAGAUUGAAGCCAAAGGCAAAUUUUCUCCUAAUUAGCAUGGACCAUUCAUGGUGAAGAAAGUGUUACCUAGUGGCGCGUUAUAUCUCACUGAUGUUAAAGGAAAAAUAGAAGAAAUGUCGGUCAAUGCUGAUGCAGUUAAAAAAUAUUAUGUAUGAUAUUCAUGUACAAUUAUGUUAUUAAUGUUUUGUACUUACAUUUUUAAAGAUUUGAAAUGAUGAAGGCAUUUUGUUCUACUAUCCGAAUAAUAUAUCAACCUUUGUUACCCCUUUUUUCAGCCUUAGUGUUAUUUUCUUUCGUACCCCUCUUUUGGAAUCAAAAUAGAGUUUGAGAACUUGAAAAAAAAAUAUCAAGAAAAAUGGAGUAAAAAAAAAGAGUUGAAAAAAAAAGAAGAGAAAAAAUCAAUCAAAAAUCCAAAUUCGAGCAAAAGAAAUUUCCUGAACUACGUUUGACCUGAUUCUUGCUAUGACAAGAUACGUAGGUAGCCCUACUUCGGGGUUUGGUCUAACCAGAAGAAAAUUCAAAUUACCCAGAAUGAAAUGAAACUGGGGUAAAGAUUUAUUUUCUUAAAAGAAUCGAUUCGAAAAGUUGUAUGUUUCACCCAAUGUUAAUUUUUGAGCCUAAUGCCGACCUUUCUUUCUAAGCCUAUCCAAAAGCCAAGUUACAACCAAAAAAAGACCUUCGGAUCAAUCUUUGAGAAUGUCAAGGCUAAACAUGUUAUGAAUGAGUGCAUGACAUUUCAUAUUUUAGGUGUUUAUUAAAAAAAAUGAAAUGAAAAAAAAUGAAAAUGAGAGAGUCUUAUUGGUGAAAACCCUUUCGGGCACCAUAAGACGACUGUGAGCUGAGACAGAAAUGAAAAGGAGAUAGGCUCGUUGGCAAAAACCCAUUGAGGUGCCACUAGCUGAAGAAAGGUUGUUAUCUAGAAGGAACAAGUUCAAGAUUGGCUUAAUUUCAAGCUCAAUAAGUGGACAAAAGUUGUAAUGAUUGGUGUGGGUAGAUCUGGUUGUUUGAUUCAAAAUGCAUGGAAUAAUCACCAAAAUCGAUUUCCACAUUCAGAUAAGUUUUCUCUUUGUUUUAAAAAAGAGAUGCCUAUUGUCAUUUUCUUUUUGUUUUAUUUUAAUUUUAGAUUUUUUGUGUCCUUGUCAUCAAACGAAAAUUUUUUGUUGUCUUUUGAGUCAAAUUCACGUCAGGUCGAGUGAGAAAGGACUCCAAACUCGCUACCAACUCCUUUGAGGGUACAAAGAAAGACAAAGGGUCGAUGCAAAGAGACAACAUUUCAAAGUAAAAGUAAGGUACUCAAGAUGAUUGUGAUUUGACCAUUUUAAACUCGUGAAAAUCUAAGGGAUGUAUUGGAAGCUAAACUCAGAAGCAUCAUACAACAGAAAUAUGAUUUAAGUUAAGGAUCUCAGUAGUCAGAAUUCUGAGUCAGAAAUAUGACAAUUCAAUGAAUAUUAUCAUGGAUUGGAAAAGAGUUGAGCAUGGCAAGUACGAGAGUGGCUACUUCAAAAGCUAAAUGCCACAAACAAACCACCACAUGUUUUAAAACUCACAAUUUUUCUUUGUUUGGAACUGAGAUGAAAUAAUUGUUUUCAGAUAAAGGAUGCGAUUUCACACUUCUCAAUGCAAGAAGCAUGGUUACGACAUUCGAUACUGGAUCUCGGUCGUGAUAAAAUUUAUUAUUUGCGAGAUAUAUCAAGAUUCAGUGACACAUAAAUUUUUCCAGUACAAACUGGGACAAAAAUUUUAUGUGUGUUGUAUGGAAUUUAUAUUUUGCUCAAGACCCUCCUGAUGAAGGGGAAUUUAUUUUUUGCUCAGGACCCUCCUGAAGAAUGGGAAUUUAUUUUUUGCUCAAGACCCUCUUGAAGAAUGGGAAUUUAUUUUAUAUCCAGGACCCUCCUAAAGAAUGGGAUGUUAUUUUUCUGUUUCACUAUUUUCUUUAAGUUCAGGAACCCGCUUGAAGAACAGGGUGAAGAAGUUGUAAGUCCAGGAGCCUGGCUGAAGAACAUGGUGAAGAAAUUAAAAGUCCAGGAACCCACCUGAAGAACAGGGUGAAGAAAUUAUAAGUCCAGGAGCCCACCUAAAGAACAUGGUGAAGAAAUUGGAAGUCCAGGGGCCCGCCUGAAGAACAGGGUGAAGGAAUUGGAAAUCCAGGAGACCGUAUGAAGAACAGGGUGAAAAAGUUAUAAAUAUAGGAGCCCGCCUGAAGAAUAGGGUGAAGAAGAUGUAAGUCCAGGAGCCCGCCUGAAGAAUAGGGUGAAUUUUUAAAUUCAAGUCGCGAAGGCUUGAAUCAAGAUUCUAGAGAUUGCAAUUUUUUGUAUUUUUCAUUUUUGAUAUUUAUUAGUCAAUUGAAUGUCAAGGCAAAAGUCGUCAACCGGAAACUCGACGGAAUCCCACUCGACUUUAACUUUUGCUCUUACCAAAUUACUUUUAAACUACUCGUGACCUGAUUUCCUUAUAACCCGAGAUAGGUAGGCUGUCCAAAAACAGGACUCGGUCACAAUGUUUUCUUUUAUUUUAAUUUUAUUUUAUCCUUACCUUUCAAAUAAUUGGAGGGUCAAAAAUCAUGUCUUGUCUACUUCUUAAAUAUUUAAUCAUAUAUUAUUUUUUGAUUAUUAUUUUUAUUUUUAAUAAAUUUUUAGUUAAAAAUUAAAAUUAAGUAAAGUUAAUUUUGAGAUAUUAAAACUAAUAAUAAAAUAAAAUAUAUGAUUUUAUUUUCUAAAUUUUAAUAAAUUAAUAAUUUUGGUAUUAUUUUAUUUAUUUUAACUAUUUGUAAAUUUUAUUAUAUUUUUCUUAAACAUAAAAUUAAUUAAAUGUUACUAUUAUAGUUAUUAUUAUUUUUAUAAUCUUCUAUUUAAGAUAAUAAUAAUAUAAGAAUUUAUUUCAAAAUUUAAAAACACAUUCCUAUCCUAAGUAACUGUUCCCUCCCCUAUUCCCCCCCUCCCCCCCAAUAAUUUCCUAUUUAUAGGACUCUCACACCCCCUGGGAUUCUACAUAUUUUUUUUAUCAGUUAAACAUCAGACAUUUUAACAGAGUGAAAAACAAAGAAACAAAGAAAAAUUAACAGAGAGAAAAUACAGUAAAAAGAAAAAAAACUUUGAAAAAGAUCAGACAAAAGAGAGAAAAGAAGAAAGUUGAGUUUGAGUUUCCGUUUGAGUCAUCGGUGAUGAUGUUCUUGCUUCUAUAUUUAGUAUAGUUCAUCAAACAGGUUCUUAUUUAAACCCUGUUUAUUUAUUUUUGUUAUAAUUAUGUCAUUGAAAUAUGAACGAAGUAUUUUGAUGAUUUCGUGUGUCAUUUGGUGUGUAAAGAUUGAUCUUCUGUCAAAAGUUCAAUUUUGCCUCUCCUUUAAUCUAUUUAAUGUUAUUUAGUAGUUGUUGAGUUUGUAGUUGAUCUAUUUUGCACGACAACGAAUACAUAUAAGUUGGGAAAGUGGUAAUUGUUUCAUAUCAAUUAGAAAUAAGGAUCCUGAUCAUCUAUUAAAUGUUUAUUAAUGUUAGAGUAAUGAAUUUAUGUGAAGUUGAACAUGCUAAAUUUACUUAGUUAUAGGAGUGUAAGUAUGACUGUAUUUUUGUAUUUUUCUUUUUCUUGGUCACAUGCAGUUUGUUUGUUUUAAUAUUUGUAAUGUGUUUUAGUUUGUUUUAUUAUUCCUAAAUUUUAAGCAUUUCAAAGUCAUGAAAAUCAGUGGCUUAAAUGCAGUUUCCAUGUAUAUAUAUUGAAUUGACAGGAAUUAAAAAUUUAGUGGUUAAAGAAAUAUUUCAACGUGAAUCAUUCUUAAUUUAGUCAUUAAUAUGUUAAUUAAUAUGAUAACUACUGCAUUAGGUAUUUUCUUAGAUUACUACUAGACUUCUUAUCUUAUUCCAUAUCUCUUUAAUGAUUUAUCCACUCAAUUAUAUGGAUUUUCUUGAGUAUUAUUAUCCGUAAUUAUCAUUUAGUCAUGCGACAAGGAUGAAAACAAGUUUUUAUUUUUAAAAAUAAAUUAAGUUUCAACAUAGAAAUAAAAUUGUUUAGAGAAAUAUCUUUUGGACAAUUUUUGAAAAAUGAAUGAGAUAGAUUAUAAAUUUUUUUUAGACUUAUCACAAAUAACAAAAGAAGAGGGAGUGAAAAAUAUUGUGAGGGAGCAAACAAGUUGCGGAUUAGUCCAAGGUUUGAAAGAAAAGAAUAAAAAAUGAGUAAGUUAAGUUUAGCUACUCGGAUUUAUGAGAGACAAACCAACGCCUUUAACGCUAGCAAAUUUUUUAAGUAUUUUUAAAUAUUUGUAUUAAUAAAUAAUGCGGUGUAUGCAUCUUUUCGAGAUAUUUUAAAAUUCAAGGAUGCAAAAAUGCACUUUGGUAAAUAUUUUUCUAAAAUUAAUUUUCACACGAUUUAUUUAAUAUAAGAUAACAGACAAGUUUUAGUAUAAUUAAAAAUGAGCGAACCAAGGCCUACUAACAUAAUAUGUCAAAAUAGUUUAUGUUAAGAUAAGUCAAUAAAAGCAACAGUGCUAGAACCACGAGACUCGAGGGGUGCCUCACACCUUCCCCUCUGUCAACAGAAUUUCUUACCCGGUCUUCUGUUUUUACCGACUAACAAAGAUUCAUUUCCUUUUGAUUAGGGAUUCAAAAAAGGUGACUUGGAACACCAUAACUCAAUUUCAAGUGGUGACUCUGUAAUAAAUUAAUCCAUAUUCAAUACCAUCACUUUAAUUGGAAAAACCCUUUGAACUCGAUCCCCUCAGACGAAAAAGGGGUGUGACAUGACUCAAAUAUAUUUACAAUUGUUAAUAAGUGUGAAGAAGUAUGCAGCUCUUCAUCAAUGUAUCUGUUUCUUCACCUGCUUCGUGAUUUAUUAUAUUAUCUCUAAUUAAUUAUUAUGUCAUUUAAAUAUAAAAAGAAGUUAAUAAUAUUUAAUUAAAAAAUAAAAUAAACACUUAUGACAUGUCUGUUUCAGCUGCUUCAAUCAUAGUUUUAUUAUAUCACCUCUAAUUAAUUAUUAUAAGUGAUUUAGGUAUUAAAAAAUCAAUAAUAUUUAAUAAAUAAUAAAAUAGACGUAAAUGAUAAAUCAAUUCUUGAUGUUUUAAAUUAAUGGGACAUCUUAUAUGAGACUCAUUUAAGUUUUUUCCACAAGAAUGUUUGCUCCGUGAUUUUAUAUAUUACCCCUAAUCCCUAAUUAAUUAUUUUAAGUCAUUUACAUAUAAUAAAAUUAAUAAUAUUUAAUUAAAAAAGAUAAAAUAGACAUUUAUGACAUAUCUGUUUCAGCUGCUUCAAUCGUAGUUUUAUUAUAUCACCUCUAAAUAAAAUAGAUAUAAAUGAUAAAUCAAUUCUUGAUGUUUUAAAUUAAUAGAACAUCUUAUAUGAGACUUAUUUAAAAAAUUUCACAAGUAUAUUUGCUCCAUGAUUUUACUAUAUUACCCCUAAUUAAUUAUUGUAAGACAUUUACAUAUAAGAAAAUUAAUAAUAUUUAAUAAAAAAGAUAAAAUAGACAUUUAUGACAUCUAUUUCAGCUAUUUCAACCGUAGUUUUACUAUAUCAACCCUAAUUAAUUAUUAUAAAUCAUUUAGGUAUUAAAAGUUUAAUAAUAUUUAAUAAAACUAAUAUUGACAUAAAAUGAUAAAUUGAUUAUUGAUGUUUUAAAUUAACAUGACAUCUUAUAUGAGACUCAUUUAAUUUUUUUUCACAAAUUUUUUCUCAUAGUAAUUUUGCUAUAUCGCUUUUAAUUAGAUAUUAUAAGUCAUUUAGGACAUAUCCACUUCACUGCUUCAAUCAUAAAAUUUGGUUGAUUUGGUUGAGUAUCGAAUUUAUUCCAAUGCUACUUAAAUUGUAAUAGAAGAAAAGGUAUUAUAAAUUAUAAUAAUUAAAAAAUUUAAAUUAUUUUAAGAAUAAAAAUGGAAUAUCAAUGCCACAAAAUUUUCGAUAAGGAAAGUAACAAAUAUUAUUUGAAAAUUACAUAAAAAUAAAAUAUUAUAAAUUACAAUAGCUAAUAAUUUAAAAUAUUUAAAACAUAUUAAGAUUCAGAUUGAUUAUCUAAAUUAUAUUUGUGUCACAUAAAUUCGGGAUAGUUUUGACAUUUUAUAAUUUGUAUGUUUUAUUGUUUUAAUUUAGUAAUUUAUUGAUCCAAAUGAUGUUUUCGAAUUUAACAUGUUUUAAAAAUUUAGUACUUUGUUUAUUUUGAUUUAUUUAUUUUAUUUCAUAAAAUAUUAUAUAUUUAAAAAUUAUGCAAAAAAAAAUAAUUAUAAGUCAUAACUAUUAAUAUCUUAUAAUAUUUUAAAAACAUAUAGUACAAAAUAUUAUUGACUUUUGAAAUUCUAAUAGUGUCACAUAAGUUGCGAUAAAGAAACAUAAAUUAUUUAAAAUUACAUUAAAAGAUACUAUAAAUCACAACGAUUAACAACUUGAAAUAUUUAAAAUAUAUUAGUAAAAAUUUGAUUGACUCUCUAAAUUCUAAAAUUGGGACAAAGCGAGUAACAUAAAUUAUUUGAUAAUUACGUAAAAGGUACUAUAGAUUACAAUGAUUAACAACUUAAAUUACUUAAAAAUUUAUACUAAUAAAAAUUUGAUUGACACUCCAAAUGCUAUUUGUUCUACAUAAAUAACAUAUGUUGGGUCCGUGCUAGCAUGGGCUAAAGUAUCUAGUAGGAGUAUAUAGAUAGAGAGAGGAUGGUCUGUUGAAAGAUAAGAUGUUUUUGAUGUGAUUUGAGUAGGGGUGGACAUUCGGUUUGUUCGGUUUGAUUGUUGAAUAUCAGUUCGAUUUUUUAAUUUUUGAAUUGACGAAAAUGACAACCAUAACCAAACCCAAAUUAUUUCGGUUUGAUUUGAUUUUACGAAUUCGGUUCGGUUUGAUUUGGUUUUACGAAUUCAGUUCGGUUAUUUCAGAUUUUUAUUUCGGUUUUAAAGAUUAAAGUAGUAACAUUUAAAAUUGGUGAUUUUUUUAGAAAAAUAAUCUUUUUUUCAAACCUAUUUUCAUUCCCAAAUAUAAUUAAUUCAACUGGGAUGAAAUAACCAUAAAUAUCGACUUCGCUGAGUCAUCACCAUUGGCGUGAUGAUAGUGGUCGCACUCGACAUCGACUGUCGACGGCAGUGACGAACUGAGCAAACGACUGUCGACUGCCAUUGACGAUGUUGAAAUUUCAAAUGAAUUAACUAACUGAGGAUGGAUUAAAUGACUUACAACAACUAAUUAGAAGUAAUAUAGCAAAAUCUAUAUCUAUAAUCUAUAAUCUAUAAUAUAUUAAAAGUGUGAAAACACUUAGAAAAGUGAUUUGAACUUUUUGACCUUCAUUAAAAACUUUCGCAAUAGACAAAAUCAUCUUUUUACUUAUUUUUUUUAUUAUUAUAUUAUUAUAUUUAAUAUUAACUAGAAUCCUAAAAUAUAUAAGGAAAAAAAAUAAUUGUAUUUCCAUGUUUUCAAUUUAAAAAGGAAAGAUUUAAUUAGAAUGAAAAACAAAUCCUAAAAUAGGAGAAUUAGCAAAAGAGACGAAGAAAUAAUGUGAAGAGUAUUUUAUUUUUAUUUUUGGAUAAAUAGAAGGGUCGUGCAUCUUUCGAAAGCAUAAACGUUAUUUUUGGAAAAUUACAAAAACUUUCAAAUUCCCUUAUUUUCCCAACAUAGUUUUUCUUAGAAAAAAAAUUAAUGUUGCAACAUUCAGUUGUAUCCUAAUAUAAUAUAAAUAAUUUAUAUGUAGUAUCAAUGUGUCCUAAAUCAAAUUCGUUUUGAUUUAUGAAUAUAUUUUUAUGAAAAUAGUUGUUUUGAAAACAAAAAGUCUGAACUCUCUAUAAGAAAAUUCACCAUUAAUUUCAGUGUCAUUCCGGUAUUUUUUUUCAUUCGUUAUUUAUCAGUAUUUUCUUAAAAGAGUUUGGAUGAAGUUCUAUGUAUUAUUAUAUGGAGUUGUGUGAUAAUGUUAAUUUUCUAAAAUUUAAUAUCUUAGUUGUUUAUUGCUAUUGAAUUUAUGUUCAUUGAAAUAUGACAAGGUGAUUUGUCACACUUCUUUUGUGCCUAAAAAUUCCUAAAUUGUUUAAUGUUUAUGAGGUUUUAACCUUUUUUUUUUUAAUUUUAUUUUGAUUUUGAUUUAAGUAGUCUUCAAAAAUGGAGAGUUGAUAAACUCUUCACCAACAAUCUCCCUGUCAUUGAGGUACUUUCUUCUCAUUCUUUGUUCAUUAUUAUUUUUUAAAAAGAGUUUCGAUGAAAUUUUUUAUAUCGUUAUGUGGAGUUGUAUGAUAAUGUGAAUUUUCUGAUCAUUUAUUUUUAGUUGUUUAUUGCUAUAUGAGUUUUUUUUAUUUUAAUUUUGAUUUAAGUUGUUUGCAUAAACAAAAAAUCGAUGAAGUCUUCACCAACAGUGUCAGGGUCAUUGAGGUACUUUUUUCUCAUUCUUUGUUCAUUAAUUUUUUUAAAAAAAUAUUUGGAUGGAAUUUAAUAUGUUGUUAUGUGAAGUUGUAUGAUAAUGUGAAUUUUCAGAUCAUUUAUGUCUUAAUUGUUUAUUGCUAUAUGAGUUUAUGAUUUUUGAAAGAUGACUAGGUCAAUAUAUUAUACUUUUUAGCCUAAAUUCGUAAAUUAUCUAAUGUUUAUGGUAUUUUAAUGGUUUUUUCCUUUAGAUUGUGAUUUAAAUCAUCUUCGCAUGAUCAAAUCUAUAUUUGACUACACAUAUGAGAGAAUGUGAGUGUGGCGUGUUAACGAACAAGUCUAAAGGAAAAGGAAAAAAUUAAAUUAAAUUAAUGAAAGUAAAUUUUAUGUAAGAAGGAGAUCAAUUAACAAAGUACUUUAAAUAAGAUGUGAUGAGUAAAAAUUGCUGGCUAUAAAAGUGGUUAUGCAAUUCUGAGGCGGUAUUAUCUCUAAUCUCUAAUAUGUGUGUUUAAUCUCUAAUAUAUAGUAUACAACAACAACAAACCCAGUAUAUUCCCACAUAGUGGGGUUUAGGGAGGGUAGAAUGUACGCAAUACAUACCACUACCUCUAAAGAAGUAGAGAGGCUGUUUCCGAUAGACCCCCGACUUAAGACAAAGGACAAUAUACUGGAACAUCAAAAGCAUGAAACAUGAUAAAAAUAACAUAGGUACGACAUCCACAAAAACCUUGUAUAUUACCAAACAAAGGACACCAACGCCCUCCUAACUACUAACUAUGAUACAACCACACACCUUAGCCCUCUAUCCUAGUGUUUUUCAUCCACUAAUCUAUAUACAUAUAUAAUCUCUAAUCUAAAAGUGGAAAGAGCCUUAGAAAAGUGAUUCGAACUUUUUGUCCAUUAAAAGUUUCUCCUUUAGACAAAAUAUUUUUUCACUAUUUUUCUCAAUUAUUGUCAAUAAGACUCUGAAAUUAAUUAAAGUUCUUAUUUAAGUUAGGAAAGAAAUCAUAAUAUUUAAUAGUUCUAAAUCAAUUAAAAUUUUACCUUACAUAUAAUUUGUUAAAUUAAAUAAAUGUAAAGAAUAUUUUGAAUUAAAAAAGGAUACCAAAAAAAGAAAAAAAAACUACACCUAAAAAUAAAAAAUACCACAAGGGAUAAUUUAUUAAAUCAAAUAAAUACAAAUUUAAAUCGACAAAGGAAAUUAAAAAUAUCGGGAGAAAGAAAAUAAAAUUAAACCUAACGUUACUUUUAAAUUGAGAAUCCUUCUUUUCUACAAUAAUACGUCCACAAUGUAGUUCUCAAAUUAGAUUUUUCUUUGCUAUCGUUGUUCACAAAUUUACUUAUGAUUUGAGGUAAACUUUCUAAAAUUUUAGUUCUUGAUGUUUACAGUCUUGAUACUAUCCGUGAAUAAAAAAAUAAAUUUGCUUCUAAUUUUAUGUAAGUUUUCUAAAAUUUUAGUAUAUUCUUGAAGUUUAUAAUAAUAAAUUAUCACGUAUUCAUGAUAGACAAUUGUUGAAUAAGAAAUUUUUAGUGAAAUAAUCACAGUAUUUACGAUUGCAGAGAUAAUUUUUUUUAUGAUUUGAUAUAAGUUUUCUAAAAUUUUAGUACGUUUAAAAAAAUAAAUUAUCAUAUAUAUUUUUUUAUAGACAAUUACUAAUUAAGAUAUCAAAGUAAUUUUAUAAAACUGAACUCUUUGAAGUAAGGUACACGCACGAGGCGCGUAUGAUCUGACUAGUGUAUAUAUAUAUAUAUAUAUAACUUAUGAUAUAUUAUUUAUAUAAUUUUGGUUUUUCGGUUGAUCCGAUUUUAUUUUUUUUGAAAAUCCGAAAACCAAACUUUUAAACCAAAUUUCUAAAAUUUGAAAUCAAAACCAAUCCGAAAAAUCUAAAGCCAAACCAAAAUUAAAUUUUGGGUCGAUUUUUUGGUUUUUUCGAUUCAAACCAAAAUAUGCCUAGCCCUAGAUUUGACAGAUUCUUUUCCAAAUGCCUUUGUGGGUCCACGAAUCACUAUCAAACUUUUUUUUUUCUAUAAUCCUCAUUUAGGAAAAAAAUGUGUUGCACAUGAAAAAUAAUUCAAAAAAAAAAAAUGACAAAUAAUUCAAAAUUUAUAAUUGUCAUAGUUGGUGACUUUAAUCUCCUAGUUAAUUGACGAUGUUAUAUGAGGGUUUGGGCCACAGAUGACAAAAGAGUUCUAAAAUGAGGUGUAGGUGAUACAAGUCUUAAUUAUUAGUUGGAGGUGACAAUUACUUUAUUAUGUAUUAAGAAAGUUGGGGAAGUUUUAAAAUAACCCACAAGUUUUUAAAUUUACACUUUGAUCCCAAUGUAUACCUAAGAUCAUGGAAAACGGAGGGAAAAAAAGGUGUCUUUCUCUCUCUUCUCAUCCAUUGUUGUUUUCUCUCUCUUAGCGAUUUUUGUUGUUAAUUAUUUCUGUUUCUGCUGCUUUAUUCAUCAUCUUCUGCUUCAUCUUCUUCUUGUUGGCCAUUUGUUGUUGUUGUUGUUGUUGGUACAGCGUUACUGCUGCGUUCUGACCAAUUUCUUUGGUCAAAUUUUGUUUACUACAUCACUUUCCACUUUGGCAUUACUUCAUAGGUUACUUUGGUAAGUAAAAUUAUGAUUUUUAUUCGUAUUUGUCAUUUGGGUACACUUCUGUUUUCCCAACAAUGGGUGAUUAUGAAUCCAACACAAGUGCCCACAAUUUAAACAGAUCAAUCAUUUGGUGCAUCAGAUGAGUAAUCUGUUGUAUCAGACUAUUUAUCUGUUACAUCAUCAUAUUAUCUGUUGCACCAAACUAAUUAUCUGUUGUAUCAGGAUAUUUAUCUAUUACACCAGACUAAUUAUCUGUUACAUCAGAAUGUUUAUCUAUUGCACCAGACUAAUUAUCUGAUACAAGGAAUGAUUAAUCUAUUUGAAACAACACAAAUCAACCCCUGCCACAAACCCAAUAGAUAAAUCUUGCUAUUGCUACUAGAUUCUAAAUUAUUCCUUUUUAUGUUCUUAUUAUUAUUAUUAUUAUUAUGAUUAUUAUUAUUAUUAUUAUUAUUAUUAUUAUUAUUAUUAUCAGCAUCAUCAUUGUCAGCCGGUCAAUCUUCAUCUGAAAGUAGCAAGGCCCUCCUCAGCCUGCGUAACUCGCGGAGCAUUCUUGAUCUAACUCCUCCCAAUUUCCAUUGCAAAUCACGAAGUUGAUUUUGAAGUUCAUUCACGGCGUCUUGCAGAAAAGCAAUGUCCCACACUGGGUCAGCCAUAAUCUUAUCUUCAAGAGUGUAAUAUAAAAGACGAGAUGCAAUAAAUAAAUAGAGUGUGUAUUUGAAUGAACGAUUUAGUAAGGACGGACCUAUUUAUAGAGGAUUGAAUUUGAAUGAGAGGCAAAAAGGCGCGACUAUUCACCUCCAUACAUUAAUUAAAUUUUUGAUUAAAUUAAGAAAAUAAAUAUUGUGAUAUAAGUCAUGACUUUUCAGAUUAUUAUUAUUAAUUAGUCUUUCGAAGAAUCAUUUUUAUUGAGUUGUGGCAACAGAUUCUAUAUCUGUUGCAUCAAAUAACACAUCUGUGACAACAGAUAUAUUAUCUGUUGCAACAAAUAUAAAAUAUGUUGCAUCGAAUAACAUAUCUGUUGCAACAUAUAAUCUAACUGUUCACCUUCAUUUAUUAAUUAUAUUUUUUAUUAAUGUGAAAAGUAAUGAAUUAAUUAAAUUAAGAAAUAUUGAGAUAAGUCAUGGCUUUUCAGAUUAUUAUUAUUAUUAAUUAGUUCUUUCCAAGAACUGCUUUUAUUGAGUUGUGACUCGAUAUAGCUUGCAUCAAAUAAAUCAUCUAUGACAACAGAUACAUUAUCUGUUGCAACCAUAGUGAACCUGUUGCAUCAAAUAAUUUAACUGUUGCAACAUAUAAUCUACAUUUUUUAAAAAAAAAAUAAUAUCAUCAUAUCAUUAAUCCAAAUUUUCUUACUUUUUAUUUUAUAAAUAAAAAAAAUAUCUUUUCAAAUUCCUUAAUAAAAUAAUAUUUUUUUUUUUAAAAUAACUAUAUCAUCAUAUCAUUAAUCCAAAUUUGCUUACUUUUUUAUUUUAUAAAUUAAAAAAAUACCUUUUCAAAUUCCUUAAUAAAAUAAUAAUCAUUUUAUUAUAUAAUAAAUAAUUUUAAAAAUAAAUUUAAAAAUAAAAAUGCUGAAAAGUCACGAUCAGUUAUUAAAAUUGUGGUUAUAAAUUGUGUUUAUUAUUUAUUUCCUUAUUAUUUAUUUACAAAAUAUUUUUCAUAUUGAUUAAUCGAAACUCCGAGUCAUGUCUUUCUCUUUUCACCCUCUCAAUAACAAAAAUAGCCCCUUUUUUUAUUAAUAACCGCCAGGUGCAACAUAUGAUCGAUCUAUCGUAGCAGAUUAACCUCUAACUGUUGACACAAAUUGCUGAUCCCUACCACCAACCGUCGACAUGUUGAGAACAAGGAAUAAACAGAAUGAUUAUUAUUAAAUACUAAAUAAGAAUUAAAAAUUCAAAGUUGACAACAAAAUGAAAUGAAUGUUCAUAGAUUUUUGAAUCCCUUGGGUAGAUUUGAUAUACAAAAGGAGGAAAAUAAUCGCAAAAAUAAAAAAUAUUACCUAAUUAUUAUUACUACUAUUAUUAAUAUUGUCAAUCAGACAUCUUUCUUUCAUCCGGCAGCCUUUCUCCGAAGUCAGCCAAAUAUCUCUCUGGAGUUCAUCAAUCAAACUGCCUUUGAAGUUCACGCAAAGACUCGAUGUGAAUAUUCUUGUACGAAUCUGAAUCAUCCAUAUUUGUAAGGAAGGACCUAUUUAUAAAUUAUUGUAUCUCUAAAAGAAAAGAAAAUUGCUUUAAAAUAAUCUAAUAGAUGGGUAAUUUGUUAUAAAAUAUAUUCUUUCAAUUAGAUAACUUACAACAUACUGGCAAUCUUUUUGCAACAGAUGUAUAUAUCUGUUUCAUUUCUGCAACAGGUUGAUCACUGUCGUAACAGAUGUCUCUAAUUGAUUGACAAUAUAAAUAGAUGUGUCAUCUGUUGCAACAAGCUAGUCAUCUAUUUAUUCAAUUUAAGCCAAUAAGGUGCGUGCAAAUAGAUCCACUAUCAUAUGUGUGGGAGUUAAGUAUGUAUUACUGAUAAGGUUACUGGGAUAACACACACAAAGUACAAUGUUUUUGUGAAUGCAGUUUUUAAUCGAUUCGGCAUUGAUCAUUCAAACAAGAUCCUGCAUUGUACCGUUAAGUUUGAUGGGUUCGAAAUUGAUAAGGCUGAGGACCUCAUAAAGAUAGUGCAGAUACCCUAUUACGAAUUACUGAUGGUUGGUGCUCGUGUUUAUGCGUGUCAAGUUUUGAGAAGGGAUCAAUAUUUGUCGUCACUGCAGAGAACCAAUAGCGAUUGGACUUAACUUUAAGUGUGCAUUGGACCCUUAGAGGGCCCUCAAAGCCUCGCACUGCAUCAAACAAGAAUGGAAAACCAAUAUAGUUAUUGCCUUGGCCAAAAUUUAUAUAGUUGGGUUGCUCGCUCGGGUUGAUGAUUAUAUACCAGAAAGUACAGUAGGAGAAUGCUUUCGAGGGAAAAUGGGUUGUUGAUGGAAGACUAUAUUAUCUAAGAGCUAAUUGAAGAAGAGACACAGGGUAGAAAGUAACUUCUAACGAAUCUGGCCGAUGGAAUUAUCUUAACAAAUGCAAAAUCUAAAUCAAGUGCAAAUAUAAAAGUGUAUCCGGUAAUGUAAUUUCAUCUGUUGUGUCUCUGAAAGAAAAACAAUGCAGAUGGACACUUUUCUAGAGAGCUGCAUGGUCGGGAUUAUCACCUAGGUAGAAAAUAGGAGAAGAUCAAUAAAGCAGCCUCACGGGCAUCGAAGGUAGAAAUGAUGUUUAGCAAGUCUAGAAAACUUACGCCAACAACAACUACAGUGAAAAUAAGGAAACUAAGCGAUGAUGGCAAUUUUUGAAUUUUAAAUUUCAUCUUAUCUUCUUGUUUGUGUUUCCAAUUAGGUCCACUGCCGUUGACCUGAUCGAAACCACACACGAAAUUGAAAGGCAAAUAGAGUAUCAUUUAUUCCUUAGCAAUAUGGUUAUAAUUGAUUGUGUUUUCUUGCCUUGACAUGCUUUCAGCAUUCCUUGGAGAAGAUCAGAUGCUUGCUGUAAUAUGUGAAUCCUGAUAAUUUUCAAGAUUGCCUCCAGCUUGUUGAUUCUGUAUUCAAGCUGGUCAUUACCGUCUUCGAAGUUGGUAAGGAGUUUCUUGUCUCUUGUGAGCUCAAUCAAGAACACUACCUUCAAAGUUGUGGCAUUCUAGAAGCCCUUCAGAACACUUUCUCUUCAAAAGCUUUAAAGGAUACACGGAGGGUCGCUGUGUUUGUUUUAGGUCAAAAUGUGUUGAUACACGUUGAAGAUGUGGUCCCAACAGUUGAACAAAAGACUUUUAUCGAGUGUUGAUCCAUGCAUCUUUCUCAACCAAUUUGAUAAAUUAGUAAGCAUGGAGUUAUGUAGCAUGUGAUUUAAACCGGCUCUACCAAGCCUAUCAAACGUUACGUAACUCGAAGCUCAUUAUCCUAUCAAAACAAUAUGCCCGAGUUAGUGCACAUAGAAAAAAAACCUAAUCUGUCAGCCUUUCUGCUUAUCACUGUUCUCCAAUAUAGAUGACAAGAUAUCUGCUAUGCAAAAGUCUACACCAUCGCCAGACAUGAUUGCCUGGGAACAUGUCUGGUGAUAGUGUAGACUUUUGCAUAAUAGAUAUCUUGUCAUCUAUAUUGGAGAAGAGCAAUCAGCAGAAAGGCUGAGAGAUUGAGCUCGUUCGAUUUGUGCACUAACUCGGUCAUAUUUUUUUGAUAGAGUAAUGAACUUAGAGUUACGUAACAUUUGAUAGGCUUGGUAGAGCCAUUUUAGAUCACACGUUGCGUAACUCCAUGCUUACUAAUUUAUCAAAUUGGUUGAGCAAGAUGCAUGGAGCAACGCUAGAUAAAAAUGUUUUGUUCAACUUUUGAGACCAGAUCUUUAACGUGCAUCAAGAUNNNNNNNNNNNNNNNNNNNNNNNNNNNNNNNNNNNNNNNNNNNNNNNNNNNNNNNNNNNNNNNNNNNNNNNNNNNNNNNNNNNNNNNNNNNNNNNNNNNNNNNNNNNNNNNNNNNNNNNNNNNNNNNNNNNGGAUUCACAUACUACAGCAAGCAUCUGAUCUUCUCCAAGAAAUGUUGAAAGCAUGUCAAGGCAAGAAAACACAAUCAAUUAUAACCAUAUUACUAAGGAAGCAAUGAUACUCUAUUUUCCUUUCAAUCUCGUUUGUGGUUCCGAUCAGGUCAACGACAGUGGACUGAUCGAAAAAAUAUACAAGAAGGCAUGGGAUGAAAUUUAAAAUUCAGAAAUUUGUCGCCUUUGCUUAGAUUCCUUAUUUUAACAGCAGUUGCUGGUGGCAUAAGUUUUCUAGACUUGUUGUACAUCAUUUCUACCCUCGAUGCCCGUGAGGCUUCUUUGUUGGUCUUCUCUUAUUUAUUAUCUAGGUGAUAAUACCGACCACGUAGCUCCCUAGAAAAGUGUCCAUCUGCAUUGUUUUUCUUUCAGAGACACAAUAGAUGAAAUUAUAUUACCGGAUACACUUUCAUAUUUGCACUUGAUUCAGAUCUCGCAUCUGUUAAGAUAAUUCCACUGGCCAGAUUUGUUAGAAGUUACUUUCUACCCUAUGUAUCUUCUUCAAUUAGCUCUCAGAUGAUAUAGUCUUCCAUCAACCACCCAUUUUCCUUUGAAAGCAUUCUCCUACCACACAUUCUGACAUAAAAUAUCACCCCGAGCGAGCAAUCUAGCCAUAUAAAUUUUGGCCAGGGCAAUAAAUAUAUUGGUUUUCCGUUUUUAUUAGAUGCAGUGCUAAGCUUCGAAGGCCCUCUAAGGGUCCAAUGUACCCUAAAAGUUAGUCCAAUCGCUAUUGAAUCUCUUUAUAAUGACACAAAAAUUAGAUCCCUUCACAAUGCUUGACAAAUAAACAGGAGCAACAACCGAUAUUAAAUCUUAACAGGCUAUCAGAACCAUAUUCAUGGUCCCUCGGCCUUAUCAGUUUAGACCUACCAAACUUAACUGUAAAAUUGCAGACAUCUUAUUUGAACGAUCUAUGACUAAUCUGUAAAAACAUCAUUCAUAAAAUCAGUGCACUCCAUGUGUGUUUCCACGAUAACAUUAUUAUUCACAUAUGAAGUGGUUCCAUCUACAAGAAGCUUAUUCCUCCGAUCCCAUCUUUACUGUAGCCUCUUGAGAUAGUCCAUCAAAAGUCGAUCAACUGUCAGUUACUUAUAUCUACAAAGAAGAGGAAAAAUUGAUGUCACAAAAAGAACAUUGUCCAUCUGUUGCAUCAGAUAUGGAGUCUGUUACAACAGAUAUGGAGUCUGUUGCAAUAGAUGUGGAGUCUGUUGCAACAGAUGUGGAGUCUAUUGUAACAAAUAUGGAGUCUGAUGGAAUACAUCAAACCAGCCUUUCUGGUUGUUUUAUUUGUUCCAAUUUUAAACUUCUCCCAACAGAUGACUUGUUUCUCAUAUUGUAAUAAAAAUUCUCGAAUUGUUUAUUCAACACUUACAAGUUCCUUAAAAAAAAUUUAAUAAAUAUGAUAUGGGUAAAUAGUAAUUAAAUAAAAAAAAUAGAUGUAAAUAACAUGCAAAGAAGAAGAAAAGAAUGAAAGAGCAAUAAUGAACCAUACCUUAUAUCAAAAAGAGGAUCAAAAUAGAAAUUUAAGUUGAGAAAAGAUAUGGAUGGGUUUAGAUCCGAAAAGAUCUUUAUGAGAAGAGAAGAGAAAAGAGAAAAAAAAGGUUGUGACCCUAAAGAAGAGAGAGAAAAAGAUGAGAGUUGAAUAAAAUAAACUGCAGCUGAAGGAAGAGAUGAGAUAAUUUCUAUAGUUGUAUUGUGUACGUAGACGUGGUGGUUUUCAAUAUUCACUAAUUUCAUUAAUAAUUUGAGGGGCACGAGGAAUACUAAGACUACUGACAUUGAAAAGACAAGACAAGACUGCUUAAUGAACUCACUGUUGAGAUAUCUAAGAAAUAUUUUUUACCGCCUUCAAUAGUAAGUACUACUACUUGAUAUUAUCUACUCAGACUAGAAGCUUCUUGCUUUAAAAUUAAAAGAGAUAAAAAGAUUUUUAAACAGAUAUGUCAUCUGUUGCAAUAUAUAUAAAUAUCUGUUUAGAAAUUUGAACAACUCAGACAUCUGUUACAACAGAUAUAAAUAUUUAGUUAAAAAUCCUAAAAGCUCAGUCAUCUGUGCCAACAAAUGAAAAUGUUCAUUUGAUAAUUUAUAAAAUAAGAUAUAUCAUCUGUUACAACAGAUAUAAAUAUUUUUUAAAAAAUUGCCAACAGCUCAGUCAUUUGUCACAACAGAUGCAAAUAUCUAUAUGAUAAUUAAAUCAGAUAUGUCAUCUGUUGUAACAUAUAUGUACCUAUUUGAUAAUUUUCAACAGCUUAGUCGUUUGUUGCAACAGAUUUUAUAGCAAUUGAUUUAGGUGGAACUAGGGAUAAAUGAGUGAUCUCAUAGGGUCAACUACAAAUCUAAUCGAGUCUUUGCAAUUGCAUGGUACUAGUAUUGCGUUCAUUCCAACUUGAGUCGUCGAUCGAUCACUCUGAGUUGAAAUGAGUUCUCAUCAACUCAAUGUUAAGAUAGUGAUAGUAUCUAAGUUGAUUUAGGUGGAACUAGGGAUGAAUAAGUGAGAUCAAAGGGUCAACUACAAAUCCAAUCGAGUCUUCACAAUUGCAUGGCAUAGGUAUUGCGUUCAUCCCGACCCGAGUCGUCGAUCGAUCACUCUGAGUUGAAAUGAGUUCUUAUCAACUCAAUGUUAGGAUAGUGAUAGUACCUAAGUUGAUGUAGGUGGAACUAGGUAUGAAUGAAUGAGCUCGCAGGUUCAACUACAAAUCUAAUUGAGUCUUUGCAAUUGCAUGGCAUUGGUAUUGCGUUUAUCUCAAUCCGAGUCAUCGAUCGAUCACUCUGAGUUGAAAUGAGUUCUCAUCAACUCAAUGUUAGGAUAGUGAUAGUACCUAAGUUGAUUUAGGUAGAACUAGGGAUUAAUGAAUGAGCUCGUAGGGUCAACUAUAAAUCCAAUCGAGUCUUUGCAAUUGCAUGGCGCUGGUAUUGCGUUCAUCCCGACCCGAGUCAUCGAUCGAUCACUCUGAGUAGAAAUAAUUUCUCAUCAACUCAAUGUUUUUAAAACUAUAUCUUUUAAAAUUUUUAAAAUUAAUUAAGAUCAAUUCGGACCAAAUUAGCAAUUUUAAAACUUGUCAUUCUUUUCCAAAAUUACAAAUCAGCACAUACAAAUCAUCCAUUUGCGCGAAAAACUUUUCAUUUUAAAUCUUAAGUUCUCUCUCUUCUCUCUCUCUUUCUCUCUGGGUGUCCUUUUCCUCUGAAUAAUACAAAUAAUACAAAUAACAACUACUCAACAUAUUGCUUAACCCUUCAAAACAGGUUGAUUUUCUUNNNNNNNNNNNNNNNNNNNNNNNNNNNNNNNNNNNNNNNNNNNNNNNNNNNNNNNNNNNNNNNNNNNNNNNNNNNNNNNNNNNNNNNNNNNNNNNNNNNNNNNNNNNNNNNNNNNNNNNNNNNNNNNNNNNNNNNNNNNNNNNNNNNNNNNNNNNNNNNNNNNNNNNNNNNNNNNNNNGACUUUUAGUUGUAUUAUCUUUGAGAAUGGGUUAACAAUUUUGAGUUUUGAUGCUAAAAAAGUAGGAAGCACCCGAGAAAACCCUAGUUUUUCUCUCAGUAUUUAGUUGACUAUCGUGGUAUUGUUGGAUAGUGUUUGUGGUAUUGUUGGUGGUUGUUGUUGGUGGUAUCGGUAUUUGUGUUUUUUGGGGGUGGUAUCGGUGGUCUUGAUGUUGGUAUUGGUGGCAUUGGUGGUGGUCUUGGUGGCAUUGGUUGUGGUUGUGGUGGUCCAUCUAUUGCAACGGGUGGAAGAUCUGUUGGGAGAUAUUAAAUAGGUAUUCAAACAAAUUCCCCAUCUGUUUCGACUGAUGGGUUAUCUGGUGGAGUAUUUUCUUGUAAUGUGGCAGAGAAUAAUUUAUUGAAAUUUCUCCACCUGUUGCAACAGGUGGAAUAUCUGUGGGGAGAUAUUAAAUAGGUCUUCAAACAGAUUUGGGUUCGCCAUCUGUUCCAACUGAUGGGUUGUCCGUUGGAGUAUUUUUUUUGGUUAUGUGGUAAGAAUAAUUUAUUGAACUUUGUCUCACCUUUUUUAAAAAAAUUAUGCAGACGUCAAAUGCAAUGUAUUUUUUGUUUUUCUUUUAUUUGUAGUUAAAAGAUGUCUCCCAAAAGAAAAGAAAUAGAAAGUGGAUAAAGUGGAUCAACUUCCGAUCACCAAACAAAAAAGGCUAGAGUAUAGAUAGAUUCGGAGGAACUUCCAAAACAAUUUCAUUCAGGGAAAAAAAAAGCUGAGGAAAGUGAUAACUCCUUCUCACCAAAGGGGCGUGAAAUAAUAUUGAAAUUCCAGCAUGAUUCUGUCAAAACCAUUAGUAUUGAAAAGUUUUGAGUUGCGAUGUCGAUGAAUAACCCUAAUGCAGUAUUUUGGCGAUCUUAUACUUAAAUGUCAGUUAGGGAAAACUUUUAACGAACUUAGGAGUAUUAUGAAGAAGGAAAACAUAGAUGGACUUUUUAAGAAGAGCUGCUUUGCACACUUUCUUGAGCUUUCUGGGGCCCGCCCUCUCUGUUUCCCAAUGAUCAUGGUAUAUAGCCUUCUCAAGCACAGGAUUAUGUAUGCAGGGGAUGAUGGAGGUCCGAAGGAGGGCGUAAAUAAGAUGGAUGAAGUCUGGAUCAACUACUGUGGCAUGUUGGUUUAUUUUGGAUUGAAAGAGUUUGCCAUUGUGACGGGCUUGAGAUGCGAUCGUCCAGAAGAACCUGCCAUCAAGAAAACACCCCACAAAGGGUCCAACAAACGCAAGGUAAAAAAAUAUGGGUUAUUGGGCAUUGUUGGACCUAGCUACAAAGUGAAGGAUUUGAUAGCGGAUCUCAAGAAUAAAGACAUACCAAAGCACUACAGGGAAAAAUUGUGCUUAGUUUGGUUUGUCCAUUCUGUUUUAUUGGCAAGAGACGUCAAGAAAAUCAUAGAACGUGAUUUGUUGGCGCUUGCUGAUGAUUUUAGGAGAUUCAACAAUUAUCCCUGGGGCUACGACAACCACUACUUGACUGUCAAAUAUUUACUGAAAGAGCUAAAACCAAAGACGACCACAUUAUACGGCUUUUCUUAGGAUUUUAUGGUAAAAUUAUCACUAUUUUUACUCAUUCAUUAAUUUAUAUUGAAUAUACAUGUGACUUUUUUUUGCUUGCUUUCUAUUUAUAAUUUUUAGGCUUGGGCAUGUAAAGCCAUUACUCCCCUCUGAAAGCAUUUCACGGAUUACCCGGAUAAGGUUUCUCAUCUAAGGAUCCUAAGGUGGUUGGCUGCAGUAGAGAGAAACAAAAAAAAUAUUAACGAGGCUGAUCUCUUUAACCCUUUGGAUGAUGCAUACGUCUUCUUUCAAUUAAAAUAAUUUGCCUCAAAGAAAGAUAUUAAAACAGAUGUUCCAUCUGUCAUAAGAGAUUAUCCGUCAACUGCAACUGGUGCAAUGGGUAAUCUGUUGCAACAGUCAAUCCAUAUUUCGCAAUAGAUUAACCAUAUAUUGCUCUGUUCUCUGAACCCUAUCCAUCUACUGUAAAUUAUGCAACAGAUGGGUAUUCUGAUGCAACAUAUUAUCAAUCUAUUUUAAUAUACAGAUCAGCUGUUGCGGUAGCUCGAUCGUCUGUUGCAUAAGUUGGCUAUGUUAACAUAACCCGAGCCUCGUGUAACCCAACUGACUGCAAAUUAUUAUUAUAUGAUUUAAAUUCCUCCUAUCAUUUUUUGUAGGUUGUGCAUCCUUGGAUCGUGCUUACCAUUGAUGAGCUGGGGAUGACUUCUUUUCUUACUCUAGGUCUUGUUGAUACAAAAGAAAACCCAACGGUGCAUUUAAUAAAGAAGGAAUUGGAUAGAGCAACAUCCAUAAGAAGAGCAGUUAGGCAAGGUCAGUCUAAUGUUGAAGCUCUUCACGACCUAACUCAAACUGCAAUAGAUCCGGGUUCUUCUCCUGGGGGUGUUGCUGGUGGAGUUGUUUGUGCUGGUGGCAGCCAACCUGCUUCUGCUUCUGCUGCCAGUCGUGAUUAUGAGCAUGUUGGUGCUCAGCAAAAAAUAAAUAUAUUUGAAAACACCCCUUGCACAGGUCCUUCCUCUCACCCCUACACCAGUUUCUCCCACCCUUACAGUGGUCCCUCUCACCUCUCCCUACCCUUAUGUUCUCAUUGUAAAUGCAAAGUGUGCAAGGACAGAGAGGAUAAACUCUUUGACAAGCUAGAGGCUAUUACUGAAGCUACCAAGGAGUUGAAAUGCAGGAGGGGUAUCAUACCAUCCAAUGAGGUGAGGGAGCUAUGCACUGCUACAAUGGAGGUUAGGAGGAAGAGAAUAAAAAUUAGACAAAUUCUCUUCGUUCUGAAAUCAGCAAAAAAUGCAACUCCCCCCGCUCCAAUAGUUGUUGUAGUUCAGGGGCCGCCGAAGAAGGUGGACAUAUUUACGGUGCUUGGCAAGGAGAAGAAGAAGGAACUAGAAGAAUUCAUCAAUAUAAAAGUUCAAAAAGAAUACACCACCAAAGACUUCUCGAAUAUGACAAAUAUGUGUAUAUGGUACAAGGACAAGGUAAGUUUACUUUUGCUAACCUACCCUUCCAAUCUACUCCAUGAAGAAGAAUCUACGCAACAAAUGUGUAAUUUGUUGCAACAGCUUGGUAUUCUAUUGCAACAUAAUACACAUCGGUUGCAUAAGUUGCGUUGGCUGGGUAAUCUGUGAACUGAUUCAGUGAACCCUCGGCAUCGGAUUCUUUCCACUGUAUUUUUAUUCUUUACAAUUACUAACCUAUUUAAAACUUAUCUUCUUAUACCACAGUAUGUUGAUGAAAUUCUCUGCCUCAUGAGGGGCAGGCAAUUAGCGUACCCAGAUGCUUAUGAUGCUUCUGAUAGGAUAAUGGACCUCAACUUCUACAAUAAUUUCAAAGAUAGGUACACUGAUCUUCGUAAUCUAGCUGAAUUUGGUGGCCUGGUAUUUGAUUAGUUAUUUUCUACGUUCCAAUGGGAUGAAGAAACGAUUAAAUAUGUUAGAGGGAAGAGGCCAUAUCCACACGGUAAGAGCUGGACCAAGGCAAAGAAAAUCCUUACCGUCAUGAAUGUGGAUGUCACCCAUUUUCUCACUGUUGAGAUACUACUAUACGAGGGAAAGAUGACACCGUUGUGGGAAAGAUGCAAUGGGUCUGGGAAUAUGGGGUACUAACUAAAUGGUUGGAGCUCGUGUAUAAGAAAGAACAUGUACAAAGACAGAGACGAACACGAUAACAAAUUUUUAUUUCAAGCCAAUUCACUAUACAUAUAGGGGAAAUAAUUUUUAUGUCUGGCAAAGUUGAAUUUUUAUAAUGCAACAAAUUUUAUACCUGUCGUAACAGAUAUAGUACCUGUUAUGACAGAUUGAUUAUCUAUUGGAAUAGGUUGGUCAUCUGUUGCGUUAUGCAGAUGUUCCCCAUCUGCUUGUCGCAAUAGAUUUACGAUCUAUUGCAACAUAUAACUUAUCUGUUGUAACUGAUCAGUAAUCUGUUGGAGCAAAUGAAAAAAGUAGGAAUACCUGUUAUAUAAUUUCCAGCAGAUGACCUACGUGUUGCAUCUCAUUUUGCAACAUAUGUCUAAAUCUGUCUGAUAAGAUAUGUCAUCUAUUGCAGCAGAUGUAUUAUCUAUUGCGAUAUUUGAAUCUAGUACUCAUUUUUAAUUAACAAGUUCAAAAAUCAGAAUUAAUUAUAUUCAUAGAUAGAAUAAAAUAAAUCGAAGCCUUCAGAAAUUACAUGAAAUAAAAUAACUCAACAAAUAAAUGAAAUGUAAAAAAAUCAUUAUGAAUACAAACGAUCUACUCUACAAAUAAAUCAACAAGUUAAACCAACGAGGAUAGGUUAUUACAUUGACGGACUCGAGCUAUAAAGAUCUAAUCAAUAUGGACAAGUUGUUCUUCAUCCAGUGCUAUGGAAUUCGGCUUUGGUCGUCGUGGAUCUUUAACGUCGGUUGCGUACGGCUUCUGAGCUUUCGCUUCUCCAUAUUUCCAUAAAAGAGUAGCAUAUCUUUUGUAGAGUAAUCCGGCAUCAAGUCCAUCAUUUGGUACUUGUAAUCCAUCACUCAAAUAGUCGGCAUAGGCGGCAACAAAAGGACCGCAAUCCCUACGUUAUAAAAAAAUAGAUAAUCCAUAUCUUGCAGUUCAUGCAAGCGUUGUGAAAUUCGUGAAAUAAAACUAAAUCAUGACACCUAAACUUACAGGCUACCAAUGGUUUGUUGAGCAAUUCCGUUAACAUAUUGUACAUCAAAUGGAUUAGCCAUUUUAUUCUGGUAUGCUUUAAUUGUCGACCAAUCAGUACAAACCUUUUGAUCCAAAAAGCCACUCAUAUCAAGGUAAGUAGGCAAUAUUUUGGCCAACUUUUGUAUCUCAGUGGCCCGAAAUGUCUCCUUCGCGACAUCGAGUCAUAAACUCGAAUACACCUCUCUUUUAGAACGACGACAGCCAACACCCAAUGGAAUUCAUCACCACAAUUGAUUGGGAUGUACACUUCAUUGAUCAGCCAAGGUAAGCCAGUCGGAAUGCUAAAACCUUUGAUGAUGUUGAUUAAGCAUUCCUCAUUUCGGGAAACUUUCGGCUGUUAUUGACAAUAUCGAUCGUAGGCAUUAUUGAUGUAAACUUUGUACAAAUAAUUGGAUGUUGUGUAUCUAUAUUGUUCUUGUAUUUGCAACUUGGCCUUCUUUUAGAGGUAGUAAAAAAUGACAUCGAUAUGUUGCACAUAUUAUCAAACAUUCCAAAUUAUGUGAUAAAAAAUCAAUACGUAGAUGUAAUUAAUUAAUAGUAAUAUGUAUGGCCUCUAAACCUCAUCAUUCCAGCAAGUUUGGGGCUGUGACAUCAAAUAAAACCAAUUCUUCGUUCCGAGAUGUGCAACAACAAAGUCGAACAUAUCAAAACCAAAACUCGAUUUGUUCACUUUGUAACGCUCGUCAUUUUGUUUUCUACAUGAUGAUUUAUAUGUGUUAAUGUCAGGUUCUUACAACAAGAAUUGUAUAAACCAAUAUCCAUAAAAUUGAUUUAUGUACCUGCCGGCAUGAUGCUUUAACAGCCCAUCGGCAAUCCAUUCUGAAUAGUCGUUGAUCAACUGUAUUAGUUUUUUUGGAGCCUCAUCCGAGAUGUUGAACCCUUUAAAUAGGUAAUUCUUCUGUUCUCCCAAACUGACAGGCUCCACUUUUUCUUCAUCUUUGGAAGCAGUUGAUGGAUUAUUAAUUUUCAUAUUAUGUUCGUCGGCAGUAGCUGUGACAUCCACCUGGAAAGCCAAAAUUGUCAAUGCUAAGUAGAGAUAUACAACAAAUUUUCCAUUUGUUGCAACAGAUGAUUCUUAUGUUGCAUCAGAUGGAUUAUUUGUUGGGAUAAAUUCGAAUAGGUAAAUCAAAGCAAUAUGAUAAUUACGAAUAGAUGACCCAUCUAUUGCAACAUAAGACUCAUUUGUUGAAACAGAUAACGAAUCUGAUGCAACAGGUUAGACAACAGUUACAACAGAUGUAUAUAUCUGUUUGAUAAUUUUCAACAGAUGUAUCAUCUGUUGAAACAGAUAUGUGCUUGUUUGUUUUUUGGAAUAGAUGAUGUACAUUCACCUUCUUCAGCUCAUACUGCUCUUCUGUGGCCCUUACAUACUGAACAUCGGUGCAAGACAAAGACAGAGGCAUUGCAAUCUUGCUUUUUUUUUAUGAUUAAUAAUUCCUUGGAAGUGUCUUCUCCUCUUAGCCGCCUUGAUCUCUAGUGGAGUGUCUAGAUAUGAAAUCCUCUUUGAUGGAAUGACACCCCUCUUAGAUGUCAUUUCCUUUACAGAAGUAGUUAGUGCAUUAAUAGCAUUAAUCACUCUAUCGUGUUUCGCCUUGCAGUCUUGACAUUUUCAUGAAGAACAUUCGCUAGAUGCAGGAAAAUCUAGAGAAAAAUCUAUACAACCAUUAUUAUCAUAAUCAUAAUGGCUUGUUGUUUCAAAAACUGUAAGAGGAGCAUCAUUAGCCCCACCCUCCAAAAUUGUUUUUCUUGUGAUGGCUGUUGCUCCAAAAAAUUUCAUUUUUAUUCCAUCAACGACCUUAGGGUCCGAUAAAGUUUGCACAGAUCGUAAAGUAAGAAAAAAUAGAAUCUUCAACUCUUGGUUGGUCAGAACAAGCCACGGAUGGACAAUCUAAAAUAAAUCGGUACAUAUAUUAAGAAUAAUGAUGAAAUCAUUCAAUCAUUAAUUAAAACAAAAAAUUGAUUAGAAUUGGACUUACUGCUUCCUUGGGGGGAUUGAAAAGAUCAAGAAAUUUUGUACUUUUAUCGGUUUUGGUCGACAACCAUCUCAGAAUUCUUGGAUAGGAAACUUCUUCCUGGUAGUUCACUUGUUGUCUCAAAUAAGGAAUGGCUUCAAAUGCCCAAGCCUAUAACAUAAUUCCAAUAAAUUAAAAGCAUUAUUGAAUAAAAAAUGAUGAAUCAUAUCAUGAUAAAAGAAAUAUUUACCAUGAAGGCCCACGAAAAACCAUAUAAGUUGACUGUUUUUGGCGUUAACGGAGUCAACAAAUAUUCAACAGUCAUUUUAAAGCUUUCAUAACCCCAAGGAUAGAUGUUAAAUGCCUCAAGAUCCUCGGAGAGGUUUAUUAAAUCGAGGCUUAUGUUGUUGUUAACGUCUCUCGCCCAAAGAACAUUAUGUACAAACCAAACCAAGCACAAUGAUUGUUUGUGCUUCUUUGAAAGUCCUUUACCUUUCAACACUUCAAUCAGAUUUUUGUUUUAGAAGCUUGGACCAACAAUGGACACCAGGUCAUCACGAUCACUCGACUUGCCUUUUUCGUUUUUGGGUGUGCGGGGUGCUUUUUCCUGGGUCAGAGUAGGUAUAACUUGAGAAGGAGAAGGAGGAUAACAUUUUAGUCCUGUAACUAUGACAAACUCCUCCCAACCAAAACAAACAGGCGUGGCAUAGUAAUUUAUCCACACCUCAUCCAUCUUAUCUUUGUUUUCAUACAUAAACUUGCACUUGAGAAGAUCAUAUACUAUUUUCAUCUGGAAACGAGCAUUGUUGUCCUCCGACAAAUCAAGUUAUUUCCCAAAGCAGCUUUCCUUAAAAUAAGAAUCUAAUUUUUGUUCUCAAAGUAUUUUUCUAAAUGCGUUGAAAGAUUUUCCCAUGACUGACUUAACCAUGAGAUCACCCGUUAAAUCUAUGGCACCAUCGCACUGCAUUCUCACAGGGUAAUGAUCAAUGCUGAAGAUUUUGACCAACUCUUCGAAGGAAGGGCUAUUAGCAUUUGGAUAAUCUCUUUUGAAAGAUUCCUCCUCCCCGUGUUCAUUAUUUUCUGCUCCUGAUUGAGAUAACGCUUGUAAAACAAGCUCAUUGAGUGGUGGAUGUAGGUGAGCUGCUGCACUUGUUCCUUUACUUGGACUUGAUUCAAUUUAUUUUAUUUUGGGAGCCAUGUUAUCUUAAAUUAACAGGAACAUAACAUAGAUUAUAAUUGAUUAAUGAAUAACAGUAAUAUAACAGUUCCAAUAGAAAACUAAUCUGUUGCACCAGGUAUGUUAUCUGUUGCAACAUAUAACCGACCUAUUGCAACGGAUGAGUAAUACAUGGGAACCAUAAAAACAGUACUAUUUGUUGCACCUGGUAUUUUAUCUGAUGUAACACAUAAUUGACCUAUUGCAACAGAAGAGUAAUCCGUUGGAAAUAAUAAAAAUAGAUCACUAAUCUGUUGCACCAGGUAUUUUAUAUGUUGCAAUAUAUAACUGACCUGUUGCGACGGAUGAGUAAACCGUUGGAAAAAAUAAAAAUGGAUCACUAAUCUGUUGCACCAGGUAUCUUAUCUGUUGCAACAGAUAACCGACCUGUAUGAGUAAAUUGUUGGAAAGAAUAAAAAUAGUCCUAAUCUGUUGUAAAAUAAAGAGUAAACCGUUGGAAAGAAUAAAAAUAGAUCACUAAUUAGUUAUCUGUUGGAUCAUUAUUGUUUAGAUUUCUUACAAACAGAAGAGCCGUUUGUCGCAACAAAUGAAUGAUCUGUUAGAUUGUUCACUUGUUGCAUCAGAUUUUCAUAGUUGCAUCAGAUUUUUAAUCUGUUGCAUCAGAUUUUAAAAUGAAGGGUAAACUGUUGGAAAGAAUAAAAACAGAUCACUAAUCAGUUAUCUGUUGGAUCAAUAUUGUUUAGAUUUCUUCCAAACAGAAGAGUCAUAUAUCGCAACAGAUGAAUGAUCUGUUAAAUUGUUCACCUGUUGCAUCAUAUUUUCAUAGUUGCAUCAGAUUUUUAAUCUGUUGCAUCAGAUUUUCAUCUGUUGCAUCAUAUGUUUCAUCUAUUACAUCAGAUGUUUCAACUGUUGUAAUAUCAUUUCUACCAAGACAAACAACAAAUCAACCCAGCAACACCAAUAUAUCACACACACACAUACACACUAAGAACAUCAACUGUGACAAAAAAUCACUAAUAAAUUUGAAUCAACAGUAUGACAACAAGAAGAAGAAAUGCAGAAAUACCUGAAAUUAGAGUUUUAUUCAGUCCACAUUUCAAUACCAGAAGAGUAGUUGUCUCAAGUUCCUCUAUUUCUUCAUAAUUUUUUACCUGUGAAAAAGAAAAUGGGAGGACGAAGAACUCAAAGUUGUUGUCGCCGGAGAAGUUUUCACGUCGAUUGACGGUUGAAAGUCGAAAAGGAACUUGUCCGACUAUUUAUUGCCAGAGGUUGAAGGGAGAAAUUUUACAGAAUUGUUAGUUGGAAAAAGCUGGAGAGAAGGUGGUUGAUUAGGAUUGAAGAGGGGUGUGGGUUGGGUUGAUUUGUAUUUUGAAAAGAUUAGAAAGUUUUGAAAAUAUUAAUCAAGUCCACAAUUAACUUAAUCAAGUUUCCUAAUGAUGUUUGACCCUAUCUAUUGGUCAAUGUCACCAAUCCUUUUUUCAAGACUUAAAAGACACCUUUCCUUCAAUUUUCUCACGUUAUACGCUAAUUGCUAAUAUAAGAAAUUGAAUAGUUCAAUAGUCAAAAAUAGUACUCCCUUCAUUUCGUAUUAAUUGGCCCUUAUAGACUUUGCACACCCAUUAAGAAAAAUAUUUAUUAGGGGUCUAUUUUACCAAAUUAGCCCUAUUAAUUAUGCUUUGAAAAUAUAAAUUUAAAUAUAUAUAACUUGUUUAGUCAUUUAAUGACAAAGGUCUUAUUGAAAGAACAUAUUAAAAUCCUCUUGAUUUUAACAAUUGAACAACUAAAUUGAAACAAAUAUUUUUAAAAAAAGGGCCAACGGAGGGAGUAGUAGAAAAUUUUCAUAAGGCAAAAUGACCUUCUGAACCCCUGUACUAUGUCGGUUUUGUAAGUUGGACACUUCUACUUACAUGUUUGUCAUCUGGACCCCUGAACCCACUAAAAAAAAUAUUUUAAAUCCUUUUUUGGUGAGUGUAACACACUCUCCCCCACGUCAGUUGCCACGUCAGCUGCCACGCCUGACACGUCUGCCACGACAUCUGCCACGUCGUUUUAAAAAAAAAGUAUUACAUUAAAUUCCAAGUCAUUUUUAAAAUGCUACAUAACAAAUUAAAUAUUAAAAUUAAUUUAAUUAAAUAAGAAAAAUUUGAAUAAUCAUGUUUUUAUUUUUACUCACAAAUUAAACAUCAAAUUCAUUUCGAAUAAUUAAAAUUCUUCUCCAACUAAUUUAAAUUCUCAACUAUAAAUUCAUAUAAACAUGAUAAAUUUUUUUUUAAAAAAUUUAAAUAUCUUUAACAAUUUCAAGUUUAUUUAUUAAAUUCACUAAUUUUUCAAUAUCUACUAUCACUUACUUUCAAUUUAAAUUUAAAUUUUAAUCCCCCAAAAAACAAAAAGAUUUCAAAUUUAAAUUUAAUUACAAAAAUGAAAAAAAUUGAAUUGACAAGGAAAAUUAAAAUAAAAAAUAAAAAGUGAACGGGGGAGAGGAACUGGGAGGAGUGUAGGGGCUGGGGGUGAGGUGGGGAAGCCCGGACGGAGCUGGUGGGGUAUGGGGGGUUGGGGAUGUNNNNNNNNNNNNNNNNNNNNNNNNNNNNNNNNNNNNNNNNNNNNNNNNNNNNNNNNNNNNNNNNNNNNNNNNNNNNNNNNNNNNNNNNNNNNNNNNNNNNNNNNNNNNNNNNNNNNNNNNNNNNNNNNNNNNNNNNNNNNNNNNNNNNNNNNNNNNNNNNNNNNNNNNNNNNNNNNNNNNNNNNNNNNNNNNNNNNNGGUGGAGAAGGUUUUUUUUUUAAAUAAAAAUAUUUAUUAUUUUUAUAUUUAAAAAAAAUAAAUUAAAAAUGAUGGAGGAAAAAAUAGAUCCUUUUUUUAUUUUUUUUUAAUUUUAAUAUUUUUUAUUUUUUUUAAUUAUUUUAAUAUAAAAUUAGCUAAAAAUUGACCUUCACUCGCACCUCCAGGCGAGUGAGUACACUCUCCUUGUCCUAGUCACCAUUUCAAUGCCACAUAGGUGAGGUCAAUGGUCAAAGGAUACAAAACGUUGCUUUUUAAUGGAAGGGUCAGAUGGCAAACAUGUAACUUACCCUUUAAAUUAUCGGCAAACCUUUUCCACACAACCCAGCACAUAAUUCAUCUUACAAUUACCAUCAUCGAUCAUCACCUUGUUAACUAUUUAUUAAAUUUAUAUUAUCUUUAAUAUUGCCGAUACACUAUUUAUUAGUAACUUAUUGAAUUCCAUAUUCAUUGAUUUUUAAAUCCCGUGAACCAUCAAGUCUUUGAACACAUGUUGUGCCUGAAGCUAUUAGGUUGAGGACACGCCUGCUUGGGCGUCACACAUUUCAUAAAACAAAAAGAAGAUUAAUUACAAAGCUGAAGAAUGAUGCAUUUCGUCAUACCCAGUAUAUUCCCACAACGGUUUGGGAGGGUAAAUUGUACGCAGUCCAGACCACUAUCUCAGAGGUGAGAUAGAGAGGUUGUUUCUGAAAGAACCCUCAAUAUUUUAGAGAAGGACUGAAUAUAAGAACAAGAAACAGAAGAUAGAAACAAACAACACUUGACUCACACUAACAAAAUAUGACUUAUGCGAAGGUGUUCUGAUAUAUGUCUGAUUUGUGAUUAUUAUUAACAAGAAGAGUUAAUGGUCAAAAACACGCCUUGACUAUCAAUAUUUCGCGAGUUUCACAUCGCAAUAACAAUCAGCUGUUCCCUUUUCGUAUCCGAGCUAUCACCAUCGUUCAGGUAGGAAAAGGGAACAAGGCUAUCAGGUGUGUUUGAUAUAUAUCUGGUGAUAGUUCGGGCUGGAAAAGGGAACAACUGAAGUUGAGGUGUGACCUGUGAAACGACUACAUGAGCAUCAGGAAGAUGUGUAAUGUGUUGCAGUUGAGGACAUUGAACAUGAAAGAAGAAUCACAUUUCCAUCAGACUACUAUAUUGUUUUUGAUAGAUUAAGAUCGAAGAUGGAUAACAUAACAAUUCUCACUAGUAUGAAUCGUUGUAGAUAUUAACUACGGUGACUUGAAGAUAUAAAAGUCAUCGACGUUACUAGAUGAUUAUUUAUCUGUCAACAUUUUGGUUUGGAAAGUUGUACUUGAUAAUGAACAUAUCAUUUCGGAUGUGCAUACAUUCUAGAUUGAGUCGAAUAUGUAAUUUCUAUCGAGGAUGUGAAGGAGGGGGCUUUCUGAUAUGAGUUGCUUGUUCAAAGCCAUACGCAAUCUCAAUGAGUGUUGGCUCAGAACCCUUUAGUCCUCCAAAGGAAAUUCCGAAUGGAACUCCACUUUUAUCAUAACCAGCAGGUACAUUGAUCCCUGGAUAACCUCCUAUCGCGAGAAGACUAGCAAUGUCUGCACCAGGUGACAAUAAGGCGUCUAACUUAUUAACUUUCAUCAUCUUCUCAAACCCGUAUUUGCAUACUUUUGUUAUGUUGCUCAGUGCCUCCCUUU